rnacentral:lncRNA from 1 species
CGACGCAGAUCCACCCGAGCGAUACAACCCGUGUCUCACCGUGGAAGGCAAAGAGGGUGAGGAGGAAGAUUAGCCCGAAGCCGGCGACGUUGAGGAGGAGGACGAUCUUGGCUGUGAAAAUCUUGGCCUUCCUGGGGGCGUAGACGAGGUACAUGAUGAUGUAGACGGUCUCGAUGACGCAGCCGGCAGCGUUGAUGGUGAUGAGGAGGCCCUCGCCGGUCUUGACCAGCGCGUAGAAGAUCCACAGCAUCGCGCUGAACAGGGCCACGACGUAGGGCACCGACUGGAACCCCUCAGUGGAUUUGCUCUUGAAGAUCCGGUAGAAUGUUGGUCUAAUAUUUAUUGUUGUGUGUACAUUAGUUAUGAGAGAACUUAUUAAGAUGGUCUAUCAAAUGAAAACUAGAAAUGACAGAGGCACUUUGCUUACAUCGGGGCGAGGAGGCUCGUAAAAGAGAUGAUGUUGCCUGCACGGCACAAAGUUAGAGAAGUUAGCAACCAGUUGUGAUAUUUGCAGGACACAUUUACAUCUUUCUUUUAUGCGCUUUAUCGUAUGCAAAAUAACAUAGGCAGUUCAUUUGUUGUUGCUUCUUGAUGGGUUGUUGGUGCACCGAACUAGAUGUCACUAGUGCUAGUACUAGACUACAUCAAUUAAUCAAUCUGUGGCAAAGAUAAGAUAUAUAGAUAGAUGCUGCAAAAGGAUGAUCUUAAACGACACAAAGUAGUCUACUAAUACUGCACUAGCAAAUAACAGCUGUAAUAAGAGACUAUCAUAAUACAAGGGGUAAUUCUUGGACAUCUUUUUCUCGUGGUGAGAAUAAUAUACCCAGUAGGCCGAAGGCGAAUGCCCAAGGGUGCUCCAUGGAUAGGCCAGCCAUUGUGAUACGAAGAUAUUGAAGGGAAAUAAGACAGAUAUGAAGUUGACAACAAGCCUGCUGGCAAAUUAAUCAACAGUGGGGCUAGAGGUUGUUUUUUGCUCUUCUCUCACUCUCUGCCUCUCUCUAACCCUAGACUCCUGGAGGGGAGAAGGGAGAGGUCUGAAGAGGAGAGCUCACUGUGUUGGUUGGAACUCUUGGCCUGAAUUGUAAGGUUGUUAAUGGGGUGCUUUAUAUAGGCAGGAAGAUUACAUGACUGCCUUGGUGUAUGCAAGCUAUCCUAUCACACAUAUGCCACACAAAAUUAAUGAUUGGCUUUCUAGAAAGAAAAAAGUUUCCAGCAAUGCAUAAUUGAGCUUAUCUAAUGUGCUAUGCUUUUUUCCCCGAAAAAUCUGAUGUGCUAUGCUUGAUAGAGAUAAUGAUAGAAUUUUUCAAAAGUUGUCGCUUUGGUGUACACUUUAGCUUUACUGUGCAUAAUACAUCCGCUCCUGAAUAUUUAUACACCCGGAGUUGUGUUAUACUACGUCAUUCUUCCGGUCUUCCCAACCUUAGAUCUUUGGGGUGUGGUAAUAGCCGCCACGCAACUGUAAACGAAAUGAGACAUUCCAACUGGGAGGACUCUUCACACUAUUAGUUGAUUAUUGAUUUUACGGAAUGAAAUGUCUUACAAGGAACAAAUAAUUAACUUUUGUAUAUAGACAUAGUGUCCAGUAGCUGAAUUAACUUAGCAGCCUUUUCGCAUUAAAAAUCUACAAGCAAAGAGUCAUUAAAUUAAUAUGCUGACAUUCUCAUACUUUUCGGUGAUCCGCGUGUAUGUUUUUCAUGAUUUGAGACUAACUAUCACGACAUGCAGUGGUCAAUUCAUUGCAUGUAAUGAUAUUAAUUAGCAAACUAACAUUAAUUUCUCUUAUUUUCCUCUCCGUCUAGGUCGCGGUGCACAACCUAAUAUGACUUAUAAACCGAGACGGAGGGAGUACAUGGCCUUGCAAAUACAUUCAAAUAGUGUUACUCAUCUUAAACUCAUCCAAACACAGGUACCACAGUCCUGAAAAGAUUAGUUUCAAGGGAAUACAAUCCAAAUGAAUUUACUUUCACCCUCUGCCUGAAUAAGAUAUACACAGUCAAUAGAACCACACACACUAGCAAAUACAAAGUCAUCCCAGACCAAUACAACACAGACCUCCGCGUCGCUCCUAGGAGAGGCGACUUGGGUGGAACCCUAGUGCAGCCUCCACCCCUUCCCCCUACGAUCAAUCUUGCUUAUCCCGCCAUCGUCAAAGAACGCCUCCGGACAAAGUCCAUGAGGCUGAUGCUGGCGGCGGGUCCUCAUCCUCCUCGCAUGAAUGAUGGCGGCAGGGGGCCCAUCGUUUCUCGUGUUGCGGGAUCUCCGGCCGAAGAUCAUGGCAGCCCUGGAUGGCGUGGUUCGUACAGCAGAGAUGGACAUCGAGGCGGUGGCCCCGGAUUUCUACGGUGACCUCGAAUACCAUUGUGGCCGCGAAGGCGACACAGCAACCGGUUCGGGGGGGGGGGGCUCGGUGCAUCUCAACUACUUAUCUCUGCAUGGUGCGGGUGGUGACGGCGGUGCCCGUUCAGAUCUUCGGCCUACCGUAGGAAACCGGUGGAUGGUGUGGUGAUACGAUCUCUAACAUAUCUAUUUUUCGAUUGCUCCAUGCUAUUAUAUUUUUCUAGGGUGCUUUUUAGGCAUUUAUUUGCUGAUUAAUAUUAUUUUAAGCACUAAUCUAUUAAUCCAGUGCCAAAGUUCUAGUUGUUGUUUUCCGCAUGUUCUAGUUGUUGUUUUCCGCAUGUUUUUAGCUUGUCAGAAAUAUUGUACCAAAAGAAGUCCAAAUACCCAGAACUUUUUGAUUGUUUUUUUCUGGACAAAAUAAGGACCUGAAAGCUUUGAAGGAGACCGGAGGCCCCAUGAGGUGGUGCCAAGCCAACAGGGUGCACCCAAGGGGGGUGGUCGCGCACUGAUGGCCUGGGGCCACCUGCCUUGGCCUCUAGCCCUCCUCCGUGUCCUAUAAAUUCACAUUAAUCCCAAAAACUCUAAGUAGCCUCUGGAAACACUUUUUCUGCCAUCACAAGUCUCUGUUCCGCCAUGUGUUCGUCUGGAGCCCUGUCCCGGUGCCUUGUCGUAGGGGGAUCAAUCACAGUGGGCCUUUACAUCAACCUUGAUGCUCCCAUGCUGGUGUGUGUUUAGUUCACCACACACCCGUGGGUCAAUAGUUAGUACCUAGAUGGUUAUCUAUCUCUCUAUGUUCUUCAUUGCCAUGAUCAUCACGACUCAUGUGGUGAUCCAUCUUAUGUAAUCAUUGUUGUGCGGUGCAUUUGUUGGGAUCCGAUGAAUUAUGGGUUUAUGUUUAGAUUAUUCAUGAAUAAUAUUUGAGUCUUUCUUGAAUUCUUAUAUGCAUGAUUGUGAUAGCUUCGCAAUUCUCUCUGAUCUAUUGAUUUGGUUUGGUCAAGUAGAUUGAUCUAUCUUUAGUGGGAGAGGCGCGUUGUAGUGGGUUCAAUCUUGCGGUGCUCAAUCCUAGUGACAGAAAGAGAUAUGACACGUAUUAUAUUCCUUCCACUAAGGGUAAAAACGAUGGGGUUGAUUCAUAUUAAUUGGAUUUACUUUCUCUACAUCAUGUGAUUAUUCUCCAAGCAUUACUCUGUUUUCACUUAAUACUCUAGAUGCAUGUUAGAUAGAGGUGUGAUAAUAGUAGAUACAUGUAGAAGUCGGUCUCCUUUCUUAGAGAUGUGAUGCAUAUAUGUAAUGCUAAUUGCAAUGAAUGAAUACUACAUAACUAUUCGCUUUUCUAUCAGUUGACCAACAAUAAUUUGUUUACCCACCAUAUGUUUUCUACAAGAGAGAAGCCUCUGAAGAAAUCUAUGGCCCCCGGGUCUAUUCACAAAUAUAUUUAUCAAAACACUAAAUACCUUGCUGCCUUUUAUUGUUUGUAUUUAAUUUUUAUAUUUCAUAUAUUUAAACUAUCUAUCUAUCACUACUUAUUACUUGCAAGUAACGAGUCCAAGGGGAUUCACAACCCUCUUGCCCGCGUUGGGUGCAAGUGUGUGCUCUUUUGUGUGUAGACGCUAAAGACAAAAAAUUGCGUGGUCCUCCUGUUGGUUCGAUAACCUUGGUUCUCAUUGAGGGAAAUACUUAUUUAUAUUGUGAUGCAUCAUCCUUUCCUCUUCGGGGAAAACCCCAAUGCAGAUCACAAGUAUGACAUGGUCAUUGGGUCCUUUUUGCUCUAAGAUGAUGGUGUUCUGCCGGUUGCCAACUCUCAUGGAUCUGCCAUUGACGUGUUCCGAAAUGCUCCGCCAAAGAUCUUCAUUCGGUGCUUCACGCAUGUAUAUUGUUGGAUCGAAUGGAAUUCGGUCAUGUGCGCCCUUGUUUCAGCCCGAGUGGCUUCACGAGGGUCUGACGCGAAAGUUCGGUCUAUGUUGACAUUAUGGGAGAUGACGGUUUUUGGAUAUUCAUGUUGAAGCCAUUAGCAUAGAACGUCAUGGCGGAUGAGCUCUGAGGCCUCGUAAUGUAGAUCGAGUCUUCGUGGAGAUGAGUACUUUCCUUGGUGAUUUGUGACUCAUAGCCUUGACAUCCGCAAGUACGGGCGGUAGCACAUGCGGAGUACAAAGUCUUAGCUUUCAGGGUGAAAACUCAAGGCCUGACCUUAAUUGGUUCUGUAUGGCAGAUACCUUGUCGAAGGCAUUGAUUUGAUAUCACGGAUCUUCUCUAGGGUGAAGACCUUAGAUCUAGGAUAGGCUGAUGGGGGUACUUGCACUAGUAGAGAAAUGGCUAGCCAGAAGUUUUGUUGGUGGGGCGCCAUCUCACACCAAUGCAGAACAAGCACCUCAAUACAACGCGUCGAGUUGCCUUUUCGACCCCUCCGUCGCCCAUCAUGCAGGAGACCAAGGGGACACAACCCCUCGUCGUCGGUCCCCCUCCUCCUAUCCCCUCACCCCUACGCCCCCGCCGGUGGUCGGCGCCGGACUAAGCCUGCGCGUGGGCGGCGGCGGAGGAGGAGUCGCCCUCUCACUCAGGGAUUAGGAUGCACGGGAUCCCAGAUCUCGAGGAUGAGGCCCCGAUCGAUCACGACGAUGUUGUUCUAGCCAUGACAGCCUCCAUUUGGAGUGACCCGACCGACCGAUGACCGAGUGGCGUUCGUGGCGACAGACUGGCUCUGCUCUGCCUAGUCUGCGACGAAGGGUCGUGGAUCCGGGGUGGUGGCCCCUAGGUUGGCCUCCUUGUCCGGCAUGAUGGGGCAGGUGGGUUGCCGGGGAUUGGAUCGGGCAGCGGUGAUCCUGCGACGGCUUGGCGCGACGGCGUGAGAUCUGGAGGUUGCCCCUUUCUCCUGUUGCCUCUCUCGUCGUCCCGGUGGUUUGCGGCUGCAGGCUCCGGUGAUGGUGAGCCCUAGUGGUGUACCUUGGGUCCUGGGGAAACCUUGACCGGUCUGGCCAGCCCGGCAGUGGCGUCGCCCAUGGGUGUCACUUUCCUUCAUGAAGUUCAUUCUGCAUCCGAUAUAUCUAAUUUGAAGAAGGGGGUCAAUACAUAUAUAUGAAUAAAUGAAACUGAACACAAAUGAUGGUAAUAAAAUAAAAUUGUGAAUAUUAUUAUUUGCGCACGUCAUAUUGUUUGUCAGAGUAGCCCCGCUCACAGGUCACGUGGCAGAUGGACUCGCAAAUGUAGUAUCCACAGUAAUCAUUCCCUGGUUACUGCCACAACCACUUUACAAGAAAUAGAGGUCAAUCAAACUGAUAGUUAGCAAGCAUGCUAAAUGGUAUUGAUGAAACUAGCGCUUGAAUCACUAGGAGAUGCGUGGAACAUGCUACUAUAGUACUUACUUUCGGGUGUCUAAAUUGCAGCUUCUUCGGCAGUCCCGGAGUUUUUGCGGUGAAUUUUUUCCAAACCCUGUCAGACAAGAAAACAAUUACUUGAUAUCAGGAAAUGAACAAAGUUGCCGAUAUGGUGCGAUAAUGAUCGAUUUAACUUACUUCUCUAGAAUUCCAGUCAUGUCCGCAUACUCGUUGGGAUCCUUUCGUCUUGAGUCUAAGACGGUUACUAGUCCGUGCUCAAUCUUAAUCUCUAGGAGAAUAUAGUGGAAGCUGCGCACGCAUGCAUAACUCAUCAAUUACAUUACUAUAACCUUGACUAAUAAGGGAAACCGAAUAUGCACAAGACAGUAACACUCACUGGAAUUUGUAAGGAAAGAGUAUUAUAGCUUUGUUUUGAUUCAAUACAAACGAUUGUAGCAGGUUGGCCUCGGUAUCUUUGGCCUGAGAUUUAAUCAUAAAUGCAUCUACGAGAUUUGUGUUAAUGAACCCAAUAUCACCGAUUUGUCUUUUCUUCAAUUCGACGAUCUUCAAUCUGCAUAUAAUAUAGUGAGGAUAAUUAAAAAUACAUGCAACGAAAAAGCUGACCUAUAUAUAGAGACUUAAUGACAGAAGUAGUACUACUUACAGGCAGUAGCAAGUGAUCAUUAAUUUAUCGAGGGCCUUUAGAUUGAAAAACGGAAAGAACUCCUCAAAUGGAACCAUCAACAGUUCAAGUCCAACGAGGUCAUGCUCCUUUCUAACUCCGAGCAGCAAAAUAUUACUCCACCCGGACUCUUUGCAAGUUUUCAUGUACCAAUCAUGGAAUCUUCGCAUCAUCGUUGUUAGAGAUCUUUCAUCUUUGACGAGAGGCUUCCCGUACACGUAUUUGUGUCCGUCCACCUCCAAUCAAUCAAAAUGUGCAUCAUCGGGCAUGUAAUCUGCGGGAUUGGUACCGGGAAACAAGAUCCUCGGAUGAUUAGCGACGAUAUCGCUAGACACCUUGAGCGGGGGGAACGAUUGGUUCGCUUGUUCGCCGAGCUGGGCAACUUUUUUCCCAGCUCCUCGUUCUGCUAACCUUUGAUCACUGACAGUACUUCCUGACCGCAGCGCUUCGAUAAAUGACUUUGUAAUAAUGCGCUCAUAGUUGCCUUUCGUCGGAGACUUUGGUGGUUUCUUCAGGGCAGCCAGAGUACGCUUUGCUUUUACCAGAUCUAUCUUCUCCUCCGGAGGUGGAUGUUUUUUUGCUUUCACCCCUUCAAAGAAGUUCUUCACUUCGGCUUCCACGAUCUUCGUGAUUUCCUCCUGGCUCCUCUCGUAUGGUAACUUCUCUGGAGUCUUCAGAGAAGGACCGUAUCUGUAUUGCCUGCCUUUGGCUGUAGUGCUAGACGCCGGAGCAGACGGAGCGGCUGCGGCUGUCUUUCCUUUCUUACGAGGCGAAGCAGAAGGACGACGCGCCGGAGGAGCCGGUGCGGCGGCGGGUCUCUUCCGCCCUUGUUGACGAGGCGGAGAAUGGGGAGGCAGCUGGCUGCUCGGGCGCGCCAGCGCAGGCGAAGAAGGAGGCGAAGUGUCGCCACGCGCUGGAGAAGGAGGCUGAGUGCCCUGAUCACUCGCCGGAGGAGGCGGAGUGCCCUAGCUCGCCGGAGGAGGAGGAGGAGGCGGAGGCGUCCAGUUCGGAAGGUUGAUGAGUUCCUUCCGCCAUAGGCAUGGAGUCUUCAGAGAAGAACCCAGCCGAAUCUCCCCUUCACCCGUAGGAUGGUCAAGCUCAAGGUCCUCAAAUCCGUCUGUUAUUUGAUCCACCAUCACCCUAGCAUAUCCUUCUGGAAUGGGCUGGCCGUGGUAGGUUGAGUCAGGUUCAUUAGGUAAAACAGAGCCAACAGCCGCCUUGACUUUAAAUGUCAUCCAUCGCGUCAUAAGGUGGCAAUGUUGAGACUCUAUGAUAGCAUCCACGGGGUAGCCCGUGAAGACAGGCUCCAACUGCUGAGUUUUCUCGGUGGAAGCCAGGCUUCUUCUCCGCUGAGAUGGCGGGGUAGCUUCAGGGGAAGCUUCGGCAUGUCGUUUGCUGCGAUCUGCUUCUCGUUCCUCUAGCCCUUGUACCCUUUCGUGCAGCACCUGCAGUUGGCUAUGCUCCACUUUCUUCCUCCUCUCCUGGGUUUUGUAACCCCCUGCGUCCGGAAACCCAGCGUUCCAUGGAAGGGAGCCUGGCGUGCCUCCUGUCCAUCCAGGGUGCUCAGGAUUCCCAAGGGCCAUUGUGAGCUCGUCCUUCUCUCUGUCUGGAACGAACGUCCCUUCCUGUGCUGCGGCGAUAUAGUGUCGAAGCUUCGUGACGGGUAUUCACAGUUGCUCUUCCGUCCAAACGCACUUCCCUGAUACAGGGUCCAAGGUUCCGCCAACCCCGAAGAACCAAGUCCGGCAACGUUCUGGCCAUCUCAAUGUCUCUGGUUCGACCCCUUUAGCAAUCAGGUCAUUCUCAGCCUUCUCCCACAAAGGUCGGGCUCUGAGGUAACCACCUGACCCCGUGCGAUGGUGAUGCUUCUUCUUCGUAGCAUUUUUCUUGUUUGUCGCUGACAUCUUCUUACUCUUUUCCGAUGUCUUGUGGGCCACAAAUGCAGGCCAUUGAUCUCUGAUCUUCUCAAACCGGCCGGUGAAUUCUGGUGUCUCUUCUUUGUCGACAAACGUUUUCAGCUCAUUCUUCCACCUCCUGAAUAGUUCUGCCAUCUUCUUAAGAGCACGAGACUUGAUCAAUUGCUCUAUAACUGGCUUCUCCGGAUCCUCCUCUGGCGGUAGGGUGAAAUUUGCCUUAAGCGUUGUCCAAAGAUCUUCUUUCUGCAUAUCGGAGACAUAAGACGUCGGCACCUCAGGGUCUUCCUUCUUUGGCUUUAACCAUUGCUGGAUACUGAUCGGUAUCUUGUCCCUAACAAGAACCCCGCACUGAGCACGAAAUGCAACCCUUGUCCGGAUGGGUUCAAUCGGCUUGCCAUCGGGCGCGAUUGCUGUGAUCUCAAACCUUUCAUCCGAGCGCAAAUUUUUCUUUGGGCCUCGUUUCUUUACCGAAGUUGAGCUCGAUCCGAAGGGCUAGAGAAAUAAGAAGAAAGACGAGAGUUAAUUAAUAUGUGUACAUAUGAAAACAAUGAAUGCAUCAGUUAACUAGUCAGCACGGGCUUAACUAAUAUAUAUAUACCUGGCCGAACUCGGUUCGGUCACCGGAGCCGUCAUCACGGUCUCCUUCUUGUACCUCGAUUGGGUCACCAGAGCCAUCAUGAACAUAGCCCUCUUCUUGUAUCGGCACUAAUGGGUCACCGGAGCCAUCAUUAACAUAGCCCUCUUCUUCACUCGGUCCUUCCUGACCAUCGGUGUCGUAGAGAAACGACACAAUGACAUCAGUUCCUUGUGCGAUUAUCUCCCCCAACAUCGCUUUUGAUGCUUUGUCUCGGGAGGGAUCCAUAGUUUCUGCAAAUAUUUACAACAUGUCAAUUAUUAUUCAAACAUGGUACAGAUGGAUAUAUAUUAUUGGCAAACGUAGAACUAGCUAGCUAAUCACAAUAAGGAAUCAUGUUAGUGGCCUCGACGUUGCUUCUCUAGGGUUUGGGGUGGCCUAGACAACGCUUCAAGGGUUUGGGGUGGCCUCGACACAACGCUUCAAGGGUUUGGGGUGGCCUCGACGACAACGCUCUUUUAACUUGGUAAAUUUGGGUGGCCUCGAGAGAGUUUGUCGGGUAGGGGCGAGGCGGGAGGGGGUAGGAGACCAACAUCGUUUUUUCUCUAGGGUUUGGGUGUCCUCGAGAGUUUUGGUCGAGCGAGAGAGCCGAGGGGGGUGCUCCCGUGGUAUAAGUUAUCACGGUCGAGAGUGGGUAUAUAUAUCGAUCGCCCCUUAUGUCGAAGUUAUCCGGGAGGGGGUUAUAUCGACAACGACGCGACAUACAUAUACAUGGGAAAAUAAUGUUAUCGGGGAAGGGGUAUAUCGGUACCCCCCCCCUCGAGUUGAAGUUCGAUCGGGAGGGGGUAUAUCGACAACGACAUACCAGAUAAAAAAUAAGAAGACAAAAGAAGAAAUAAAAAGAGGAGAAGAAGAAAGGAAUAGAAGAGAAGCAAUCGAAGAAAAAAAGAAGAAAAAAAAGAGAAGAAGAAAGGAAUAGAGGAGUAAGAAGAAAAAAAAAUAGAAAAUUAAUUUUCUAUUUUUUUUCUUCUUACUCCUCUAUUCCUUUCUUCUUCUCCUCUUCUUUUUCUUCUUUUUUCCUCUUCUUAUUUAUUUCUCCUCUUCUUCCUCUCCUCUUCUUCUCCUUUCUUCCUCUUCUUAUUUUCCUUUUUCUCCUCUCAUUCUUUUUCUUCUUCUUCGUUAUCUUCCUAGCUAUAUAUAAUACUUUUCUAAAAAUGUAACUUUUGCAUAUAUAAAUCUUUUUCUUCUUCUUACUUCUUCCUUCUUUUCCUAAAUAUAUAAAACUUUUCUAAAAAUGAAACUAACCUAAAAUGUAGUAAAUUAGAGAACAUAUAUAGAUAAAACUAACCUAAAAUGUACCCAAAUGUGCUAAAAAUCUAACUUUCAUAUGCACAGAAAACAUACAUACAUAUAUACAUUUUUAUAAAAAUGCAAAAACAAAUCAUCAUUUAUAUGAACAAAGGAGAGGACAGGGUGGGCGGCGCCGGCCUGACCAAGGAGAGGCACGGCGCCGGCGUCGGUGUAGAGGGCGGCGACGGCCGCAUGGUCGGGGCAGGGGCGAUGGCGAUCGACGGGGCAAAGGGAGGUGACGGCGUCGACGGGGCGGGUAGGGGCGCGGUAGAGGCACGGCGAGGGCGCGCGGCGUGGUCGGGGGGCAGGGGCGACGACGGCGUGGUCGGGCCGGGCAACGGCGGCGUGGUCGGGGCAGGGGCGACGACGGCGAGCUCGGGCAGCCUGGCGGCGUCGUCGGAGGAAUCGAAGAAACCGACGAAAUUUUCACAAAUGCUGGCUUAUAUAGCAAAGCCAUUGGUACCGGUUCGUGGCACCAACCGGUACCAAUGCCUCCUUUAGUCCUGGUUCGUGCCACAAACCGGGACCAAAGUCCGCCGCUUCCCGCCCGUUGGGCUGGUGAAAAGUGACCUUUGGUCCCGGUUGGUGGCACCAACCGGGACUAAAGGUCACUUUUCAGCAACCCAAAGGGCGGGAAGCGGUGGCCUUUGGUCCCGGUUGGUGCCACGAACCAGUACCAAUGCACCCCCUUUAGUCCCGGUUGGUUCCACAAACCGGGACCAAAUUCUGCCCGCGUCACGGCCAAAGUUUAGUCACACCUCGCUAGUUGAGAGGGGCGCGCAGUGGUUUAUAAGCCCCACUGCCGCACCCCUCUCGAGCUCCUCUCCACUGCAGGCUUACGGGCCUACUUGCUACUUCUUUGCCUGAUGGGCCUUCUGGGCCUACUAUGGGCCUGAAUCCUGGCCCAUGGAUGGGUUUAUAGUCGUAUUCACGCCGUGGUGGCCCAGUUGGUGGCAAAUGUUUUAUUUUUUCCCAGUUUUUUUUGUUUUCUUUUUUUUUAUUUUUUUUUUUUUNNNNNNNNNNNNNNNNNNNNNNNNNNNNNNNNNNNNNNNNNNNNNNNNNNNNNNNNNNNNNNNNNNNNNNNNNNNNNNNNNNNNNNNNNNNNNNNNNNNNNNNNNNNNNNNNNNNNNNNNNNNNNNNNNNNNNNNNNNNNNNNNNNNNNNNNNNNNNNNNNNNNNNNNNNNNNNNNNNNNNNNNNNNNNNNNNNNNNNNNNNNNNNNNNNNNNNNNNNNNNNNNNNNNNNNNNNNNNNNNNNNNNNNNNNNNNNNNNNNNNNNNNNNNNNNNNNNNNNNNNNNNNNNNNNNNNNNNNNNNNNNNNNNNNNNNNNNNNNNNNNNNNNNNNNNNNNNNNNNNNNNNNNNNNNNNNNNNNNNNNNNNNNNNNNNNNNNNNNNNNNNNNNNNNNNNNNNNNNNNNNNNNNNNNNNNNNNNNNNNNNNNNNNNNNNNNNNNNNNNNNNNNNNNNNNNNNNNNNNNNNNNNNNNNNNNNNNNNNNNNNNNNNNNNNNNNNNNNNNNNNNNNNNNNNNNNNNNNNNNNNNNNNNNNNNNNNNNNNNNNNNNNNNNNNNNNNNNNNNNNNNNNNNNNNNNNNNNNNNNNNNNNNNNNNNNNNNNNNNNNNNNNNNNNNNNNNNNNNNNNNNNNNNNNNNNNNNNNNNNNNNNNNNNNNNNNNNNNNNNNNNNNNNNNNNNNNNNNNNNNNNNNNNNNNNNNNNNNNNNNNNNNNNNNNNNNNNNNNNNNNNNNNNNNNNNNNNNNNNNNNNNNNNNNNNNNNNNNNNNNNNNNNNNNNNNNNNNNNNNNNNNNNNNNNNNNNNNNNNNNNNNNNNNNNNNNNNNNNNNNNNNNNNNNNNNNNNNNNNNNNNNNNNNNNNNNNNNNNNNNNNNNNNNNNNNNNNNNNNNNNNNNNNNNNNNNNNNNNNNNNNNNNNNNNNNNNNNNNNNNNNNNNNNNNNNNNNNNNNNNNNNNNNNNNNNNNNNNNNNNNNNNNNNNNNNNNNNNNNNNNNNNNNNNNNNNNNNNNNNNNNNNNNNNNNNNNNNNNNNNNNNNNNNNNNNNNNNNNNNNNNNNNNNNNNNNNNNNNNNNNNNNNNNNNNNNNNNNNNNNNNNNNNNNNNNNNNNNNNNNNNNNNNNNNNNNNNNNNNNNNNNNNNNNNNNNNNNNNNNNNNNNNNNNNNNNNNNNNNNNNNNNNNNNNNNNNNNNNNNNNNNNNNNNNNNNNNNNNNNNNNNNNNNNNNNNNNNNNNNNNNNNNNNNNNNNNNNNNNNNNNNNNNNNNNNNNNNNNNNNNNNNNNNNNNNNNNNNNNNNNNNNNNNNNNNNNNNNNNNNNNNNNNNNNNNNNNNNNNNNNNNNNNNNNNNNNNNNNNNNNNNNNNNNNNNNNNNNNNNNNNNNNNNNNNNNNNNNNNNNNNNNNNNNNNNNNNNNNNNNNNNNNNNNNNNNNNNNNNNNNNNNNNNNNNNNNNNNNNNNNNNNNNNNNNNNNNNNNNNNNNNNNNNNNNNNNNNNNNNNNNNNNNNNNNNNNNNNNNNNNNNNNNNNNNNNNNNNNNNNNNNNNNNNNNNNNNNNNNNNNNNNNNNNNNNNNNNNNNNNNNNNNNNNNNNNNNNNNNNNNNNNNNNNNNNNNNNNNNNNNNNNNNNNNNNNNNNNNNNNNNNNNNNNNNNNNNNNNNNNNNNNNNNNNNNNNNNNNNNNNNNNNNNNNNNNNNNNNNNNNNNNNNNNNNNNNNNNNNNNNNNNNNNNNNNNNNNNNNNNNNAACUAGAUGCACUUCGUAUACAAAACGGACAAUCUCCUUCGAAGUAUAAGGGUUUCAUACGGAAACUCGUGUGUUACAAAGGGAUUUCAAUUUUUUUAACUUAUUUGAACCCCCUUGUUUUUCUGUGUUCAAAAUGUACCAUUCAAAGCCACAUCAUCAAUUUACAACCCUUUCUGACUUCAUUUGUUAUUUUUCAUGCAUUUACUGAUUAUUUUCACCUAUAAGACCAUGAAAUUGAAAAGCAUUUGAAAUGAACUCUCGAAAGGUUCCAAGUUGGCAUGGUAUCAUCAUUUCACCCACAUAGCAUGUGCAAGAAAGUAGAGAGGCUUGCAUCAAAAACUGGAUGCACUUCGUGUACAAAACGGACAAUCUCCUUCGAAGUAUCAGGGUUUAAUACAGAAACUCGUCUGUUACAAAGGGAUUUCAAUUUUUUUUAACUUAUUUGAACCCCCUUGUUUUUCUGUGUUCAAAAUGCAUAAUUAAAAGCCACAUCAUCAAUUUACAACCCUUUCUGACUUCAUUUGUUAUUUUUCAUGCAUUUACUGAUUAUUUCCAGCUAUAAGACCAUGAAAUUGAAAAGCAUUGAAAUGAACUCUGAAAAGGUUCCAAGUUGGCAUGGUAUCAUCAUUUCACCCACAUAGCAUGUGCAAGAAAGUAGAGAGGCUUACGGCAAAAACUAGAUGCACUUCGUAUACAAAACGGACAAUCUCCUUCGAAGUAUAAGGGUUUCAUACGGAAACUCGUGUGUUACAAAGGGAUUUCAAUUUUUUUAACUUAUUUGAACCCCCUUGUUUUUCUGUGUUCAAAAUGUACCAUUCAAAGCCACAUCAUCAAUUUACAACCCUUUCUGACUUCAUUUGUUAUUUUUCAUGCAUUUACUGAUUAUUUUCACCUAUAAGACCAUGAAAUUGAAAAGCAUUUGAAAUGAACUCUCGAAAGGUUCCAAGUUGGCAUGGUAUCAUCAUUUCACCCACAUAGCAUGUGCAAGAAAGUAGAGAGGCUUGCAUCAAAAACUGGAUGCACUUCGUGUACAAAACGGACAAUCUCCUUCGAAGUAUCAGGGUUUAAUACAGAAACUCGUCUGUUACAAAGGGAUUUCAAUUUUUUUUAACUUAUUUGAACCCCCUUGUUUUUCUGUGUUCAAAAUGCAUAAUUAAAAGCCACAUCAUCAAUUUACAACCCUUUCUGACUUCAUUUGUUAUUUUUCAUGCAUUUACUGNNNNNNGUAUCACGGUUUCAUACGGAAACUCGUCUUUUACAAAGGGAUUUCAUUUUUUUGAACUUAUUUUAACCCCCUUGAUUUUCUGUGUUCAAAAUGCACCAUUCAAAGCCACAUCAUCAAUUUACAACUCUUUCUGACUUCAUUUGUUAUUUUUAUGCAUUUAUUGAUUAUUUUCAGCUAUAAGACCAUGAAUUUGUAAAGCAUUUGAAAUGAACUCUGAAAAGGUUCCAAGUUGGCAUGGUAUCAUCAUUUCACCCANUAGAUGCACUUCGUGUACAAAACGGACAAUCUCCUUCGAAGUAUCACAGUUUCAUACGGAAACUCGUCUGUUACAAAGGGAUUCCAAUUUUUUUGAACUUAUUUGAACCCCCUUGUUUUUUUGUGUUCAAAAUGCACCAUUCAAAGCCACAUCAUCAAUUUACAACCCUUUCUGACUUCAUUUGUUAUUUUUCAUGCAUUUACUGAUUAUUUUCAGCUAUAAGACCAUGAAAUUGUAANNNNNNNNNNNNNNNNNNNNNNNNNNNNNNNNNNNNNNNNNNNNNNNNNNNNNNNNNNNNNNNNNNNNNNNNNNNNNNNNNNNNNNNNNNNNNNNNNNNNNNNNNNNNNNNNNNNNNNNNNNNNNNNNNNNNNNNNNNNNNNNNNNNNNNNNNNNNNNNNNNNNNNNNNNNNNNNNNNNNNNNNNNNNNNNNNNNNNNNNNNNNNNNNNNUCAUUUCACCCACAUAGCAUGUGCAAGAAAGUAGAGAGGCUUACGGCAAAAACUGGAUGCAUGUCGUGUACAAAACGGACAAUCUCCUUCGAAGUAUCACGGUUUCAUACGGAAACUCAUCUGUUACAAAGUGAUUUCAAUUUUUUGAACUUAUUUGAACCCCCUUGUUUUUCUGUGUUCAAAAUGCACCAUUCAAAGCCACAUCAUCAAUUUACAACCCUUUUUGACUUCAUUUGUUAUUUUUCAUGCAUUUACUGAUUAUUUUCAGCUAUAAGACCAUGAAAUUGUAAAGCAUUUGAAAUAAACUGUGAAAAGGUUCCAAGUUGGCAUCGUAUUAUCAUUUCACCCACAUAGCAUGUGCAAGAAAGUAGAGAGGCUUACGACAAAAAAUAGAUGCACUUCGUGUACAAAAUGGACAAUCUCCUUCGAAGUAUCAGUGUUUCAUACGGAAACUCGUCUGUUACAAAGGGAUUUCAAUUUUUUUGAACUUAUUUGAACCCCCUUGUUUUUCUGUGUUCAAAAUGCACCAUUCAUAGUUGUAAGACCAUGAAGUUGAAAAGCAUUUGAAAUGAACUCUGAAACCAAAGUACAUACAUAGUUCUCGAGAGCAUUAAAACCAAAGUACAUACAUAGUUCUCAUUGAACAACAUAUAGCUCUCUAGAGCAUCUAAUUAAACCAUACAUUGAGAUUAUGUAAAAAAUUUCAAUGCAAAAACAAAUGCGAUCAUAACCGCUACCAAGGUAACAACUGAUCCAACUGCAUAAUGAUACCAAGCCUCGGUAGGAAUGGCAUAUUUUCUAAUCUUUUUAAUCUUCAACCGCAUUGCAUCCAUCUUGAUCUUGUGAUCAUCGACGACAUCCGCAACAUGCAAGUCCAAUAUCAUCUUCUCCUCCUCAAUUUUUCUUACUUUUUCCUACAAGUAAUUGUUUUCUUCUUCAACUAAAUUUAACCUCUCGACAGUAGGGUCGGUUGGAAUUUCCGGUUCAACAACCUCCUAGAUAAAUAAAAUCUAUGUCACAUUGGUCGGCAUAAUUGUCAUAAACAAUAAAUGAACCAAAUAGUUAUGAAAAGAUAAUAUAUACCACAUGUGAAUCAUAGACAGGACGAGGGCCGACGGGGGCGGAUACCAAAACCAUCGCACUAUAUAAUAACAAGGAAUAAUAAAAGUAAGAAAAUUAGACAAGUAUCUAUCUGAAGUCAGAAUUUUUUUCUUUCAGAAAGAAGAUAAGAACAAGAGGCUCACCAUGGUGGUGCUGGCGACGAGAUCGGCGCGGGCAAUCGACGGCGAUGAAGACGGGGCGUGACGGACCGCUAAAUCUAGACAAAUCUCGUUGAAAAUGGAGCUCGGAGGUCGAGUUUCGAGAGGAGAAAGCUUAACUAGUGUGGCUCGGGCAUUUCAUCGAACACCUCAUGUGCAUAGGAGGUGAACUAGAGCACCCAAAUGCCCUCCCCUCGCCGGCUUGACAAAAACAGAGCACUGUGGAGUGCUCUGCCGUGGCGGUGGGUAUAUGUAGGCAAGUUAUUUGUCCCGGUUCAAGCCACGAACCGGGACCAAUGGUUGUGGGCCAGCAGCGAGGACCAUUGGCCCCGGUUCGUGGCUCGAACCGGGACAAAUGGUUACACAUGAACCGGGACCAAUGCCCACGAGGCCCCCGCCGGCCCCCUGGGCUCACGAACCGGGUCUAAUACCCCCCAUUGGUCCCAGUUCUUGAAGAACCGGGACUAAUGGGCUGGCCAGGGCUGAAACGAUAGCCCUGUUUUCUACUAGUGGAAGAACCUAAUGAUAUUUCUGCGUCUGAUGCAGAAACACAAUCUGGUGAUGAACAUGAACCUGGUGACAAUAUGGAUAGUGAUGUUCAUAAUAAUGCUCAACCUAGCAAUGAUGAGGAUGUGGAGAUUGAACCGGCGGUUAAUCCUGAUAACCCACAACCUAAGAAGUACCAUAAGAAUGACUUCACUGCUAGGAAGCAUGGUAAUGAAAGGGAGCCAUGGGUUCAGAGACCUAUGCCCUUUCCUGCUAAGCCAUCCAAGAAAAAGGAUGAUGAGGAUUUUGAGCGCUUCGUUGAGAUGAUAAGACCCGUCUUUCUGCAGAUGCGGUUAACUGAUAUGCUCAAGAUGUCUCCGUAUGCCAAGUACAUGAAAGAUAUUGUGACUAAUAAACGGAAGAUACCAGAUCUUGAGAUCUCCACCAUGCUUGCCAAUUACACUUUCAAAGGUGGAACUCCUAAGAAACUUGGUGAUCUCAGAGUGCCCACUAUACCUUGCUCCAUUAAAGGGAACUACGUAAGAACUGCCUUAUGUGACCUUGUAGCCGGUGUUAGUGUUAUGCCGCUCUCUCUUUAUCGUAGACUUGAAUUGGAUAAGUUGACACCCACUGAAAUUUCUCUGCAAAUGGCUGACAAAUCAACUACUUUCCCUAUCGGCAUUUGCGAGGAUGUGCCUGUUGUGGUUGCUAACACCACUAUCUUAACAGACUUUGUUAUCUUGGAUAUUCCCAAGGACGAUGCCAUGGUUGUCAUCCUCGGAAGACCCUUUUUAAACACCGCAGGGGCUGUUAUAGAUUGAAACAAAGGCAAUGUCACUUUCCAUGUCAACGGUAACGAGCACACAGUGCACUUUCCGAAGAAACGAUAUCCAGUACAUUGCAUCAAUGCUAUCGAAAAGACUUCAUCGAUUCUCAUUGGGAGCUUUGAAUGCCCUAUUCCUCGUGUCAAGAUGAAGUAUGAUUUGCUUGUUGGGGAGUUACAUAUCCCCAUUGAGGUGACUUAGUGGCUAUCAGAAAAUUCUCCGUUCUCUCUUGCGAUUCGAGAAGGUUUUGUCAUAAGGACUUGAUCAAUCCCAUUGACGGAUUUCUUUCGAUGACCAUGAAACGGAUGAAUCAAAGAGUCACAUACCUCUGUUUUGAGCUUUCAUUUUAUUUUGCUUAGAAUAAAAAUGAUAGAAUUAGUUUAGUUUUUCCUGUUUUCUGUUUUAGCGUCCGGGAGAAAAAUACCUCGAAAAUAAAAGUUCUUCGAUGGUCCUGAAAAUUUGUAUGAUUUUUUCUGGAAUUUUUGAAAAAUUAUGGGCCUGAGAGCUUGCCUUGGGGCCUGACCAGUGGGCCACAAGCCCUCCCACUGCCACCUACCCCCCUGGUGGUGGGGUGCAAGCUUGUGGGGCCCACAGGCACCCCCUCCACUCAUUCCAGCUCUCAGCCUCUUCUUCCACCUCCAGAAAAAAUUGUUUCGCAGCUCAAACCCAUCUUCUUGAUCAUUUGGCUGUGAUUUUCGAUCUCCUUGCUCAAGCACCAUUCUCCGAACCGUUUGGGAAAAUUACUCCUUGGUAAGUGACUCCUCAUUGGUCCAAUUAGUUUUUGCUCUAGUGCUUUAUCCUUCGCGUAUUCUUGCUACCUUGGUGACCAUGUUCUUGAGCUUGAAAAGUUGAUUUUAGCUGGUCCCAAGUAGUUUUAGCGCGUGAUACGGUCUCUAGGCACUAGUAGGAGUAGUUGCUACAAGUUGGGUUAAUCUUUAUUCGCUUUUCUUUCGAACUCUCUAAAAAUUUCAGAAAUAAAGGAAAAGACGAGGAGGUUCUUGAGAGGCUCUUCAAGCUGUAACCCCAAGGAGGAUGAGAAGAACCACCCCAAGUACGUAGUCCCUCGAGUCACAGAAGUUCGAGCGUGCGAGUGGCCAAGUGAUGAAUUUUUGCGCGCCGCCGGAUUUUAUGAAGACUUUUAUUACUUGGUGGAGAACGCAGGUCUUACUGCGUUCGUUGAAGAUAAGUUCCCACAAUACCUCCUCCUCACCAAUAUUUUCGUUCAAAGCUUCAACUUUUAUCCGAGGAAGAAUCCUCCCAUGGUUGAGUUCAUGAUAUACGAUGUUCCCCAGUGCAUGACACUACAGGAUUUUUGCAAUGUAUGCAAAUUACCUUAUGUUGGGGAUAUCCGUGAUCCUCGUCCACGGGACUUGGAGGAUUUCAUUAGUUCUAUUGCUGUUGGAGAGGAGAGAGGAGUGUCUUGUGCUAGAAUUGCUAGCAUACAUUUUCCUGUGCUCCGGUACUUCUCACUAUUUGUAGGAAAAUGUUUGAUUGGCUGUGGGGAGGCUGGAUCACUUAGUUCUCCAGACCAUGCAGUUUUGCGCGAAGGCCUUUAUAACGAUAAGACUUACAACCUAGGUGUUAUAGUGGCUCAGCGGUUGAACAUCAACCGUUCCAAGGGUGUCGUCUAUGGAGGUAUCUAUGCUACCCGUCUUGCCAGACACUUUGAGAUACCCAUUAGACUGGGAGAGGAAGGAGAGAUGCUUCUCCCUGAGAAAUAUCUGGAUUAUGACAGCAUGGUUUGCCAUGAUUUUCUGGAUAGAGAUGCUAGUAGACGGAUGAUUUAUAACCUGGUAUUUAGUCAGGGUACUCGAGAGACUAUUACUUUGCCUGCUCCUUCUUUGUUUGAUCUUCAUGCAGGAAGGUACACUAUUAUGCCCGUGGACAUCUACGCAUAUUGGGGCUUGGCCCAACCAUAGGCGCCCGUGCCCGAGCCGCCAGUCGAGUACCAGACGCCGGUUUAUCAGUGGGAGCCAGAGGAGCUCACACAGCAGUGGCAUCAACAGUCUGCUCCGGAGUAUCCUGGAGCUGGUUAUUUCCCACCUUGGGAGUAGACCAAGCUAGGCCAAAAGCCUAAGCUUGGGGGAGUGCGUGUUCUCACCGACUUUACGUUCAUGCUUAUGCUUUCACUCUGAUAGCCGGUGUUUACACUUUGCCACUUUAUUAUCUAUGCUAGUUUAUUUUCGUUUUCUUGUUUUCUUGUUUUGUGUCCUUUUGAGAAAACCCAAAAAGAUUUUUCUUUCUUCUUUUGCUUGUUGGGAGCUUUCCCGUGUAAAUAGUUUUCUUUUUAUUUGUGUCAAGGUAGAAGAUGUUGGUUAUAAUGUUUAUUGGUUCUUGCAUGCUUACCUGUUCAGCUUUCAAAGAGCCAUAUUACUUUGUCUUCUCCUUUGUGUUUGUCUGCAGAUUCGGCUUAGUCCAAUGUUCUUAUUAUCGUUCACAUCGUUCGAUCGUGCAAAUGAAAGGAAAUAAUGAUGAUAUAUGAUGAAGUGACUGAGACUGAAAAGCUGGUAUGAACUCUAGAUAUUUUGUUUUUGUAAAUAUGACUAGCUUGUCGACCCACAUUUAGCUUUGUUGUGAGAGAACCAUGUUUGCAAUGACAACUUAGAGAUCACAGUUUCUGAUGCCAUGCUUAUUUAGCUGAGAGUUUAUAAUGGUUUGUCUUGAAUGCCAACAUAGAUUUUGAGAUGACUAUGAUGUAGUAUGAUAGGAUGGUAUUCUCCUUUGAAUGUUUCAAUUGGCUUGACUUGGCGCAUGUUCAUGCAUGUAGUUGAAACAAAAUCAACAUAGCCUCUAUGAUGUUCGUAUUCAUGGUGAUUUAUAUCAUGUUCAUGCUUGCAUUCAAUGUUAGUCAAACUCAUUGCAUCUUGAUGACUGUUGUCGCUCUCUAGUUGGUCGCUUCCCAGUCUUUUGCUAGCCUUCACUUGUACUAAGCGGAAUACUGCUUGUGCAUCCACUUCCAUAAACCCAAAAGUUUUUCCAUGAGAGUCCACCAUACCUACCUAUUUGCGGUAUCUACCUGCCGUUCCAAGUAAAUUUGCAUGUGCCAUUCUCUAAACCUUCAAGAAAUAAUCUGUUUUGCAUGCCCGAACCGCUCAUGUGGUGACAGGGGGCUAUUGGUAUCUUCCAUGCUAGGAGUGUUAUCCUCGACAUGUGUUUAUUCACUGUCAUUCACGAGAAAGGGGCCGGUAAUUGGAAUGCCCAGUUCCACGCUUAAAUCGAAAACAUAACUGUAAAACAAGACUCCCCCCGGAUUGAUGUUAGUAUGGACGGUACCCGAGGAUUCGGCUAGCCGUGGAGUGUGAUUGAUUGGUGGUGGGGGAGUUAAAACUUCACUUUUCUGUUUGGGAACUGCCUAUAGCAUGAGUAGCAUGGAAGAUAUUGAGAACUCUUGGUCAUUGCGUUGACAAUGAAAGCAUGCCACCCAAAAUUAUUAUCUCUGUUUUCAAAGCUUGAGCUCUGGCACCUCCGCAAAUCAAUGCUUCCCUCUGCGAAGGGUCUGUCUAUUUAUUUUCCUGUUGAGUCAUCCUCCUCUUAUAUAAGCACCAAUUAGAGAGCACCUCUGUCAUUUUUAUGCUUUGCUUUUGAUUGAUAUUGAGUAUGACUAUGACUGGAUCUUCGUUGCUAUGAAUUACAAUGUUUAGUCAGCCUUUUGAUCUUUGAAAGUGCUCUGCAUUUAUGUUUUGCAGUCUCAGAAAGAGCUAGCGAGAUACCACCUAUUCAUAUUGCUUCAUGCUUGUUUUGAUUGAAGUGUUGGUAUUUGAAACUCAUUAUUAUUUGCUCGUUAGGUGAUUAUGCCAUUGAUAUUAGUUACUGUGAGACCUUUGUGUCAUUUGCUUAUGUGGUUAACUUGUGAUCUUGCUGAAAUUCUGGUUAUGAGUUAGACAUAGUUGCAACAACAAGAUCAAACAGAGUUUGUCAAAGUUUUUCUUUCUCUCUCAGUUUGUCAACUGAGUUGCUUGAGGACAAGCAAGGUUUUAAGCUUGGGGGAGUUGAUACGUCUCCAUCGUAUCUACUUUUCCACACUCUUUUGCCCUUGUUUUGGACUCUAAUUUCUAUGAUUUGAAUGGAACUAACCUGGACUGACGCUUUUUUCAGCAGAAUUGCCUUGGUGUUAUUUUUGUGCAGAAAUCAAAGUUCUCCAAACGUCCUGAAAAUUUACGGGGAGCAGUUUUGGAAAAUAUAAGAAAUAUCUGCGCCAAGUUCCACCUGAGGGAGUGGGCCAGUGGGCCACAAGCCCUGGCUCCGCCACCACCCCCCUGGUGGCGGUGGACAGGCUUGUGGGGCCCACACGGCUCUGCCGCCCCCAAUCUCAGGUCUAUAAGUCUCCUUUCGUCCCAGAAAAAAUAAAAAGAGAAGUUUUCGUCGCGUUUACGAUACGGAGGCGCCGCCACCACGUGUUCUUCAUCUGGAGGGCAGAUCUGGAGUCCAUCUUGGGCUCCGGAGAGGGGAAAUCCUCGCCAUCGUCAUCAUCAACCUUCUUCCCUCUCCAAUUCCAUGAAGCUCUUCAUCGUUCGUGAGUAAUAUAUUCGUAGGCUCGCUGGCCGGUGAUGAGUAGGAUGAGAUCUAUCAUGUAAUCGAGUUAGUUUUGAUGGGGAUUGAUCCUUAGUAUCCACUAUGUUCUGAGAUUGACGUUGGUACUACUUUGUCAUGCUUAAUGCUUGUCACUAGGGCCCGAGUGCCAUGAUUUCAGAUCUGAAAUUAUUAUGUUGUCACCAAUAUAUGGGUGUUUUAGAUCCGAUCUUGCAAGUUGUAGUUAUCUACUAUGUGUUAUGAUCCGGCAACCCCGAAGUGACAAUAACCGGAACCACUCACGGUGAUGACCAUAGUUUGAGGAGUUCAUGUGUUCACCAAGUGCUAAUGCGUUGGUCCGGUUCUUUAUUAAAAGGAGAACCUUAAUAUCCCGUAGUUUUCUUUUGGACCCCGUUGCCACGGGAGGAAUGGACAAUAGAUGUCAUGCAAGUUCUUUUCCCUAAGCACGUAUGACGACACACGGAAUGCAUGCCUACAUCACAUUCACGAACGGGAGCUAGCCACAUAUCUCUCCGUGUUAUAGCUGUUGCAUGAUGAAUAUCAUCCAAACAAAUCACCGACCCAUUGCCUACGAGUUUGUCCUACUGCUGUUGUUACUACUGUUGCUACUGCUGUUACUUGUCUUGCUCUGUUGUUGUUACUACUGUUGCUACUGCUGUUACUUGUCUUGCUCUGCUGCUGCUACUACUGUUGCUACUUGCUACUGCUGUCACUACUGUUGUUCCUUGUUGCUGCUAUUGCUAGUUACACUGUUGCUACCUGCUACAAUUUUGGUUCGUUGAACGUUGACGGGAACUGACAACUUCCGUCAACACGGCAACUUGGCGCCAUUGAUACAAUCGUUAGGAAUAGUCUGUCGUCAACAGAUCGUCUGUGACAUCGUUGUUAUCAUACUACUUUGCUACUGAUACUUUGCUUGCAAAUACUAAUCUUUCAGGUGUGGUUGAAUUUGACAUAUUCAGCUGCUAAUACUUGAGAGUAUACUCUCACCUCCCAUCGUGCAAAUCAACAAAUUUGGGUCGAAUACUUUACCCUCGAAAACUGCUACGAUCCCACGCGUUGGUGGGCCGUCAACAACAUUCUUCUAGUUUCGGUUGCCGGGGAUUGCAAUCAGCAUUCUUCUGGUGCCAUUGCAGGGGAAGGUCUGUUGUCAUCAGCACUCGUCUAGCUAUUGCCAGAGAGUGCCAGUCAAAACCCUAGAAGCUAGAUGGGCCAAGAUGCAGGCCUGCAGAAGGCCUAGUAGGACCACACGGCAGAGAGUGUGUGUUUAGGCCCGUAGGCCUGCGUUUGAGAGGAGCUCGAGAGAGUUGGCGCAGCGGGGCUUAUAAACAACUCUCAGCUCCUCUCAACUAGCGAGGUGGGACUAAACAUUUAGCCGCAGCAUCACCCCCCUUUAGUCCCGGCUUGGAGCUCUAACCGGGACUAAAGGCCCCCCUUUAGUCCCGGUUGGAGCCCCAAACCGGGACAAAAGGUCCACCUAUAUAAGCUGGUCGAUGGAAUUUUUCCAAUCCAAAUCGCCAGUUCCUUCUUCCUCCUCUUGCCUGACUGCACCGACGACCACCUCGACACUGCCAGGCUGCCCGACUACGCCGUCGUCGACGCCCUGCCGUCCCCGAGCCCGAUGACCAUCGCCAGCGUCGGACCUCCUCGCGCGCCCUCCUCCCUGUCGUCGAGCCCGCUCCUCGUUGUCACCGGCCUCCACAGCUCUCCAUCCCCGGGCACCAGUGAGCUCCUCUUGUCGCCACCGUCGCGCCCACACCGUCGUCGACCUCGUGCCCCCGCCAUUGUUGCGCGACCCGCGCCAUCGUCGCCGUGCCCUCCCCCGAGCCUCCUCAUCGUCGCCGCACCCUCCCCCUCCGGUGAGAAGUAUGGCAUUUUUAUAUGUGCUCUGUUUUUUUAAAUGAGAUGUAUGAGAUGUUUUGUGAAGAUGAGAUGAGAUGAGAUGUUUUGUUUAAAUGUGAGAGAGAUGAGAGAAUUUCUUUUAGGUUUUUUUAGAUAGAGAAACAAAUGUUAAAAUUUGCAUGUACUCUGGCUUUUUUGUUGCAUAAUGAGAUUAGAUGAGAUGAGUCCCCGACGAUCGUCAGAGGAGUCCUCGACGAUCGCCGGUGAGGAGUCCCUGGCGAUCGUCGGAGGAGUCCCCGACGAUCGCCGGUGAGGAGUCCCUCACGAUCGUCAAAGGAGUCCCCGAUGGUCGUUAGAGGAGUCUUAGACGAUCGUCGGUGAAGAUUCCCCGACGAUCGCCUGUGUGGAGUCCCCAACGGUUGUCAGAGGAGUCCCCGAUGAUCGUCGGUGAAGAGUUCUCGACAAUCGUCGAUGAGGAGUCCCCGCCGAUCGUCGGAGGAGUCCACGACGAUCGCCGAUGAGGAGACCCCGACGGUUUGUGGCACGAACCGGCCGGGACUAAAGGUCCUAAAAAGAACUGGAACUGAUAUCCGCCGAGGCCCGACCGGCGUCCUGACCGUUCGAACCGGGACUGAUGCACGGUUCAUAAGUCGAUCUAGGCUAAUGUUCUUAUCAAGCCAUGAUCAAAGCCUGUUUUCUACAAGUGUGAGGUAGUCGCUGUUUUAGGGUUUGGCAUAGGGCCUUUGAUUUUGACGCCCCGUCCCUGAUUCGUGGCAUGUUCUUUCUAGAUCUCUCUAUUUUUUAACGUACAGAGAAAUAAAAAAGUACAAAGAGAAAACGGCACGACAAAAAAAAGAAGCAGAAUUAGGCUAGGUGUAGAAGUGGGAGAUUCCAUCCAAAUAUCUCCUUUGAAACAGUAGAGCCUAGAGGGUGUUUGUUUCCAGGGACUUAUUGGUUUAGGGACUUAAAAAAGUCCCUAUAAGUCCCACCUAAACCAAACACAAGGGACUUAUUGGGACUUGUUCUCGUGAUUAGGGACUUAUCAAAUAAGACUCUCAGGCAGGAGCUUAUUGGGACUUAUCCCGGGCCGGACCUACCCCGCGUCGCUCCAGGCUCGUUCCCCGCACGCCGCCCCGCCUCUCGGUCCAAUCGCCGCCGCCGCCCCGCCUCUCGCCCCGUCGCCGCCCCAUCGCCGCCCCGCCCCUCGCUCCGGUCGCCGCCCCGUCGCCGCCCCGCCUCUCGCUCCGGUCGCCGCCCCGCCUCUCGCUCCGGUUGCCGCACCGUCGCCGCCCCGCCUCGGUUCGUUCUGCCUCGGUUCGCCGCCCCGCCUCGGUUUGUUCUGCCUCGGUUCGUUGCAACGGUGCCUCCAAUCGCCGGACAAGCCCUUUCCUGAGCCUCGUUGCAGCGGUGCUUAUCCUGUGUGUCGUACGCGUUGGCUGAUGACGAUCCAUGUGAACAAGUGUAUUAUUAGGUGCAACAUGGACUUAUAAGUCCCUAUAAACAAACAGUGGGGACUCGGGACUUAUAAGUCCAUGUAAACAAACAGGGCCUUAGGCCCUGUUUGUUUCAUAAGUCCUAGGACUUUUUUAAGUCCCAACUUAUAAGUCAUAAGGCCCUACCUGUUUGUUUACAUGGACUUAUAAGUCCCGAGUCCCUACCUGUUUGUUUACAGGGGCUUAUAAGUCCAUGUUGCACCUAAUAAAAUACACUUGUUCACAUAACCCUUGUUCAUACAAAUGAAUUGCAGAAUAGUGACAACCGAAAUAAUAAUUGUUCAUAACACUUGUUCAUACAAACGAAUUAACACUUGUUCAUAAGAACCAAAAUAAGACAGAGUACAUAACAACCGAGAUAACAGAAAUUACAGAAGCGAAGAACACUUCUUCAUAUCAUUGUUGUUUCAAGGACCACAACCCAUCAGCGACCCAAGCUCUGAAUUGAUUCAUAGCAGCACUGUCCAUCUCAUUUGUUGAAUCAUUUGUUGUAGUCGUUGGCAUAGACAAUGGUACAUAAUUUUCAUCUUGAUCACACAAGUCGAAAUCUAUAUCGGCGAGUUGGCUUUGUCUAAUAAAAUUGUGCAGUGCAAUGCAAGCCACAAUUAUUUUGCUUUGUUUCUGUUGUGGAUAACUAGGCAAGUGAAACAAAAUCCUCCACUUGUUCUUCAGCACUCCAAAACACCUCUCGAUGACAUUUCUAAGUGAAGAAUGGGUGAAAUUGAAGUGUUCCUUUUUUCCUCUAGGCAUUGUGCCAUCACGGUACUCCUGGAAAUGAUAAGUUAAACCCUUGUAUGGUGAAAGAUAACCCGGUCUAUUUGGGUACCCUGAGUCGACAAGAUAGAACUUAUUAGGUGGAGGUUUUGGAAACUUGUCACCAAAUCUGGAUCGGGCAUCAUUGAAGACCCUCAUGUCAUGCACUGAUCCUGGCCAACCAGCUAGGACAAAUGUAAAUCUCAUAUCAAAGUCACACACACACAUCACAUUCUGACUCUUCUCCUUAUGUCUAUUCCUAUGCUGGGCAGCAGUGGCAACUGGUACCACAACUUGUAUGUGUGUACCAUCUAUUGCACCAAUGCAAUUAUCCAUAAACGGUGCAUACUUUCUAGAUCUUAAUUUUAAAUGCACAGUCCUAAAUUGACGAUCUAUUGGCCUGAUGAUGUCUUUUGCAAGCUUGAUCAGACAUGCCAAAACCUUAUCAAACUUCCUUACAAUUGUCUCCAAUGACCUAACAAAUCUGUUUUUUGCUUGUCUUACAGAUUGAGGGGAACCUACUAUCCAUAGAAACAGGCCUAGAGACUCAACUGAUGACAUUCUUUUAGUGGACUUCAAACCAUAGGAAUCAACAAGCACACUAUGCAAUUUCUCAAACACUGGUCUGUGCAUUCUAAACAUGUUGUAACAGGCCGUUUCGUUGUGUAGUGUUGUCAAAACCCAAUGCCCAGACUCUAUUGGUACUCUUCUAGGUCCUUUGUUACAGUAUGAGUCCAAGUGGUACAUACCAAUCAUGCAGGCCAUCUGCAUCAUUCUUCUCUUUCUUUUUUGGUGCAUGAACAACAUCAGUGCUUCGUCAUCACUGCUGCUCCCAUCAUCACUGCUUAUUCCAUCAACAUUGUUGUCAUCAUCCUGAAACAUGCAAACAUUAGUACAACUUAUUCAUCAUGCACCACCUCUGGAACUUGAAAACAUUAGUACGUGCAAAUUAAACACUUGAACAUGGAAUGGUCAUUUAACAAGGUCACACAACACAGGUCCAUUACAUAGUUCUAUUAAAAAGGACAAUCAAGAUAACUAGUACACUAGUACAACUUCUUCAUCAUGCACCACCUCUUCAACCAAGUCAGCCUAGCCUCAUUAGUUGAAAUGUUCUCAAAUAUGACUCUGUUUGCCUCAUCUGCAAAAAGUUGAGUCGCCAUGAAGUACUCAACACUUGUUUCUUCUGCACCACAUUUAACUGCCAACAAUUGACAAUGAGUAAUGGAUUCCUUAGUGUUGUUUGAUUUCUUCUCUCUUGCCUUGUCCUUUGCUUCCUGCCUUUUGUUUGCAUAUUCAGUGAUCAUGUCAGAAGUGUUAUCACUGUUAAUAGUAUUGAUGAGCCCUGUCAUUAGUUUCACCAUUGGGCUCUUGUGUUUCUUUCCUGGGCUUGAAGCUGACUGUUCACCGCCGCUGCUCCCCUUCUUCUUGCUCGUGGUGCUCAUUGGACUCUCCUCAUGUCCAUCAUCGGCAACAUCAUAUUCCUCUUCAUCAUCUUCAUCUAAGGGCACAUAAGCUGAUGAUCCAUCAACUGCCACACCUUGAAAUAGCUCUAUUAGCAUAUCCAAAUACUCAGGAUUGCCACCCUUGAAUUUUCUGACAUCUGGUCUCUCCUGCAUCAUUAGUUAGAUAAUUAGUACAAGGCUGAAUAAUGUAAACAAGUGUGAGCAAUUCAGAUGUAAUUUGAAAAAUAAUGUAUGUACCUUAAUUAUUUUUUUCCACCACUCAUUUGAUGCGGUUAUAGCUCCAUCUCCAGUUCGGCCACAACCAGUUUGCUGCCCCAACCACAUCCAAGCAGUAUAGUAGCUCUUCAGUCUAGCAAUGCAAUUUUUGAAUUGCUUGGUACUAUGCAGGAGGCCCACACGCUGAUAAAUUUUUUUUCUUCAUGUUAUUGUAUGCUCUACUUGUCCAAACAUCAUUCACACAGUGCCCAUCCCUAGCUUCCUCACAGGCGAUGUUACAAAAUAAAGUAAUAUGCGCGUCUGUCCAAUCGGCCUUUGCAAUGGUUUUCUAAACAAAAAUAACAAGUACACAAUUCAAACAUAAAUAACAAGUAGACAUUUCAAACCAAAAAUAACAAGUUCACACAAUUAGCUAGCACAAAAAAAAGAUGAAUUUUAACGCUGAUACAAAAAAAGACCUAUAUACACAAUUUAAAAAGUUACCUCUCCAAAACCAUUGUUGUCAUCUUCAUCUUCAAAGCCUUCAUUCUCGUCGACAUCUUCUGAAGACGCAGCAGUUGACGACACACGUUGCUUCCCCGCAGUUUUUCCUCUAGUGCCGACAGAUGAGGACGCAUUGGCUCGACCUACACCGCGCCCGGUGACCUGCGACACGGUCCUCCCACGGCCUAUGACGCCCCCCUCAACGGCAGCUACGGCCGGGGCGACGAACGGACGCAGGUGAGAGCCGGCUCGACCUCCGAUGUUCAGAGACCGGCUGCGACCUCCUCCGCCCUGGGGCAUGGGCCUACCACGACCAGGUCCGAUCGGAGGAAGGCCAUGACUAGCCGACUGGUCGAAGAGGAGUUGCUGGUACGAGCCCAAUUUCGGGAAAUCGUCGACGUUGCUGUUGAGAUCCAAGGAACGCCCGAAACCCAUUCCCCUCCCGAGAUUUCCACCGGCGGAUGAGAACUGAGAGAAAAAAGGCAUCUGCUCGUCCUCCUCAUCAGCCAUGGUACGGUCACCUCGGACGCGGGGAUCCUCAUCAGCCAUGGCGCGGUAACCUGCAGUCAAUAUGAAUCAUCAUCAGCCUAAUUGUCAACAGCAAACUAGAAAUAUUAUCAUGUGCAAGAAUUGAUUAUUAACUUGCAAUGGAUGUAUGAGUGAGUGCACCGAUCACAGUUUGCUACAUGUGUUAGCAAAAAUUCAACAGCCCUAAUGCAGUACUCGAUCAAGCUGAGACGUAGGUAGCAUACCAGGAUAUAUAUGGGACAAUGAAUAAUUAGAUGUGCCAAUCAAUAUAACCAGCCAGCAGAAAAUAUGAACCUGCAGAUGAACUAGCGAACCUGCAGAUGAACUAGGGAGACGAGGCGGCGGCCGGGCGGCGUCGGGGCGAGCGGGCGGCGGCCCUCGACUCAGUUGGUCACAUACAAUGGCAAUAACACACUAUCAAAAUUAACUGGUCAAUUCUUCGUUUUUAUAUAAAAAGGCAGAACUCCUGCUGGUUCCUCAAAAACAAAAUUAACGUACUACCAAAAUAUGCUGGGUCUUUUCUGUGAUUCGAUCACGGCUGGCGAUCGGUUUGGAGAACCUUUCAACGUCACGGAAACCGGAGAAGGGAACAUGCAUGCAUGCAUGCACGCACGGCACGUGACGAAAUAUACAAAGGCUGGCGCAUACAAGGAGUAGUGGCUGGGGCGCAUGCGCCGAAUUCGUUUGCAUAUAAAAACAGCACGUGGAAAAUAGUUUACGAUCGAGCGCGCGCGCGUGCGUUGAAGAAAACGACGGGGCGGUCAAACCGCGCCGACAUGCGGGCCCCGGUCGCGUGCCGCCGGAAGCUGCCGUGAGUGAUGGCGAUGAUGGUGAGUGCUCCAGAUGAUUGGUGGCGCCACCAUCCAUGCAUGCAUGCAUGCAAGCAAGGCCCUGUCGGUCAGCGGUAGCUUCCACUUGAACCUUGAAUGCUCCGAUUGCGGCUGCGGCGCGGAAGAGUAGUAGGAGUAGCUUUCUUUUUCUUACCUCUGUCCAAGAUAAAUGUAUCUAGUACAAAGUUAUAUUAAACUUGGAACAGUUACUUUGGAACGAAAUAAGUAUGAAAAUGAUUAUCUUCUAUCGACCGAUUACGCGCGGCCGUUUGUCUUUUAGGACAGACAUUUCUCAUACUGGAUAUAAGUAGAGGUGUUUCGGGACACGCUUAAUUGUGAGGGCAAGCGAUUAGAUUUGGAUUUUUUCAUGCAACAUCUUUAUUGUUGUAAGAAAAAAUAUAUAACAUUAGUUAUAUUGCAGAACACUUUUCGAAACAACAAUAUGAAGUUAAAAGAAAAUCUGCAAUGUUAGCUUUGUUGCACAAAAAUCCAUGCAACAACAUCGUUGCAAAAGUUUCGCAACAUGAUCCCUGUUGCAAUCAUCCGAAUGCAACAAUAUACUUGUUGCAAACGUUGUCAGCUUAAUCUGUUGGUCAUUCCGUAUUAAAUCUUUGUAGCAAAAAAAAUCAAUGUCCGUCUGCAGCUCUAUCAGAGUCCGAAACAAAGCGAUUGUUUCCGCAAAUGAUUUGUUGUUUUAAGAAUUAAUGUGUUAAGGAAGGCGAUCGAGUCACGUGCCAGCCUUUAGAUCGGUUGACUGCGCGCUCGGAUCGGAUGGCUGCCGAUGUUUGCGCACCCGGAGAUCCAACGGUUAUUGUGUUGAUCGAUGUUUAAUAGACAUCUGUUGGUGGAUGCGUGGUGCUCUCAGUAUAAUAUAUGCAGAAAAAAUGUUUUAACACACGUAUACGCCAUCGAUCCGGCACUUCGUUGUCGGCUGCGGCAUGAACAGCACGACUGGUCCACCGCCGUGGCAUCGUCAUCUUCGUCGGGCGCCCACAGGUAAGCCCAUGGUAUACAAUGACAUGUGGUUUUGGUUAAGUUACUCACUUGAUUUUGGGCCACACAAAUGGAGGCGUCUUUCUCUUAACAGAAAACACAUUCCUAUGUACGUAACACGUUGACAUAAACUCUACGCACUGGUUUUUUCUUUUUUGACAUUGCUCUACGCACUAGUUUAAUUUGGAUCUUUCUUUUUUUAACUGGAACACCUUGCAUUCCGAAUUACAACGGACCAACCGAAUUGGUGGUUACAAAAUGAAUUACAAUCAAUUUAUGGUUGAAUGGUUAGAGAGACUGUAUUAUCCUCAGUCCAUCAGGGUUCAAGUCCUGUUGUUCGUACUUAUUUCUGAAUUUAUUUUAAAAUUUUCGAUGAUGCUCAUUCAAUGGAAAGAGACGUUUCCGUCGUCGAUUAGGUGUCUACGACAAUUUCGUAAAUCUCAAGAUAUAUGCUGGUUCAGUCUUUCGAUGGUGCUCAUAAAAAUAGGGUGUGCAUGUGUGUGUCUAUAGGGAUGAGUGUACGCCGCGUGUAUAUAAACGUUUGCAUGUGUAUUAUGUUAACAAAAGUUUCUGCUACCAAACAUGAUGGCACUAUGGCACAUUAUAAAUGAUGACUGUGGGCGGCGUACCCGACCUGGAGAGGACCAUCCGGAGCAGGAGCAGCCGGAGCUACGCGCCUCAUGGGAAGGGUUUGCGACGUCGUUGACGCUUCAUCGGUGUGUGAUGGGCCCGGGGGAUGGAGAUCCACCGCUGUUGAGGCCGCCUUGGUCCUACAACGACCGACGCAACACGAUGCGGAGGGCCACCUCCUCCACAUUGACGUUCGAUCAGUCGGAGCUGCUUCCGUCGCCGGCCAUCGGUUCAGAGUGCCGGGAUUGGAAAUGGAGUGGACGGAGACUGAACUGUCGGAUGUCUAGGGUUUUUGGAUUGGGAUAUUUCGUGGGGUCCGUCGUGGCCCGAGAGGGUCUAGGAGCGCCGAACUUUCUAUAUCCGCUCCAUAUUUAAGAUAGAUAUGAUGGGUGUCGGUUAAUCCGGACAUUUGAGGCCCAUUUAGAGCAAGUACAAUAGAGCUGAGUCAGCUAGCUAUGAGGAAUAAACUAAUAUAUUUUUAUCAAAAAUGCUACACUUACGGGCAAGAUACGGAUGAAACUUACGGAUUGCUGCCGCUUAGCCAAUCCCUCUGCCCCGCUGAUUUCAAGGGUGGGCCCUGGUGCCCCAAGUUUCCAGUAAAACAUGGACAGCUGAGUCCGUAAGUUACUUUCCGUAGCUUCCGUCCGUAAAUCUAGCACUUCUCUAUUUUUAUUUAGUUAGAGGAAAGAGAAGAGGAGAGAGAAGGUAAGCGGCCUCUUAGCUAAGAGCCAGCUCUAGCACGUGCUCCUAGGCAUUUUGUUAAUAUGAAAGGUGGACCAUAUAAUGUAGAAGUAGUAUACUUUUACAAUGAAGUAUUGUACAUGUUAGCUAUAAGAUGGGCUAUAGAUGACAUGGCAGUGGCUUAUAGCCAGCAGCUUGCUCUUAGUGCAUUCCAUUUGGGUAGAUUUUCUCUGGCCGUACGCUGAUUGAUCGGCUGUCCAACGUUCGAAACGAAUAUAAGGGUCUGGUUGUAGAUACUCUAAAACCACGGAGGUGGCGAAAAUUACCCUUCAACCAAUCUACGCAGCGGCUAAACUUCAACGGUGUUUCAUACCCACAGAAACGGAAUCUUUCAAGAGCAACGGAGUCGAACAGCAGAAAGGACCGAGCAAGAUGAAUUCACAAAGUCAAAACAUGGAGCCAGCUCAACACCGACCCCGCAAGUCAAUCCGACCCAACCCAACCCACGCAAUUAAUCUCCUCUAAUCUCUUGCUAACACGCGUGGACUUCUUCGCGUGAUCCACUUCCUAUAAAACGCGCGCGCACCCACUCCCCCUCCCAUUCGAUUUGUGUUCAACUCCAUCCACCAACUCGGUCAGCGUCUUCUUCAUUCGCUCUGCUCUCCACCAGAUCCAUUUCACGAGCAAUCCUUCGCGACCUACGGCCAUGGAGGGGCCGACGGUGGAGGUGCCGCCGUACUUCCUGUGCCCGAUCUCGCUGGAGAUCAUGCGGGACCCCGUCACGCUCGCCACCGGCAUCACCUACGACCGCACCAGCAUCGAGCGCUGGAUCUCCGACGGCCACGCCACCUGCCCCGUCACGCAGCAGAAGAUUGCGGAGGCCGACCGGGAUGCCACGCCCAACCACACGCUCCGCCGCCUCACCCAGGCCUGGUGCUCCCUCCACGCCGUCGAGCGCUUCCCCACCCCGCGCCCGCCCCUCGACACCAGCCGCGUCGCCGAGAUCGUCCAAGAGGGUCACGGUGCCGGCCGGCAGCAGGAGCUGGCCGCGCUCCGCGAGAUCAAGGCCAUCGUCGCCGAGAGCGAUCGCAACAGGCGCUGCGUCGAGGCCACGCCCGGCGCCGUCGAGUUCCUCGUCUCCGUCGUCACGAACCAUGCCACCACGUCCAAGUCGGCUCAAGAUUUGCUAGAACUUUCGCUGGAUUCCCCGACGUCCACGAGCUCGCCGGAGGAGGACGCGCUCAGCGUCAUCUGCUCGCUCAAGCCGUCCAAGAAGAGCCUGCUCCGGAUCCUCGAGAAAAACGUAGACUUCCUGGACACCCUGGUGUGCAUGCUGCGGCGACCGAGCUACCGGUCCCGCUGUUACGGCAUCAUCCUGCUGAAGGCGAUGGUGUCGGUCAUGGAGCCGGCGAGGCUGAUGACGGUGAGAACCGAGCUGGUGCAGGAGGUGGUACGCGUGGUGUCUGACAGGGUGUCCGCCAAGGCGGUGAAGGCGGCGCUGAACGUGCUGUGCCGGCUAUGUCCGUGGGGCCGCAACCGUGUCAAGGCCGUCGAGGCCGGCGCGGUGACUGUGCUGGUGGAGCUGCUCCUCGACGAAGGCGGCCGGCACCCCACCGAGCUGGCGGUGGUGGCCAUCGACCACCUCUGCGGCUGUGCGGAGGGGCGGUCGGACCUUGUGGCGCACCCGGCAGGGCUGGCCGUCGUGGCCAAGAAGGCUAUGCGGGUGUCACCGACCACCACCGAGAGCGCGGUGCGCGCUCUGCACGCCGUGGCUAGGCACUCGCCGACGCCGGCCGUGCUGCAGGAGAUGCUGGCCGUCGGGGUGGUCGCCAAGCUGCUGCUGGUUCUACAGGUGGAUGCCGGCGAGCGGGCCAGGGCCAAGGCCAAGGAGCUGCUCAAGAUGCACGCUAGGGUUUGGAAGGACUCGCCAUGCUUACAAGUGCACCUCAAGGCGCAUUACCCUUGUUGAUUUCGUCACGCUGAAUAUCGCUAGAAGAGAAGAGCCCAUUGCUCUCUUUUAGUUUCUCGCUGUAAUUAUCUACACAAACUGUCAUCAAACAUUGACACUGUUUAAUUGAUUGUAAAUACUAGUUCCUAUUUACAAAAUAAAAAUAAAAAACAGGCGAGACAGGCUUCUUGGAUAUAUCUCUUGGAUUGCCGUGUUAUCAGAUUUUUUGCGUCCUUUGUUCCUUUUUGUGAUAUGUCACAGAAGUUAACAUGAAUGCAUAACACAAAUACUAUUUCCGUCUCGGUUUAUAAGUUGUCUUACGAAAACUAAAUAAUCUCAAAACACUAAGGGACGAUACAUUAACUUUCACUUCAUUUUUUGUUUUUUGACAUGAAUAAAUCAAUCAAUCAAUAAGAAACGUGGAACGUUUAUAUUUUUAAUGACUUGAGACUAACUAGCACAACAUGCAGUAGUAUUCAUUAGCAAAUCAAUACUAGUAAUAUUUUUUCUUAUUUUCGUCUUCGUCUUAAUCGUGGUGCACAACUUAAAAUAACUUAUAAACCAAGAUGAAAGAAAUAUAACAGAUAGAGAAUCAUAACUUAUAAGGCUGAUGUCGAAAACAUGCAUUUGCAUGUUUUCUAGAUGGUCCAACAUACUUCACACGUGCCAGAUAGUGUUACCUCGCGAUGACUUACUCUGGAAAGAUGAAAGCCAAUUCAUAAAUAGAUUCUCACUUUCACAAGGAAAUUUCUUUAGCUUCGCGGCACAAAUUAUUGACUAUAUUAACAAUUUUUGAUUAAUUUAAUCCAAAAAUAACUCAUAAGUAUGGCGUUUGAUAGUAUUUAGCUUGUACUUGUAUCAACCCAAGCAAGCAGGUACUACGCAAAUACUCUCUCCGUUUCAAAAUAAAUGUCGCUGAUUUACUAUAAAGUUACAUUAAAUCCACGACACUUAUUUUGAAACAGAGGGAGUAGUAUAUUCGGUUACGCGGACAACAAGCAAGGUAAAUUUUAAAAACAAUGACAAACGGGAAAGGAAUAAACGAGUUAUACCCUCCAAUUGAUCAGUUCACAGUCGCGCGGCAGCGGCGACUGGCUUCUUCCCAACAAAGAGCUUUUCGACAACGAGUUUCUCAACUUUGGUGACUUGAUGAUGAUGAAGACGAUGAAGAGGUAGAUGAAGUAGUGAACGUAGACGAACGGUUGUGAAAAGACGCGUAGGAGACACUUACCAAAAACCUAAUCGCCCUUCUCUCGGUGCAUGAUCUCAAAGAGCGGGCUUUCAGUUCCAGAGGCCCGCUUCACCGUAUAAUUGUGCAGGCGGUUGAAGGGAUGAGGUCAUCGGUGGCAGCAACGACGAGCACAACGAUGAUGGAAAGUACGCCCGUGGAGACAGAUCAGAUGUGACCUGAUUUUCGUGGUGGCUACCCAACGAUCAAUACUUUGGAUGCGGAAUUGGCGAAGUGCCCAUCGCAAGUGUGGCAGUCCAUCUUGGAAGGAAGAGAUAAUCUCCUCUUAGUCUUAUUAAGAGAAAUGGAAUGGUUGUUGAUACGACCGUUUGGUAUGGUGAUUGGAUCCAUGGGACUUCAAACUUCGGGCGUUGUGUUCCAAAUCAACGUACCCGUCGGAUUGAUCAUGCCUUGGUAUCUUGGGUUCGGGCCAUACUUGACGAGCAUUUCUGGACAAGCAGGCGAUCUUUAAUACUCCUUACUUCCAGAAUACAGUACGAUUUCUGGUAAUGGCAUUACAAAAAAAAGGCGUGUUUACAAUGCAUUUGGCAUACAUACAUGUAUCAUCCACUAAGCAGCAGCGCAUGAAUAGGCCCGGAGACAAUCAUGACCAUUCAAAUUAUGAGGAUAGUGGAAAAUCCUGGUCCAAGCUAUGUGCGGUGAAGAUACCUUUGAAGAUAAGGGUGUUUGCUUGGCGACUUGCAAAAAAUUCCCUUCCUACUAGGGGUGUGUGGAAUCAUAUCCAGAUGGCGGACACAACUGUCAGGCCCAAGAUACGACCCUAUCCACAAUUUGGCACGAGGGCCUCGUCAGGGAUAGAAGCGCAUCUCGUCGUGUCGCAAGAAUGGAUAUCGUUACAAGUACAUGUACUGAAAAAAAGAGAUAUAUAGAUAAAAUUGGCUUACACUCGCCACAAGCUACAUCAGAGUCACAACAGUACAUUACAUAAACAUCAUGAAGAAGAGCAGGGUCCGGCUACGGACGAAAACAAACGAGAAAAGAAGAACGACGUCCAUCCUUCCUAUCCCAGGCUGCCGGCCUGGAACCCAUCGUAGAUCGAAGAACUAGAAGAAGAAGAAGAAGNNNNNNNAGAAGAAGAAGAAGAAGCAAUUCUUAAAGAACACUCAACGCGCUCGCGUCAAGUAAAUUUACAUGUACCUGCAACUGGUGUUGUAGUAAUCUGUGAGCCACAGGGGACUCAGCAAUCUCAUUUCCAAAGGUAUCAAGACUAGCAAAGCUUAAUGGAUGAGGCAUGGUUAAGUGGUGAGGUUGCAGCAGCGGCUAAGCAUAUAUAUAUGGUGGCUAACUUACGAGUACAAGCAAUAAGAGAGGAAAGAUCUACGCAUAGCGGACGUGAACUACAGUUGAUCAAAUGAAUGAUCCUGAACACCUACCUACGUUAGAUAUAACUCCACCGUGUCCUCGAUCGGAGAAGGAACUCAUGAAAGAGACAGUCAUGGUUACGCACACAGUUGGCAUAUUUUAAUUAAGUUAACUUCAAGUUAUCUAGAACCAGUGUUAAACAAAGUUUCCACGUUGCCACAUAACCGCGGGCACGGCUUUCCGAAAAUAUUUAACCCUCUAGGGGUGCUCCAACUAGUCCAUCACAAAUUACCACAAGCCGCAUAGAAAUCCUCAAUCAUGAAGCUCGCGAUCUCGUCGGAUUCCCUAGUGGAAAACCUCAACUCUGAGAUUAUCCAAAGCAUCACUGGAAUCCCGAUGCACAAGAUAUCUCGUCAAAGGUAAAACUAAUCCAGCAAGGCCACCCGGUGUGUCGACGAUCCCGAUAGGAGUCGCGUAUCUCGUUCUCAGGACACACCGUCUAUGCAUAGUGGACGGGAACCAAACCUCGAGUUGCCCCGAGGUGGCACCGCCGACUGCUAGGUGGGUGGACCAACACUCAUGCGGAGCACUGGCCCGGGGGUUGAUUAAAUUUCCUCGGGUUAAUUACUCCCUAUGCAGUUCAUUAGUUAUUAAGCAAAUGUAGUACCAAAGUUGGGCCUUGCGAGACCAGCUUUAAUCUAAAACAAAUUAUCAAGGGGGUACCAUAACAACCCCGAUCGUGUUAGGAGCGCUCAAAUAUGGAACAUAACACCGGUAGCCGAAACUAAGGGGCAAAGGUGGAACAAAACACCAGGCUAGAAAAGUCCGAGCCUUCCCCCUUUUACCAAGUAUAUAGGUGCAUUAAAUUAAAUAGCAUUUAAAUAUGGUGAUAUGACAAGGAACCCAUGUUAUCACAUGGAAGCAACUGCACCUGCAACUAGCAACGUUAACACAUGGAUAAGCAAGCAGUAACAUAGCCAAUCAGGGGUUUGCUAGGUCGAACAGGUUGAAGGUUAUCAUGGUAUUGUUGAGAGGCUGAUAUUUAACAUGUGGUACGCAACAAGAUAUAAACGAUAGAAGCGAUAAAACUAGCAUGGCAAUGAUAGUAAUGGUAUCUCGGGAAAUGGUCAUCUUGCCUGAGAUCCCGCUUGGAAGAAGAACAACUCCGUGACGUCGGCGAACCAACGUAGUCGAACGGGUCCUCACAUUCUGACACGCUUGCGGAACUCUAUCGAGACGGACCAAACCGGAAACAACCGUCAACACAGAUAUUCACCACGGCAAAUGCAAGACAUGAUGCACACCCUAAUAUGAUGCAUGAUCAGUUCAAUGAUGCCAGGCAUGGCAAUUCUCCUCACACAAACACUACACAUUAAGUGAAACGCGAUAUGCAACGAGUUGCAUAUCGACGAAACUCCACGUUUAAUUAUUUAAUUCACUCCCGAUUAUUUGCACAGCAAUAUUAAAUUGUUGUUAACAUGGCAAGGGUGAAGCGGGUGAUUCUACCAGUCAUCCUAGUCGGUUAACACGCGGGACAUAGAACGGAGCUACCACACAAGAAAACAUGCAACAUAAGAUAUAUAUGCCAUGAAUGGGUCAUGCAUGCAAGCUCAUAAUAACACGGGCAAGAAGGAAAAGAAUCAAGAAUCGCCACGGCGAGCGUAAAGGAACCAUGGCGGCAAGAUGGAAACGAUGCCACGGCAACGUUCCUAUCCCGAUAACUCAACGAGAUAUCGGUGCCAACGAAUCGGAAGCGCGUGCGGGAACGCUAAAUAAAGAUGGGGUGAUCCCGCUACGGGGUUCCCAUGUGUCGAUGGCGCGACGAAAGAGAGACAACGUGCAACGGGCAAACAUACGGCGCAAACAUACGGUACAUCUCAUACAACAUUUGCAUUCGGUACACGACACGUUCCAAUGGUAUACCUUCGAAGCAUGCAUAUCAGAGCGGUUCGGGUCAUAGCGGACGUCGUGGAAGUCGUUGUCGUCGUGGAAGUAGUGGAAGUCGUGGUACUCAGGUCUCGUCGACGGUAGUCGUGCUCUUGGCGUCGGUGCACGGGUCUUCACAUCGGUAGUCGAACAUGUUUCCGGGGGUCGUCGAGGACGACGUGGUGCUCGGCGAGUUUGUCGAUUCCACGGCGACGGGGAUGGUGCACGCGGCGACGGCAGGCGACACAACAGCAACGAUCGUCGGCGACGGCAGCAAGCAAGCAACAUAGCAACGGCAACAACAUGCAGGCCAUCAGCAAGCAACGCUAGCAGCUAACUAGCACAAGCUAAAGCAAACAUCUACAGCAAGCAUCGGCAUCGGCAAACAGCAACUAACCUAGCAGCAAACAACAAACUACACCUAGCAACUAACAGCAGCAACUAACACUACUAGCUAGCAGCAAGGCAAGCAAGCAGCAACAUCAUCUACACCAAGCUAGCAGCCGAGCAAAGCAACUAGCCUAGCAUGCAUCGGCGCAGCAGCUCGCGGCAACAGCAAGCACGACAGCAGCUACGACAUAGCAACAGCAUCUCGGCAGCACUAGCAGCCUAGCAUCUACAGCAGCAUGCAACAUCCAACACGGCGCGCAGGCAGGCCAGCAGAACGACGACAGGGCAAGCACGGGGGCGCGCGGGACCAAGGCGAGCAGCGGCAGGGCAAGCCGCCGGCGGGGCGAGCAUCGGCAGGGGCGGGGAACCUGCAGGCGGCUCGGGCGGCCGGCGGCGCGCAGAGGGCCUCGGGCCGGCCAAGGGCGACGAGGGGAGCCGCGGGCACGGUGGCCAUGGCGAGCUCGUGAGGGCGAGGGGCCCUGGCAAGGGAGGCGGCUAGACGGGGGGACCGGAGGCGGCGAUUGGCGAGAGCGAGGACGCGGGGCACGGGGCUCCUACAGGCAGGCGACGACACCGUGGGCAAGGGCUGGCGAGCUCGAGACCAGCUGAGGCGAGAGGUGGCGAGGCCGAGGGGGCGCAGCGCGACGAGGGUCGCACAGCGAGCACGCGGGGAACGGCGGCGCAGCGCGGGGGAGCUGCUGCAGGCGCCAGCGGCUGCAGGGAGGGAGCGCUGGAUCGAGCAGAGGGGGAGGCUGCGCUAGGGGGGAGGACGAGGGAGGAGACGAGAGGGGCUGGGGGCACUAGGGCAGGGGAGGGAAGCCUGCUGGGCCUUGGGCCGGCUGGGCAGCUCCUCCUCAACCCCUCUCUCUUGUUUUUUUUAAACAGAACACACGCAAAAGAAAAAAGGUUUAAAUAAAAGAAAAUAAAAUAAAUGCUUUUCGGCUCCUUGAAAAAGAAACCCCAACUAUAAAAAUAGGUUGGGCAUUUUUUUUAAAGAAAUAAGAUGCAACAUUUUGAAGAAUAAAAUAAAACCCUUUUAACAAGAGAAUAAAAUAAAACCCCUUUUAAAGGAGAAAAGAAAAUGAGACUUUGUUUUUUGAAAAUAAACAAAAGGGAAAAAAUAAGGAAACCCAAGGGUUGCCUCCACAUUUAAUAAAAAGGUUUUUUUAAAAGAAGACGAAUCUUUAUAAAGGGGUUAAAACCGAAAUUUGAACGCAACCACAAAACAAAGUAAGAGGGGAGAGAAGGGGAGUUUCUAUCGCUCUAAAGACUCCAAGAGCACUCACAACUCAGAUGACACCACGCAUCAGAUGAUGCAAGAUGCCAUGAUGCAAACUACAUGAUGAUGCCACAAAAUAAAAUAACCACACGACGGAAACGAAAAUAAAGGGAAUCUUCUAGAACGUCGGCGUCGGGCUGUCACAACAACCAAGUGUUUGAUAUGUCAUGUGGCGAUGGACUAGCGCGGCAUUCCCUCUUCUAUUGUCGGAUGUCAAGGUGUGUUUGGGACAUAGUUGAUGAGGAGCUGACCAAUGCUAUCAUAUCAAACCACACAAAUGAUGUUAGGCUGGCCAUUGUGGGGGUAUCAUAGCUAGUAACAUAGUCUUGGGACUAGCAAACAUGGUGAUGUGACAAGUAAUUAAAGAAGAGAGAGAGGGUUAUAGUAACAUAGAUAGAUACCGUAUCACACUAGUGGGGACGGGGCCUUUAGCCCCGGCCCGUAAGGGGCUUUAGUCCCGGUUCACCAACCGGAACUAAAGGGGCGGGACUAAAGGCCUAACCUUUAGUCCCGGCCCUGUUUCAAGCCGGGACUAAAGGUGCUCCACGUGGGCGCCUCGUAGCGCCCCAGGGGAGGCCCUUUAGUCCCGGUUCAUUACACGGACCGGGACUAAAGAGUUUCAGAUUUUGUUUAUUUUUGGGGUUUUUUUUAAUGAAAUUAUUUUUUGGGUUUUAGGGUUUUAGGGUUUAGGUGUUCGGGAGAUUAACGUGAUGCCUCGUUUGGUGUUCGGGAAUUAGUUUUCAUAUAAUUUAAAUAGAAAUAAUUAUGCAUAUAUAUAUAUAAGAUUAACUUAUCUUACAAGCGAGCAUAUAUAUACAAUUAUAUGGAGAUCUGAAUUAUCGGGACUAGAGCCCGUCUAUUCGAUUACAUGGACGAACAUCAGUAAUGGCCCCUAGCUACACUAAAUCGUCCUUUGUCAUCUAUAGCUUCCGUCCUCAGAAAGGUCGCAAGCUCCUCUGCAACAGCAAUCGCGCGUUGCUCUGGUAGUACCUUCGUCCUCAUGGCUGUGUACUAUAUAAGAAGAGGAGAUGAAUAUGAAUAUCAAUCAUGAUAACAAAGAAUGACGGGGAAAAAUAGAGGUGUGAAUGUUCAUUGCUUACGUUGAAUCUGUGAUCCUUGUGCUCAGAGGUAAACGUGCGAAUGGUCUCGCAAACAUAGUAUCCGCAUAGAUGCAUUCCCCGUGGCUGCUGGUCGCACUUUACGAGAAUAGAAUACAUAUAAUCAAAAUAAUAAUCUAGCAUCAUAAAUGUAUUGAAAAUAGAAGUAAAUCAUACUACUACUUACCUGAGCCGUUCUAAAGGUCAGCUUCUCAGGCUCGAUACCGGGAGUCACGCACUUGAACCGCUUCCAAACCCUGCCCCACAAGGAUAAUGAUUUGCUAAGUUUUUCAUUAAUUGAUAUAUCAGAAAAUCAUCGAAAGAGACCGAUAGAGCGCAAGAAUGAUUGAAAUUACCCUUGGAGCAUGUCGUGCAGGCUUUGGAACUAUUCCAAGGGUCUCGAUAAUGGGUCGAAGGCAUCAACUCUUCCCUUAUCAAUUUGAGCAUAGUAUUCAAAGUAGGAGUACUUUUCCAAUUUGAGCAUUCAAUAAGCAAAACCAAAUCGUAAAAUAAAGUAGUAUUCAAAUUAGCAUGGAUUCAAUAAUAAGCAAAUACAUCAUCUCUUUUGUCCGUACAUCGUCGAAUAUUAUCACUAAUACUCCUCGAAUACUAUCAUACAUAUAACAUCAUUGAUACAUCUAGAACCGUAGCGCCCGACGGGUAUCGGCGCGGGCGGUGGACACCCAAAGAGAAGGAACCAUCACAGGAUCAUAGCUCCAGUGAGAUCCCCGAAGAACCUGCCAGGUAUGCUCGAACCUGCCCUCCAACGCAACCAUGUAGCGACGGACGUGCUCAUCCUCCUCGCUGACACGGUGACGUACCACCUCCGCGGUGUCCGGAAGCCUCGGCACCCUCACUGGCCCAUGCGACCGCCACCAAACAAGGAUCGGGUCAACGACGGGCUGGCUCCUCACCAACCUACGCCCCCCGGAAGGUAGCACCUCCCAAUACCAGCCGGGCAGAGCCCAGUCCCGGACAGGGCCACUCUGAUCAAGCAGGUGUCCUCCGCCGAGUCGACGACGAGGAUGCGGGAUAGGCAUCGUAAAAUGAACUAAAAAAUAAACUAGUUCUAUUAAUUUUCUUGCUAAAAAUAAACUAUUAACACUUAAGCAUAUACAAUAGGAGAAUUAAACUAUUAACACUUAAGCAUAUACAAUAGCAAAAUUAAGCAAUAAUCUAAGAAACACUAUUAACACUUAAGCAUAUACACUAUACAAUAGCAAAAUUAAAUGACAAAAAAAAUAUUUCUUCUUGUUGUAACCCUAAACUAAUUUUUCCUCUUCUUCUAUUUCUCCUCUUCUUCUACUUCUUUUUCUACUUCUACUUCUCCUCUUCUUCUACUACUUCUCCUCUUCUCUUCUUCUACUUCUCCUCUCCUCCUCUUCUAAUUUUUUUCCUCUUCUUCUACUUCUCCUCUUCUUCUAUUUUUCCUCUUCUUCUCCUGUCCUCCUCUUCUUAUUCUCCUUUUUCUUGUUUUCUUCUCCUCCUCUUCUUAUUUUCCUUUUUCCUAAUUCUAAAUAUUACUAACCCUAAUAAUCUAGCACAAACCUAAUAACAAUAGGAAUUAAAUGACAAAAAAAAUCUUUUUCUUCUUUUCUUCCCUUUUUCUUCCUUUCUUCUCCUUUUUCUUCCUUUCUUCUCCUUUUUCUUCUCCUUUUUCUUCUUUUCUUCUACUGGCCGGAGUGUUGGGGAGGAGGGGGCGGGGGGCUUACCGGCCGGAGGUGUCGACGGUGCGCGGCGAGGAGGAGGGCGGCGCACGGCGAGGAGGACGAUAGCGACGGCGAGGAGGACGGCACGCGGCGGCAAGCAGGACGGCAGGCAGCCUGACGGCGUCGUCGAGUUCGUCGCUGUGCCGCGCCGGGCAGGAGAACGAGGAAGAAGGAGAGAAGGAAAUGCGAUUUGGGCUGGAAAUUUUCUAACUCCCGCUUAUAUAGGUGGAUCUUUAGUCCCGGUUCGGGGCUCGCUCCUGGACUAAAGNNNNNNNNNNNNNNNNNNNNNNNNNNNNNNNNNNNNNNNNNNNNNNNNNNNNNNNNNNNNNNNNNNNNNNNNNNNNNNNNNNNNNNNNNNNNNNNNNNNNNNNNNNNNNNNNNNNNNNNNNNNNNNNNNNNNNNNNNNNNNNNNNNNNNNNNNNNNNNNNNGGACUAAAGCCCCUCCUCGGUUGCACGAUAAGUUUAGUCCCACCUCGCCCAGCGAGGGGGACUAACACUUGAUUAUAACCCCCGUCGCAGCUUCUCCAUCGACCUCCUCUCUAAAGCAGGCUUACGGGCCUAAACUGACUGAAAAUUGAAACUAUAUUCGAAAUUAUGGAGAAAAUUCAACCUGAAUUCAAAGUGAGUUCAAUUUGAAUUUAGAUUGAAUUUUCUCUAUAAAUUCUCAUAUAGUUUCAAAUUUUUUCUAUUUUCAUAAUUAAUAAUUUUGACUAUCCAAACUAUUAUCUAUUUUGUUAUUUUCAAUUAAAAACUAUGUUUAUUAAAAAUUCUUUUUGCAUANNNNNNNNNNNNNNNNNNNNNNNNNNNNNNNNNNNNNNNNNNNNNNNNNNNNNNNNNNNNNNNNNNNNNNNNNNNNNNNNNNNNNNNNNNNNNNNNNNNNUUUGUUUAUAAUUACUUAUUAAAUUUAUUUUAUGAUAAUUUUUUUUGCUAUUAAAGUUUCUAACAAAAAAAGUUCUUUAUGAAAAUUCUUUUUGCUUUUAAUGAUUUUGAACAGAAAAUACUUUGAUAAUUUUAGUUGCAUAAAUUUUAUAUAAUUUUAGUUUCAAUAAUACUAGAAGUUGCUUAUAAUGUUUUGAAUAGAAAAUACUUUGAUAAUUUUAGUUUCACAAAUUUUAUUUAUGUUAUUAAAGUUUUUUUUGUCUCUACUUAUCUAUUUUAUUAAAGUUUAUAUUAUUUUGUUUCAAAUUACUUAUUUAUUUUAUUUUGUUUUGUUUCUCACUUCAUUUGUUAUUUUUCAUGCAUUUACUGAUUAUUUUCAGCUAUAAGACCAUGAAAUUGAAAGGCAUUUGAAAUGAACUCUGAANAGGUUCCAAGUUGGCAUGGUAUCAUCAUUUCACCCACAUAGCAUGUGCAAGAAAGUAGAGAGGCUUACGGCAAAAACUGGAUGCACUUCGUGUANNNNNNNNNNNNNNNNNNNNNNNNNNNNNNNNNNNNNNNNNNNNNNNNNNNNNNNNNNNNNNNNNNNNNNNNNNNNNNNNNNNNNNNNNNNNNNNNNNNNUUCAUGCAUUUACUGAUUAUUUUCAGCUAUAAGACCAUGAAAUUGUAAUGUAUUUGAAAUGAACUCUGAAAAGGUUCCAAGUUGGCAUGGUAUCAUCAUUUCACCCACAUAGCAUGUGCAAGAAAGUAGAGAGGCUUACGGCAAAAACUAGAUGCACUUCGUAUACAAAACGGACAAUCUCCUUCGAAGUAUAAGGGUUUCAUACGGAAACUCGUGUGUUACAAAGGGAUUUCAAUUUUUUUAACUUAUUUGAACCCCCUUGUUUUUCUGUGUUCAAAAUGUACCAUUCAAAGCCACAUCAUCAAUUUACAACCCUUUCUGACUUCAUUUGUUAUUUUUCAUGCAUUUACUGAUUAUUUUCACCUAUAAGACCAUGAAAUUGAAAAGCAUUUGAAAUGAACUCUCGAAAGGUUCCAAGUUGGCAUGGUAUCAUCAUUUCACCCACAUAGCAUGUNNNNNNNNNNNNNNNNNNNNNNNNNNNNNNNNNNNNNNNNNNNNNNNNNNNNNNNNNNNNNNNNNNNNNNNNNNNNNNNNNNNNNNNNNNNNNNNNNNNNNNNNNNNNNNNNNNNNNNNNNNNNNNNNNNNNNNNNNNNNNNNNNNNNNNNNNNNNNNNNNNNNNNNNNNNNNNNNNNNNNNNNNNNNNNNNNNNNNNNNNNNNNNNNUUUACAAAGGGAUUUCAUUUUUUUGAACUUAUUUUAACCCCCUUGAUUUUCUGUGUUCAAAAUGCACCAUUCAAAGCCACAUCAUCAAUUUACAACCCUUUCUGACUUCAUUUGUUAUUUUUAUGCAUUUAUUGAUUAUUUUCAGCUAUAAGACCAUGAAUUUGUAAAGCAUUUGAAAUGAACUCUGAAAAGGUUCCAAGUUGGCAUGGUAUCAUCAUNNNNNNNNNNNNNNNNNNNNNNNNNNNNNCCAGCUAUAAGACCAUGAAAUUGAAAAGCAUUGAAAUGAACUCUGAAAAGGUUCCAAGUUGGCAUGGUAUCAUCAUUUCACCCACAUAGCAUGUGCAAGAAAGUAGAGAGGCUUACGGCAAAAACUGGAUGCACUUCGUGUACAAAACGGACAAUCUCCUUCGAAGUAUCAGGGUUUAAUACAGAAACUCGUCUGUUACAAAGGGAUUUCAAUUUUUUUUAACUUAUUUGAACCCCCUUGUUUUUCUGUGUUCAAAAUGCAUAAUUAAAAGCCACAUCAUCAAUUUACAACCCUUUCUGACUUCAUUUGUUAUUUNNNNNNNNNNGUACAAAACGGACAAUCUCCUUCGAAGUAUCACAGUUUCAUACGGAAACUCGUCUGUUACAAAGGGAUUCCAAUUUUUUUGAACUUAUUUGAACCCCCUUGUUUUUUUGUGUUAAAAAUGCACCAUUCAAAGCCACAUCAUCAAUUUACAACCCUUUCUGACNNNNNNNNNNNNNNNNNNNNNNNNNNNNNNNNNNNNNNNNNNNNNNNNNNNNNNNNNNNNNNNNNNNNNNNNNNNNNNNNNNNNNNNNNNNNNNNNNNNNACCCCCCUUUAGUCCCGGGUGGAGCCACGACCCGGGACUAAAGGCCCUUUUUCGGCUGACCAGAAGGCGGGAAGCAGGGGCCUUUAGUCCCGGGGCGUGGCUCCACCCGGGACUAAAGCCCCUCCUCGGUUGCACGAUAAGUUUAGUCCCACCUCGCCCAGCGAGGGGGACUAACACUUGAUUAUAACCCCCGUCGCAGCUUCUCCAUCGACCUCCUCUCUAAAGCAGGCUUACGGGCCUAAACUGACUGAAAAUUGAAACUAUAUUCGAAAUUAUGGAGAAAAUUCAACCUGAAUUCAAAGUGAGUUCAAUUUGAAUUUAGAUUGAAUUUUCUCUAUAAAUUCUCAUAUAGUUUCAAAUUUUUUCUAUUUUCAUAAUUAAUAAUUUUGACUAUCCAAACUAUUAUCUAUUUUGUUAUUUUCAAUUAAAAANNNNNNNNNNUUUUAAAAGUAAUUAUUUUGACUAUCCAAACUAUUAACUAUUUUGUUAUUUACAAUUAAAAANNNNNNNNNNGUUCAAAAGUAAUUAUUUUGACUAUCCAAACUAUUAUCUAUUUUGUUAUUUUCAAUUAAAAACUAUGUUUAUUCAAAUUCUUUUUGCAUAUUUGAGAAUUUGACAAAACUAUGAUAAUGAAAAGUGUUUGAAAUUGAAUAAAUAAUGCAAAACUAUUUUNNNNNNNNNNNNNNNNNNNNNNNNNNNNNNNNNNNNNNNNNNNNNNNNNNNNNNNNNNNNNNNNNNNNNNNNNNNNNNNNNNNNNNNNNNNUAUUUUUUUUUAGCUAGUUGACCCUGAAAUUGAAAAGCACUACAAAUGAACUCUGAAAAUGUUGAAAGUUGGCAUGCUAUCAUCAUUUCACCCACAUAGAAUGUGUUAAAAAGUUGAGAGGGCUACGACAAAAACUGGAAGCACUUCGUGUACAAAACGGAAAAUCUCUCUCGAAGUAUCAACGUUUCGAACGAGAACUCAUCUCUUACAACGGGAUUUCAUUUUUUGAACUUAUUUGAACUCCAUACUUUUUGUGUGUUCAAAAUGCANNNNNNNNNNNNNNNNNNNNNNNNNNNNNNNNNNNNNNNNNNNNNNNNNNNNNNNNNNNNNNNNNNNNNNNNNNNNNNNNNNNNNNNNNNNNNNNNNNNNAAUACUUGACACGCAGAAAACAGUAGCAACAAAAUGACACGAUCAACAUGCUACAUCUAUUAGUUUGGGUCUAGUCCAUCACGUGAUUCUCCCAAUGACGUGAUCCAGUUAUCAAGCAACAACACCUUGUUCAUAAUCAGAAGACACUGACUAUCAUCGUUCAACUGGCUAGCCAACUAGAGGCAUGCUAGGGACGGUGUUUUGUCUAUGUAUCCACACAUGUAAAUGAGUCUUCAUUCAAUACAAUUAUAGCAUGGAUAAUAAACUAUUAUCUUGAUACAGGAAUUAUAAUAAUAAUUAUACAUUUAUUAUUGCCUCUAGGGCAUAAUUCCAACAUCUCUCGCCCGGAGGCGCUUUGGGAUUGGCGAGCACGAGCGGCGCUCUCGGCGAGGCUGGGCGCCGGGGCGACGACCCCGGCUUGGACCUGCGGUGGUGACGGCAGCGGUGGCCGCGGGGACCGCGCCUCGGCGCGUAGAGGUGGCUGGGAAGGCUUGACCCCUUGUGGGCAGGACUCGAUCUGGCUCAGCCAUAUCUGGUUUCCGGGACUGCAGGCGGUGCNNNNNNNNNNNNNNNNNNNNNNNNNNNNNNNNNNNNNNNNNNNNNNNNNNNNNNNNNNNNNNNNNNNNNNNNNNNNNNNNNNNNNNNNNNNNNNNNNNNNAAACCCUUAUAAAUAACUGUUUUUUUACAGUUUGCGAAUAAAAAAACGCAUAGACUAGAACCCCUUAACCCUCAAACCCUUAAAAAAAAUUUGAGGAUCCAACCCUCAAACUCCCUCUCAACCUGUAGAAGUGAGGGUUGGAGAGCGAAAACUACCCCAACCCUCAAACCGUUCCAUCGUCGCGCGGGAGGGACUUUUCCCCGUCCCCAACUGCCGCCGCCAUUCCGACCACCGCCGCCGCCCCAUGCUGCCGCCGCGCCCCGCCGCCCCGAGCCGCCGCCGCGCCGUGCCCCACGGCCGCCCGCCGCGAGGCCGGCCCCAGGCCUCCUUGAGCUCUCCUCGCCGCCGCGCCAGAGGCGAGGCGGGCCAGAGGCAGCCGCGCCGCCACGAGCUCUCCUGUUUUUGCCCCUGUUUUUGUUAUAAGGGUUGGGUUUGAGGGUUCUAGUCUUUGCCCCUGUUUUUCAACCCUUAAAAGUGCCAAAAAAUGCAAAUUCUCAACCCUUAAAACUGGUUUGAGGGUUUGAGGGUACUCCUAAAGAUGCUCUCAGAUGAUGCCUCCAACCAUUUCAGGUAAAGACAUCCUUGUCCUUCUGUUCCAUCCACGUACACACGGCUAUAAACAGUUGUUAGUGUUCAGAUCACUGAAGAAUAGACUACAAAGGGACCCAUUGCGUAGACUUCUAGAUAACCUGUAGCAAAGAGAAAUCUGACUUAUAACUAAUUUGUUUUCGAAAAGAAGGAUUACUCCCGGCUAAGCCUGGGCAUACCCCGGGCCGGGCCGGGCCGGGCNNNNNNNNNNNNNNNNNNNNNNNNNNNNNNNNNNNNNNNNNNNNNNNNNNNNNNNNNNNNNNNNNNNNNNNNNNNNNNNNNNNNNNNNNNNNNNNNNNNNCUUCUUUUCUUCUCCUUCCCUUUUUCUUCCUUUCUUCUCCUUUUUCUUCCUUUCUUCUCCUUUUUCUUCUUUUCUUCUCCUUUUUCUUCUUUUCUUCUACUGGCCGGAGUGUUGGGGAGGGGCGGGGGGCUUACCGGCCGGAGGAGGGGGCGGGGGGCUUACUACCCGGAGGUGUCGACGGCGCGCGGCGAGGAGGACGGCGGCGACGGCGAGGAGGACGGCAGGCGGNNNNNNNNNNNNNNNNNNNNNNNNNNNNNNNNNNNNNNNNNNNNNNNNNNNNNNNNNNNNNNNNNNNNNNNNNNNNNNNNNNNNNNNNNNNNNNNNNNNNNNNNNNNNNNNNNNNNNNNNNNNNNNNNNNNNNNNNNNNNNNNNNNNNNNNNNNNNNNNNNNNNNNNNNNNNNNNNNNNNNNNNNNNNNNNNNNNNNNNNNNNNNNNNNNNNNNNNNNNNNNNNNNNNNNNNNNNNNNNNNNNNNNNNNNNNNNNNNNNNNNNNNNNNNNNNNNNNNNNNNNNNNNNNNNNNNNNNNNNNNNNNNNNNNNNNNNNNNNNNNNNNNNNNNNNNNNNNNNNNNNNNNNNNNNNNNNNNNNNNNNNNNNNNNNNNNNNNNNNNNNNNNNNNNNNNNNNNNNNNNNNNNNNNNNNNNNNNNNNNNNNNNNNNNGGGACUAAAGCCCCUCCUCGGCUGCACGAUAAGUUUAGUCCCACCUCGCCGAGCGAGGGGGACAAACACUUGUUUAUAAGCCCCGUCGCAGCUUCUCCAUCGAGCUCCUCUCUAAAGUAGGCUUACGGGCCUAACCUAACUGAAAAUUGAAACUAUAUUCGAAAUUAUGGAGAAAAUUCAACCUGAAUUCAAAGUGAGUUCACUUCGAAUUUAGGUUGAAUUUUCUCUAUAAAUUCUCAUAUAGUUUCAAUUUUUUUCUAUUUUCAAAAUUAAUUAUUUUGACUAUCCAAAUUAUUAUCUAUUUUGUUANNNNNNNNNNNNNNNNNNNNNNNNNNNNNNNNNNNNNNNNNNNNNNNNNNNNNNNNNNNNNNNNNNNNNNNNNNNNNNNNNNNNNNNNNNNNNNNNNNNNNUAAAGACCCCCUUUAGUCCCGGGUCGAGCCACGACUAGGGACUAAAGACCCCUUUUCGUCAGGCGGAGUGGCGGGAAACGAGGUUCUUUAGUCCCGGGUCGUAUCUCGACCCGGGACUAAAGGUGGUAAGUUUUAGUCCCACCUCGCUUGUCAAGAGGCGGUGCAACUAGUUUAUAAGCCCCACCGCCCCGAACCGUCUCGAGCUCUUCUCUAAAGCAGACUUACUGGCCUAAACGCACUCUAAAUUUAAAAAUGAAAAAAUAUAUAUGAAAUUAAAGACAAAAUUCAACCUAAAUUCAAAGUGACUUUGAAUCACUUUGAAUUUGGCUUGAAUUUUCUCUAUAAAUUUUCAUAUAGUUUCAAAUUUUCCAUUAUUUUUGUUUUGUUCUUUGCUUUAUUUAUUUUGUUUUUUUCUACUUACAACUAAAUAUUAAGUUUUCAAAUUUAAAAUUCUUUGAAAUUUGUGAAUACCUUUACUUUCAUUUUUUGCUAUUAAAGAUUAUUUUUUCUCUUCUAUUUUAGUUUACUAUUAAAGAUUUUUACCAGAAAACUUUAUGAAAACUCUUUUGAGCCUAAACGCACUCUGAAUUUAAAAAUUUGAAAUAUAUGUGAAAUUCAAGAUAAAAUUCAACCUAAAUUCAAAGUGAAUCACCUUGAAUUUGGGUUGAGUUUUCUCUAUAAAUUCUCAUAUAGUUUUAAUUUUUUUCCAUUAUUUUUAUUUUGUUCUUUGCUUUAUUUAUUUUGUUUUUUUCUACUUACAGCUAAAUAUUUAGAUUUCAAAUUUUAAUUCUUUUGAGUUGAUCUUUUUAUUGUUUAUUUUUAGUUAAUGUUUUACUUAAAUCUUUUAAACAAAUAAGCACUUUGAUAAUUUUAGUUGAUUAUUUUUAAUUCAUUCAUUUUAUUUAAUGUUUUAGUCGAUUCUUUUUAGUUAACUCUUUUUUUCUAUGAAAUAUUUUAACAAAUUUUUAACAAUUUGUAACUUCAUUUGGUAUUUUUCGUGCAUUUACUUUUUUUUGGCUAGUUGACCCUAAAAUUGAAGAACACUACAAACGAACUCUGAAAAUGUUGAGAGCUCGCAUGCUAUUAUCAUUUCACCCACAUAGCAUGUGCUAAAAAGUUGAGAAGGUUAUGACAAAAACUUGAUGCUCUUCGUGUACGAAAUGGAUAAUCUCUCUCGAAGUAUCAGGGUUUCGAAUGAGAACUCAUCUGUUACAAAGGAAUUUCAUUUUUUGAACUUAUUUGAACNNNNNNNNNNNNNNNNNNNNNNNNNNNNNNNNNNNNNNNNNNNNNNNNNNNNNNNNNNNNNNNNNNNNNNNNNNNNNNNNNNNNNNNNNNNNNNNNNNNNCCAUACUUUUUGUGUGUUCAAAAUGCAUCAUUCAAAGGCACAUCACAAAUUUUCAACAAUUUCUGACUUCAUUUGGUUUUUUUCAUGUAUUUACUUAUUAUUUUUGAGCUAGUUGACCCUGAAAUUGAAUAGCAGUACAAAUAAACUCUGAAAAUGUUGAAAGUUGGCAUGGUAUCAUCAUUUCACCCACAUAGCAUGUGCUAAAAAGUUGAGAGGGUUACGAUAAAAACUGGAUGCACUUCGUGUACAAAACGGACAAUCUCUCUCGAAGUAUGAGAGUUUUGAACGAGAACUAAUCUGUUACAAAGAGAUUUCAUUUUUUGAACUUAUUUAAACUCCAUACUUUUUGUGUGUUCAAAAUGCACCAUUCAAAGGCACAUCACAAAUUUUCAACAAUUUCUGACUUCAUUUGGUAUUUUUCGUGCAUUUACUUAUUUGUUUUUGAGCUAGUUGACCGUGAAAUUAAAAAGCACUACAAAUGAACUCUAAAAAUGUUGAAAGUUGGCAUGGUAUCAUAAUUUCACCCACAUAGCAUGUGCUAAAAAGUUGAGAGGGUUACGACAAAAACUGGAUGCACUUCGUGUACAAAACGGAUAAUCUCUCUCGAAAUAUGAGGGUUUCGAAACUCAUCUCUUACAAAGGGAUGCAUUUUUUUAAACUUAUUUGAACUCCANNNNNNNNNNNNNNNNNNNNNNNNNNNNNNNNNNNNNNNNNNNNNNNNNNNNNNNNNNNNNNNNNNNNNNNNNNNNNNNNNNNNNNNNNNNNNNNNNNNNGGGACGUGAGGACGUUCCACUACAUCAACCGCGUUCACUAACGCUUCUGCUGUACGAUCUACAAGGGUACGUAGAUCACUCAUCCCCUCUCGUAGAUGGACAUCACCAUGAUAGGUCUUCGUGCGCGUAGGAAAAUUUUUGUUUCCCAUGCGACGUUCCCCAAGAGUGGCAUCAUGAGCUAGGUUCAUGCGUAGAUGUCUUCUCGAGUAGAACACAAAAGGUUUUGUGGGCGGUGAUGUGCGUUUUGCUGCCCUCCUUAGUCUUUUCUUGAUUCCGCGAUAUUGUUGGAUUGAAGCGGCUUGGACCGACAUUACUCGUACGCUUACGAGAGACUGGUUUCAUCGUUAGGAGUACCCCCCUUGCUCAAAGAUGACUGGCAAGUGACGGUUUCUCCAACUUUACUUGAAUCGGAUUUGACCGAGGAGGUCCUUGGAUGAGGUUAAAUAGCAACUCAUAGAUCUCCGUUGUGGUGUUUGCGUAAGUAAGAUGCAAUCCUACAAGAUACCUUUGGUCACCACGUAAAACAUGCAACAACAAAAUUAGAGGACGUCUAACUUGUUUUUGCAGGGUAUGAUUGUGAUGUGAUAUGGCCAAUGAUGUGAUGUGAUAUAUUGGAUGUAUGAGAUGAUCAUGUUGUAAUAGAAAUAUCGACUUGCACGUUGAUGGUACGGCAACCGGCAGGAGCCAUAGGGUUGUCUUUAUACUAACGUUUGUGCUUGCAGAUGCGUUUACCAUUUUGCUAGGAUGUAGCUUUAGUAGUAAUAGCAUAACUAGCACGACAAACCCGAUGGCAACACGUUGAUGGAUGAUCAUGGUGUGGCGCUGGUGACAAGAAGAUCGUGCCGGUGCUUAGGUGAUGGAGAUCAAGAAGCACGUGAUGAUGGCCAUAUCAUGUCACUUAUGAAUUGCAUGUGAUGUUAAUCCUUUUAUGCACCUUAUUUUUCUUAGAACGACGGUAGCAUUAUGAGGUGAUCUCUCACUAAAAUUUCAAGACGAAAUUGUGUUCUCCCCGACUGUGCACCGUUGCUACAGUUCGUCAUUUCGAGACACCACGUGAUGAUCGGGUGUGAUAGACUCAACGUUCACAUACAACGGGUGCAAAACAGUUGCGCACGCGGAACACUCGGGUUAAGCUUGACGAGCCUAGCAUGUGUAGACAUGGCCUCGGAACACAUGAGACCGAAAGGUCGAUCAUGAAUCAUAUAGUUGAUAUGAUUAGCAUAGGGAUGCUUACCACUGAAACUACUCUCGACUCACGUGAUGAUCGGACUUGGGAUAGUGUAAGUGGAUCAUGAACCACUCAAAUGACUAGAGAGAUGUACUUUUUGAGUGGGAGUUUAGCAUAUAAUUUGAUUAAGUUGAACUCUAAUUAUCUUGAACAUAGUCUAAGUCCAAUUUGAAUAUAUUUGUGUUGUAGAUCAUGGCUCACCCAAGUGUCAUCCUGAAUUUUAAUACGUUCCUAGAGAAAGCUAAGUUGAAAGAUGAUGGAAGCAACUUUGUAGACUGGGCUCGUAAUCUUAAGCUAAUCUUACAAGCUGGAAAGAAGGAUUAUGUCCUUAAUGCUGCGCUAGGAGAUGAACCACCCGCUACGGCUGAUCAGGAUGUUAAGAACGCUUGGUUAGCGCGUAAGGAGGACUACUCAAUAGUUCAAUGUGCAGUCUUGUAUGGCUUAGAACCGGGACUUCAACGUCGCUUUGAGCGUCAUGGAGCAUUUGAGAUGUUCCAGGAGUUUAAAUUUAUCUUUCAGAAGAACGCCCGGAUCGAGAGGUAUGAGACCUCCGAUAAAUUCUAUGCUUGCAAGAUGGAGGAAAACUCGUCUGUCAGUGAACAUGUGCUCAAAAUGUCUGGGUACUCAAACCGUCUAGCUGAACUGGGGAUUGAACUCCCGCAAGAAGCUAUCACUGACAGAAUCCUUCAAUCACUGCCGCCAAGCUAUAAAGGCUUUGUGUUGAACUACAACAUGCAAGGGAUGAACAAGUCUCCCGGCGAGUUGUUUGCGAUGCUGAAAGUCGCAGAGUCUGAACUCCGUAAAGAGCAUCAAGUGUUGAUGGUGAGCAAGACCACUAGUUUCAAGAGAAACGGCAAAGGCAAUAAGGGCAAUUCGAAGAAGAGCGGCAAGCCUGUUGCCAAUCCGCCAAAGAAACCCAAGGCUGGACCUAAGCCUGAAACAGAGUGCUUCUAUUGCAAGGGUAUGGGUCACUGGAAGCGCAAUUGCCCCAAGUAUCUGGCAGAUAAGAAGGCGGGCAAAGAAAAAUCAGGUAUAUUUGAUAUACAUGUUAUUGAUGUGUACUUAACCGGCUCUCGUAGUAGUGCCUGGGUAUUCGAUACCGGUUCUGUUGCUCACAUUUGCAACUCGAAGCAGGAACUGCGGAAUAGACGAAGGCUGGCGAAAGACGAAGUGACGAUGCGCGUAGGAAAUGGUUCCAAGGUUGAUGCAAUCGCCGUCGGCACAGUGUCACUUCAACUACCAUCGGGAUUAGUGAUGAACUUAAAUCAUUGUUAUUUAGUGCCUGCGUUGAGCAUGAACAUUAUAUCUGGAUCUUGUUUAUUGCGAGACGGUUACUCUUUUAAGUCUGAGAAUAAUGGUUGUUCUAUUUCUAUGAGUAACAUCUUUUAUGGUCAUGCACCGAAUGUGAGAGGAUUGUUCAUAUUGAAUCUCGAUAGCGAUACGCAUAUACAUAACAUUGAGACCAAAAGACUUAGAGUAAACAAUGAUAGCGCCAUAUUUUUGUGGCACUGCCGCUUGGGUCAUAUUGGUGUAAAGCGCAUGAAGAAACUCCAUGCUGAUGGACUUUUGGAGUCACUUGACUUUGAUUCACUUGACACGUGCGAACCAUGCCUCAUGGGCAAGAUGACUAAGACUCCGUUCUCCGGAACAAUGGAGCGUGCAAGUGACUUGUUGGAAAUCAUACAUACCGAUGUGUGUGGUCCGAUGAGCGUGGAGGCACGCGGCGGAUAUCGUUAUUUUCUCACCUUCACUGACGAUUUAAGUAGAUAUGGUUAUGUCUACUUGAUGAAGCACAAGUCUGAAACAUUUGAAAAGUUCAAGCAAUUUCAGAGUGAAGUGGAAAAUCAUCGUAACAAGAAGAUCAAGUUCCUACGGUCUGAUCGUGGGGGUGAAUAUCUGAGUUUCGAGUUUGGUACUCACUUAAGACAAUGUGGAAUUGUUUCGCAGUUAACACCGCCUGGAACACCACAGCGUAAUGGUGUGUCCGAACGUCGUAAUCGUACUUUGUUAGAGAUGGUGCGAUCUAUGAUGUCUCUUACUGAUUUGCCGUUAUCAUUUUGGGGUUAUGCAUUAGAAACAGCUGCAUUCACUUUAAAUAGGGCACCAUCAAAAUCCGUUGAGACGACACCAUACGAACUGUGGUAUGGCAAAAGACCAAAGUUGUCGUUUCUUAAAGUUUGGGGAUGUGAUGCUUAUGUCAAAAAGCUUCAGCCUGAAAAGCUGGAACCCAAAGCAGAAAAGUGCGUCUUCAUAGGUUACCCAAAAGAGACAGUUGGGUACACCUUCUAUCUCAAAUCCGAGGGCAAAGUGUUUGUUGCUAAGAACGGAACUUUUCUCGAGAAGGAGUUUCUCUCGAGAGAAUUGAGUGGGAGGAAGAUAGAACUUGACGAGGUUGUCGAACCUCUCAUCCCUCUGGAUGGUGGCACAGGGCAAGGGGAAACCUCUGUCGUUGCGUCGCCGGUUGAGGAGGAAGUUAAUGAUGAUGAUCAUGAAACUCUAGUUCAAGUUUCUGUUGAACCACACAGGUCGACGAGAUCACGCGCUGCUCUAGAGUGGUACGGUAAUCCCGUCUUAUCAAUCAUGUUGUUAGACAACAAUGAACCUGCAAAUUAUGAAGAAGCAAUGGUGGGCCUAGAUUCCAACAAAUGGCUAGAAGCCAUGAAAUCCGAGAUAGGAUCCAUGUAUGAGAACAAAGUGUGGACUUUGGAGAUACUACCUGAGGGCCGCAAGGCUAUUCAGAACAAAUGGAUUUUUAAGAAGAAGACGGACGCUGACAGUAAUGUGACCAUUUAUAAAGCUCGACUUGUGGCAAAGGGUUUUUCACAAGUUCCAGGAGUUGACUACGAUGAGACCUUCUCACCCGUAGCGAUGCUUAAAUCUGUCAGAAUCAUGUUAGCAAUAGCUGCAUUUUUCGAUUAUGAAAUCUGGCAGAUGGAUGUCAAAACGGCGUUCCUUAACGGUUUCCUUAAGGAAGAGUUGUAUAUGAUGCAACCCGAAGGUUUUGUCGAUCCUAAAAAUGCUGACAAGGUGUGCAAGCUCCAGCGAUCCAUUUAUGGACUGGUGCAAGCAUCUCGGAGUUGGAACAAACGCUUUGAUGAGGUGAUCAAAGCAUUUGGGUUUAUACAAGUGGUUGGAGAAUCUUGUAUUUACAAGAAAGUGAGUGGGAGCUCUGUGGCGUUUCUAAUAUUAUAUGUGGAUGACAUAUUACUGAUUGGAAACAACGUAGAGCUUUUGGAGAGCAUAAAAGGUUACUUAAAUAAAAGUUUCUCUAUGAAGGACCUAGGAGAAGCUGCUUACAUUCUAGGCAUUAAGAUCUAUAGGGAUAGAUCAAAACGCCUGAUACGACUUUCACAAAGCACAUACCUUGAUAAAGUUUUGAAGAGGUUCAAAAUGGAACAGUCCAAGAAAGGGUUCUUGCCAGUGUUACAAGGUACGAGAUUGAGUAAGACUCAGUGCCCAGCAACUGAUGAAGAUAGAGAGCAUAUGCGCUCCGUCCCCUAUGCUUCAGCCAUAGGUUCUAUCAUGUAUGCGAUGUUGUGCACUAGACCGGAUGUUAGCCUGGCCAUAAGUAUGGCAGGCAGGUUCCAGAGUAAUCCAGGAGUGGAUCACUGGACAUCGGUCAAGAAUAUCCUGAAGUACCUGAAAAGGACUAAGGAGAUGUUUCUCGUGUAUGGAGGUGAUGAAGAGCUCGCCGUAAAAGGUUACGUCGAUGCAAGCUUUGACACAGAUCCGGAUGACUCUAAGUCGCAAACCGGAUACGUAUUUAUUCUUAAUGGGGGUGCAGUAAGCUGGUGCAGUUCCAAGCAAAGCGUCGUAGCAGAUUCUACAUGUGAAGCGGAGUACAUGGCUGCCUCGGAGGCGGCUAAGGAGGGUGUCUGGAUGAAGCAGUUCAUGACGGAUCUUGGAGUGGUGCCAAGUGCACUGGAUCCAAUAACCUUGUUCUGUGACAACACUGGUGCCAUUGCCUUAGCAAAGGAACCAAGGUUUCACAAGAAGACCAGACACAUCAAACGACGCUUCAACCUCAUUCGCGACUACGUCGAGGAGGAGGACGUAAAUAUAUGCAAAGUGCACACGGAUCUGAAUGUAGCAGACCCGCUGACUAAACCUCCUCCACGGCCAAAACAUAAUCGACACCAGAACUGUAUUGGUGUUAGAUUUAUUACAAUGUAAUUCACAUGAUAAUGUGAGGGCUAGAUUAUUGACUCUAAUGCAAGUGGGAGACUGUUGGAAUUAAGCCCUAGAGGCAAUAAUAAAUGUAUAAUUAUUAUUAUAAUUCCUGUAUCAAGAUAAUAGUUUAUUAUCCAUGCUAUAAUUGUAUUGAAUGAAGACUCAUUUACAUGUGUGGAUACAUAGACAAAACACCGUCCCUAGCAUGCCUCUAGUUGGCUAGCCAGUUGAUCGAUGAUAGUCAGUGUCUUCUGAUUAUGAACAAGGUGUUGUUGCUUGAUAACUGGAUCACGUCAUUGGGGGAAUCACGUGAUGGACUAGACCCAAACUAAUAGACGUAGCAUGUUGAUCGUGUCAUUUUGUUGCUACUGUUUUCAGCGUGUCAAGUAUUUAUNNNNNNNNNNNNNNNNNNNNNNNNNNNNNNNNNNNNNNNNNNNNNNNNNNNNNNNNNNNNNNNNNNNNNNNNNNNNNNNNNNNNNNNNNNNNNNNNNNNNCCUCACGUCCCUCGAUCCGCCCCGCGAACAAUCCCGCGAUCAGUCCCACGAUCUAGUACCGAACGGACGGCACCUCCGCGUUCAGCACACGUACAGCUCGACGAUGAUCUCGACCUUCUUGAUCCAGCAAGAGAGACGGAGAGGUAGAAGAGUUCUCUGGCAGCGUGACGGUGCUCCGGAGGUUGGUGAUGAUCUCGUCUCAGCAGGGCUCCGCCCGAGCUCCGCAGAAACGCGAUCUAGAGGAAAAACUAUGGAGGUAUGUGGUCGGGCAGCCGUGAGAAAGUCGUCUCAAAUCUGCCCUAAAAGCCCCAUAUAUAUAGGAGGAGGGAGGGGAACCUUGCCUUGGGGUCCAAGGGACCCUCAAGGGGUCGGCCGAGCCAAGGGGGGGAGGACUCCCCCCCCAAACCGAGUUGGACUUGGUUUGGUGGGAGGAGUCCCCCUCCCUUCCCACUUCUUCCCUCUUUUUUUCUUUUCCUUUGAUUUCCUUUCCUUGGCGCAUAGGCCCCCUUGGGACUGUCCCACCAGCCCACUAAGGGCUGGUGUGUCUCCCCAAAGCCUAUGGGCUUCCCCGGGGUGGGUUGCCCCCCCCGCUGAACUCCCGGAACCCAUUCGUCAUUCCCGGUACAUUCAUGGUAACUCCGAAAACCUUCCGGUAAUCAAAUGAGGUCAUCCUAUAUAUCAUUCUUCGUUUCCGGACCAUUCCGGAAACCCUCGUGACGUCCGUGAUCUCAUCCGGGACUCCUAACAACAUUCGGUAACCAACCAUAUAACUCAAAUACACAUAAAACAACGUCGAACCUUAAGUGUGCAGACCCUGCGGGUUCGAGAACUAUGUAGACAUGACCCGAGAGACUCCUCGGUCAAUAUCCAAUAGCGGGACCUGGAUGCCCAUAUUGGAUCCUACAUAUUCUACGAAGAUCUUUAUCGUUUGAACCUUAGUGCCAAGGAUUCGUAUAAUCCCGUAUGUCAUUCCCUUUGUCCUUCGGUAUGUUACUUGCCCGAGAUUCGAUCGUCAGUAUCCGUAUACCUAUUUCAAUCUCGUUUACCGGCAAGUCUCUUUACUCGUUCCGUAAUACAAGAUCCCGCAACUUACACUAAGUUACAUUGCUUGCAAGGCUUGUGUGUGAUGUUGUAUUACCGAGUGGGCCCCGAGAUACCUCUCCGUCACACGGAGUGACAAAUCCCAGUCUUGAUCCAUACUAACUCAAUUAACACCUUCGGAGAUACCUGUAGAGCAUCUUUAUAGUCACCCAGUUACGUUGCAACUUUUGAUACACACAAAGCAUUCCUCCGGUGUCAGUGAGUUAUAUGAUCUCAUGGUCAUAGGAAUAAAUACUUGACACGCNNNNNNNNNNNNNNNNNNNNNNNNNNNNNNNNNNNNNNNNNNNNNNNNNNNNNNNNNNNNNNNNNNNNNNNNNNNNNNNNNNNNNNNNNNNNNNNNNNNNUCAUGUAUUUACUUAUUUUUUAGAGCUAGUUGACCCUGAAAUUGAAAAGCACUACAAAUGAACUCUGAAAAAAUGUUGAAAGUUGGCAAGGUAUCAUCAUUUCAUCCACAUAGCAUGUUCUAAAAAGUUGAGAGGGUUACGACAAAAAUUGGAUGCACUUCGUGUACAAAACGGACAAUCUCUCUCGAAGAAUGAGGGUUUCGAACGAAAACUCAUGUGUUACAAAGCGAUUUCAUUUUUGGAACUUCAUAUUUUUUUGUGUUCAAAAUGCACCAUUCAAAGGCACAUCACAAAUUUUCAACAAUUUAUGACUUCAUUUGGCAUUUUACAUGCAUUUACUUUUUUUGAGCUAGUUGACCCAGAAAUUGAAAAGCAGUACAAAUGAGCUAUGAAAAUGUUGAAAGUUGGCAUGGUAUAUUUAUUUCAACCACAUAACAUGUGGUAAAAAGUUGAGAGGGUUACGACAAAAACUGGAUGCACUUCAUGUACAAAACGGACAAUCUCUCUCGAAGUAUGAGGGUUUCGAACGAGAACUCAUCUAUUACAAAAGGAAUUUCAUUUUUUUGAACUUAUUUGAACUCCAUACUUUUUGUGUCUUCAAAAUGCAUCAUUCAAAGGCACAUCACAAAUUUUCAACAAUUUCUGAUUUCAUUUGGUAAUUUUCAUGCAUUUACUUUUUUUUGAGCUAGUUGACCCUGAAAUUGAAAAGAUCAACAAAUGAACUCUGAAAAUGUUGAAAGUUGGCAUGGUAUCAUAAUUUCAUCCACACAACAUGUGCUAAAAAGUUGAGAGGGUUACGAGAAAAACUGGUUGCACUUCGUGUACAAAACGGAUAAUUUCUCUCAAAGUAUGAGGGUUUCGAAAGAGAACUAAUCUGUUACAAAGGGAUUUCAUUUUCUUGAACUUAUUUAAACUCCAUACUUUUUGUGUGUUCAAAAUGCACCAUUCAAAGGCACAUCAUAAAUUUUCGACUAUUUCUGUUUCAUGUAUUUACUUANNNNNNNNNNNNNNNNNNNNNNNNNNNNNNNNNNNNNNNNNNNNNNNNNNNNNNNNNNNNNNNNNNNNNNNNNNNNNNNNNNNNNNNNNNNNNNNNNNNNGGACAAUGACAAGUGCCAGUUGUGCGGGAUGCAAGAUUCAUGGAGACACUCGCUUAUAGCAUGCUCGGUUGCAAGGUGUGUUUGGGCUCUCGAGGAUGAAGAUAUAGCAGAUUACAUUCAGAAAGCUACAGAUCCUAGAACAAAGCAGUGGUUUUUUGCAACAAUAGAGGAUUUGUCUCAUGCUAGGCUGAUCAAGCUAUCCACGAAGAAAUUUUGCAGAGCCCUCAUGCAACUAAUGCUUUUUUAACAAACUAUAUUGUUGAACUUGCAAGCAUCAAAGAAAAGAAGACACGAGGAACUUGUUCUACCAUGGGUGCCCCCAGGAUUAGGCCGACCCGGUGGAUUGCUCCUGCCCAGGGAGUAGUAAAGAUUCAGGUUGAUGGGGGUAUCUCCAGGAAUGGCACCAAGGGUGCAACGGCAACCAUUUGUCGUUAUCAGAAGGGACUUUUCCUGUGUUCUUCAGCACUGGUUUUCACUGGAGUCAUGGAUCCACCAACUCUUGAAGUUCUCUCGUGUUGGGAAGCUAUGGCUUUAGCGUUUGAUCUGUCCUUGAAUCAAGUUGUUAUUGCUUGUGACUAUGAAGUAGUUAUUAAAGACAUCAAGUCUGGCACAGAGGGAAGAUAUACUUCCAUCAGCAAGGAGAUAAAAAAUGCUGCUCUUAAUUUUACCAAGUGUGAGUUUAUUUUCGAAGGCGAGAAAGGAAUGUUGAUGCCCAUAAUGUAGCUAAAUUUGCUUUUACUUUAGAUGAUGGGCGCCACCUGUGGCCGAGUUCAUCCCAUGACCCUUUUGUCAUACCUGUAAACCGUUCCCCUAAUCAAUAAAGGCUGGUUUACCACUCAAAAAAAAGCUGAUUGUUGCCCUUACGGAGGACCUCUCACUUCAGAAUAUUGUGGUGGCAUGCGAUGGCAAAGUAGUAGUUGAUGACAUACACGGAGGAGAGGGUGGAUCUUAUGUGACAGUCAUUAAGGAGAUUUCCAUGCGCAGAUCUUUUUUCAAUAUUCGUAAGUUUAUUUCUGAGGGUAGAGCAUCGAAUAGCGAUGCACACAAUCUUACUAAGCACUCGUUAUUACUUGAUCGGGGUCGUCACUUGUGGCUCAUUCAUGCCACGACCCUUCUUGUAUCCCUCUUUGUGUCCAAACAGAUCAAUUAAGUUUUGGCAUUUCUCAAAAAAAAAAAAAGAACUUGCCAUAUAAUUUUCCUCAGAUUUUGAGUCGAAUAAGCUAGCCAGCCAGCUUAGCAAAGUUCAAUUGCCCUUCUGUUUGAUUGGAUGAGACCCAUGAUGGCAUUAUCUCUCUGCUUGUUCAUGAUGUGACUUUGAUCACCAAUGAAUAAGAGGGGGUGUGAUUUAACAAAAGACACAAAAAAACUCCGUUCUUUUAGAGAAAACGGCAAAACUCAAGAAGGACCUUAUUGUUUGGGACAUUCAUAAGAGGUAAGCAGCAAAGGCAAAUUAAGAUUGUAGUAUUUGGUACCAUACAACGCGAGGACUGGAAAGAAAGACUUCAUUAUAGUAGUUUUGUUCACAAAAACUAUAUGGCCAACGUUCAGAUUUUAACCUUGCUACUCGAGCACUUCGAGAGUAACUCACUGGUGGAGCUAUUGCAAUGCCAAAUGUGUCAUGUGCUGCAUUUUACAAUUUGUACACUGAUUUUUUCACUUCUCGGUCUUGAAACAUCCGCUCACUGACUAUUUUCUUCGAGUGCGAGAGAGAAAACUUCCCACCCUCGCGUCGCCCCGCUUGGGCGACUCGGAGGCGACAACCCUAGGUCGUCGUCGGGCGCCCCUUCCCGAUGCUCCUCGCUGCCGUGGGGAGUCCUGGACCUGAGCGGCGGCUCCUCUGGUGAGGCUUCGUCGGAUCUGCGGCCUCCGGCGGUGCGGCCGACGGAUUCGGGGUCCCUGUCACUUGGGUGGUGGGAUCUUGGUGGAGGAGGUGAGCGGCUGGUUGCUGCUUUGGCGGCCAGCGACACAAGAUCCCUGGCGUUCCCCUCCCUUGAUUGGCGUGCGGGCACCUCUGGCCAGGUGGUGCCUUUUAUGGUCGCCGUUACCUGAAGAGGGGGUGGCUUGUGGGGUUGGGGCGGCCCUGGCGUAAUCCAUGGCCGGCUUGGCCGGCCGCGCCAACGGCGAUGCGUGCGGGCAUCGUGCCCCUUCCUGGAGGCGUUGGUAUGGACUGCCCCCUCCACUUCCCCUUCCUCUAGGUCUCCGGGUCGAAAGCCCUAACUUUGUUGGGCGGCGACGACGCUUGCAGUGUCGUUCCCUUCUUGAAGGCGUCGCCUUUGGAGCCUUGUAGUUGGGGGCGCUUGUGGUUGGUUGGUGGCACCGGCAGUGUGGCCCUCUUCGUCCUGGUAUGAUGCUCCCCCUCUUCCAGUGCUGGAUGUGUGCAGCGGCCUUGUUCUGCGCAAGAAGAGUCUCCGGUGACUCGUGGGGAUGCGUUGACCCUCUCUAUGUGACCAUCUCCGGCGGCGUCCACCACACCUGUCGACGGUGCGGCGCCUUCGAUCCAGGCGAGGAGGUUGUGGCCUCCUUCGAAGUUGGGUGUUGGAUGCGAUGUGUCGGGGUCCGUAGGUGCAUGGCGACGGCAUGCCAUGCUGAUGUCGGUCCCUCUCUCCUUUGUUCCUGCACGAUCUUGCUUCUGGUGCUAUAUUCUCGGUCGAGGACCUCGGCAUCUUCGGCUUCACCCUUCACUGCUUAUCUUCAGUUGCCGUGGUGUAUGAGGCUUAGUUUCAUGUUGUCCGUCGUUUUUGUAUCUUUCGCCAUGUAUUUUCUUCUUUUUGCUUGAGGGCGUGUGCUUGUAAUCCUGCACGAUUGAUGGCUUUGUUAAUUCAAAGUCGGGCUAGGCUCGAGCCUCAUCUCGGUCUCGGUUGAUGUCUUUUUUAAAAAAAAAACAUAUUUUCUUCGGUUAUGCUUCAGUAUUCUUUUGUUUUUUCUUUGUUUUCUUUCUGUUUCUUUCUCGGCUCAUCACUUGGUUUUCCCCUGUACGUUGGUGGGUUAUUUCCCCAUAUUUUCCUUUUUUUUCAUCAUACAUCAACUUAUCAGUUGAUUUUUUUUCUCCCACGAAGAGUUCUCCUGUUGUAUGUGGGUGGUUAGUCCUUACAACAAAUAUAGCUUGGCAAAGUUACCAAGUUAUAGGUUUCUUCACAAGUAAAAAACGCUGAUGUAUAACUACGUACGUGAAACAUAUUAUAUUAUUAUUAUUAUUAUUACUACUUCAAAUAACAAACAAAUGUAACACACACGUGAAGAAGUCAACUACAUGCUACAUCAAUUUAUUCGGUAACAAACAGAGGAUUAUUUUCUUCCAAAACGGAUGAUGGAGAGAGUUGCCGACGGCAGAGGCUCCCUACUUGAACCUGGCCUUGACGGCGUCGAUGUCUUCGUUAUCAACCCGGAAGGCCUUGGCCAGCACGUCGGUCGGCACCGGCGGUGAGGCAGCCAAGAGCGUGGUGGCGAUGGCUUGGGUGCCCUGAAGCUGGCUGUUGAAGGCGGCGAUGACGGAGGCGGGGCCAUGUCCCCUGUUCUGCUGGAAGUGCACGAGCCCGCGCGGGAAGACGAACACCUCACCGACGGUGACGAACCUAGUGAAGAGCUUGUUGGCGGUGGUGAUGAAGCCCACCUCGAGGGUUCCCUGGGUGACGAAGAUGAUCUCGGUGGCGCGUGGGUGGGUGUGCGGCGGGUUCUGCCCUCCGACCGCGUAGUCGAUGCGCGCCAUGGACACGCCGAGCGUGUUCACCCCGGGGAAUGACUGCACGUUCGCCGCCGUGACGACCGACCCCGCCGGGUUGUUGGUGUUGCCGGCCUUCUUGAGACCGGCGAAGAAGAAGUCGUCCGCCGUGAUGUUCGCCUUGCACGGGAAGCCGUUGAUCUUGAUCGCUGCCGCAAACCAUGCAUUUGGACCAACACGCAGCGUCAGCAAAAGUCAGCGCACGGGAUGCAAGAGCGAGGUUGACAAACUACGAUGAACACAUAAUUUUGCAGGAUGACUCACGGGAUGCCAGGUCGGCGACGCAGACGUCCUGGAGCAUGUCGGGGUCGCCGGCGAGGGAGGGAGCGGCGAGCGCGAGGAGGAUGGCGCAGGCCGCUAGGACGGAAAGCUGAAGCCUGGCCAUGGUGAAUUCGUCAAUGCUUGCUUGCUAUCAGCUUGGUGGUAUAGCUUGGGUCUGGAAAUAGCAGAGGUAGGAGGUGGUACUUGUAGGCAAGGUGGUUCGCGUGUGGAACUACGGAUAGUAUCGCCAUUAUUCAAGGAGGGGUGGCUGCGACGAGGCGACAUGGCCGGAUGGGAGGGGCAUCCAAUUCCAUUAAUUUGGAGCCAAUUCAAUGGGGCUAUACUACUACUACUUGUUUAUGCGCUCCUUGCAGGCUACCAUGUGCCUUCUACACAUGCAUUUCUGAUCAGAUCCACGCUUCAUCCAUUACUAACACUAGGCGUAGGUAAAAUUGAUAAAUUUGAUUCAAAAGCCAAAGAAUUCCAUAAACCGUACCUAAAUAUAAGUCUUUUAAGAUAUUUCACUAGGUAUCUACAUACGAAGCAAAAUGAAUGAAUCUAUACUCUAAAAUAUGUUUAUAUACAUACGUAUGUAGUUCACUAGUUGAACCUCUAUAAAGACUUAUAUUUAGGAAGGGAGGGAGUACGUUUGAAAAAAUUUCACCCAGCCGACCCUUUUGUGUGACGUCUUUAUCUUAAACGUCACACUACACUGUGUGACGUCCGACACUACGUUGUGUGACGUCUGAGACCUAGUGUGACGCCUAAGACAUAAACGUCACACUACACUGUAUGACGUCACACGGUGUAGUGUGGCACCUGACUGUCGGACGCCACAUAAAAGGAUCAGCUGAGUGAAAAAAUUUCAAACAUAGUUUAGUUUGUGAAAUCCUUUAGGUCCUAGGUUAAAUUUAUCAAUUUUGCCCUAGGCGUAUGAUGCGUAUCCUCUCGGAAACUACACCCCUGUUUCGUGGGUAUGGAUCGCCAGGAACAAUGCAGGAUAGCACAUGCGACGGGUGGCAUAUCGAGUAGUUGCACAUGCUAGUUCGUACCGUUGGAUCUCAUACUCCUUCCUGAUUGAUGGCGAGUUGAGUUUCUGCUUCUGGGCGGUUGACCAGUGGAUAUAUUACCCCUUCCUGAUUGAUGGCAAGCCAAGCUAUCUCGGCCAGUAACCAAUUCCACUUGCGUCAGAGAGGAGCCAUUCUGGUCAAGGUCGUCAAUAACUCCAUCCUGAUUUUGCUACAGGCAAGGAGGAGGAGGAGGAUAACUUUUCAUGACUACUUCCUCCGUUUGUAAAUACUGGUCGUAGACAUGGAUGUAUCUAUAUGUAUUUCAAUUUUAAAUACACUCAUUUGUAUUUAAUUUUCAUGGUAAGUAAUUCCGAACGAAGGGAGUAUUUUGCUGGCGAGGCUGAGCUGGAACAGCCCUCCUACAGGGUAGAUUUGAUGUAUAGAAGUACGAAUUGGCGCUGGAAAUCAGGGUGCCCAACACCAUGCCCCAUAUGAGACUUUUUGUUUCUUGUGGGAAUAUUUUUAUCCGGGCUAAACCGAGCACUCAGCCACUGUCCAUAUUCAAAUAUAGCGGACGAAGCAGCAAGGGCGAGGGGACACUUAUGCCAAAGAAUCAGAUGCGGUCCCUCGUGGUUAGUCGUCACAGAGUAAAUCCGUAGCUGUCCGGCCGUCUCUACCACCGACGGCUUGCGUAUUUUUUUUCUUCUAUGAAUAGAUAAUAGAGAAAGUACUACUACAAGGUAAGGUACAACACACUACAUGAUGUUUGCUUACCACCAAAAGGAUACUCCUAGAGGCCAAGUGUGAAACUCUAGAAGUUUUCAAUGUGGUGUAUGAUGAUUUUACCGUCGAAUUUGAAGUGAGGUCAAAAGUUGAUGGUUUUCGAUGGGUGCUUGUGGCAGUUUAUGGAGCAGCUCAACAGGAGCUCAAGAAACUGAAUUUCUUUCAGAUCUUGUGAGGAUCAGUGGAAACGAAGGGCUGCCAAUUUUAGUUAGAGGAGAUUUCAAUAUCAUUCGGAGAAGAGAAAAAUAAUGAUGAUUUUCAUGCUAGAUGGUCAUACAUGUUUAACAUGAUUAUUGAGAGUCUUGACUUACGGAAAAAUGAACUCACCGGUAGACAAUUUACAUGCGCGAAUUCACUACCCAUCACGACGUAUGAGAAGCAAGAUCGGUGAGUGUUGAGUGGGAACAGACGUUUCCUCUUGUGACGGUCCAGGCUCUGCAGAGAGCAGUUUCGGAUCACACUUCACUCCUCGUCGACUCAGGGUAGGCGACACAUGUGGGCAAUAAAAGUGUCUUCUCUAUUGAAUUAGGAUGGUUCGAGAGAGAGGUAUUUUUGGACCUAAUAGCUAAUGAAUGGGCUAAAGAGACUGGAGGGACAUCUAGCAUGGAUAGAUGGCAAAAUAAAGUCAGGCAUUUACGCUAGUCCUUGAGGGGCUCGGCCAAAAAUCAAAGUGGGAUUUACAGAGUAUAAAAAGAAAGACUUAUUCAUCUUAUCAAAGAGUUAGAUCUGAAAGCUGAAGCAUCAGUUCUUAAUAGCUAUGAUCGGAGUAUUAAGUACGAGGCUGGGGAGAAGCUUCGUGCUUUAUUCAGAGAGGAAGAGAUUAAAUGGACACUGAGAGCUAAGGUGUCUACGGCCAUCCAAGGGUAUGACAACACACAAUUCUUCCACAUGAUCGCUAAAGGAAAGCGAAGAAAGAAGAAAAUAAUUCAACUCAAACAAGAUGAUGGUACAAUUGUAGAGCAUGAAAACCUGAAAUUGUAUAUCUCUGAAUAUUAUAAAAAACUGUUCAGAGCUCCCGAAGCUAACUCUAUAUCCCUAGAUGAAAGUGUAACAGAGGACAUUCCUCAACUCAAUAUAAAGAGAAUGGGAUGCUUUCGUCUCUGUUUACCGAGAAAGAGGUGUUUGACGCAAUCAUCCAACUGAAAACAGAACAAGGCUCCAGGACCGGAUGGGUUUCCAGCGGAGUUUUAUAAGAUGUGUUGGCAUGUCAUCAAACAUGAUGUUAUGCCCAUGUUCCAUUAUUUAUUCAAUGGGCAAUUAAAAUUAUUCCACCUAAACUUUGGGGCAAUUACAUUGUUACCAAAGGAGGGGGUUGUAUGCAUUAAGCAGUUCAGGCCGACUUGUUUGCUUAAUGUGUGUUUCAAUUGUUUUUACCAAGGUGGUAACAAAUAUGUUGACGCAGAUAGCCCAUUCGGUUGUACAACAGUCUCAUACAAGUUUCAUGCUAGAUAGGCACAUCCUAGAAGGGGUUGUGGUACUACAUGAAAAACUUCAUCAAAUUCACACCAAGAAACUCGAUGGAGUCAUCUUUAAGGUGGAUUUUGAGAAAGCCUAUGACAAAGUCAAAUGGCCUUUUCUCCAACAAGCUUACGUAUGAAGGGAUUCAAUGAAGCAUGUAGGAAACAGGUUGAUUCAUUUGUUCAGAAAGGUAGUGUUGGGAUAAAGAUGAAUGAUGACAUGGGUCAUUACUUUCAAACUCAUAAAGGUUUAACCCAGGGAGAUUCGAUGUCCCCCAUCUUAUUCAACAUAGUGGCUGAUAUAUUAACAUUUCUCAUAGGACGAGCUAAAGAGAACGAUAUAAUAGGAGGACUAGUACCACAUAUUGUGGAUGGAGUGGUUUCCAUCUUACAAUAUGCGGACGGUACGAUUAUUUUCAUGGAGCAUGACUUCGCAAAAGCUAGAAACAUGAAGUUGGUUCACUGUCAGUUUGAACAAUUAUCGGGACUCAGGAUAAGUUUUCAAAAGAGCGAAUUGUUCUGUUUUGGCCGAGCCAAGGAAGAACAAGAUGCUUACAGAAAACUAUUCGAUUGUGAGAUGGACUCCAUGCCGUUUAGUUAUUCGGGUAUACCUAUUCAUCACCGUAAGCUUACCAACAAGGAAUGAAAGUGCAUAGAAGACCGGUUUGAAAAACGACUAAGCUGCUGGAAAGGAAAGCUUAUGUCUUAUGAAGGUCGGCUAGUGUUAAUAAAUUAUGCGUUGACAAGUUUGUCGAUGUUUCUAUUACCAUUCUUCGAAGUACUAGUAGGGGUAGCGAAAAGACUUGACUUCUAUAGAUCUAGAUUAUUUUUGGCAAAAUGAUGAAAGUAAGACGAAAUAUAGACUGGCUAAAUGACACAUGAUGUGUAGACGCAAAGAUCAGGGUGGAUUAGGAAUUGAAAAUUUACAAACUAAAAAUAGAUGUCUUUUCAGCAAAUGGGUGUACAGACUCUCUGUGGAGGCAAAAGGUACGUGAAUACAAAUUUUGCGUAAUAAGUACCUACAAACAAAGUCCCUGGCUCAAGUUACAGUGAAACAUUCGGACUCACAAUUCUGGAAAGGCUUAAUGAGGACAAAAGAAGCUUUUUUCAUAGAGUCAAGUUUCACAUUGAGAAUGGUAACAAAAGCAGGUUUUGGAAAGAUGCGUGGUUAGGGGAGAUGCCCCUGGCUACACAAUAUCCAUUUUUAUAUAACAUCGUGGAACGCAAAGAGGCCUAUGUGGCUACAAUUUUGCAGACUGUCCGUAUGAAUAUUCAAUAUAGGAGAUCUCUGGUAGGGGAACGAUAGAGUGCGUGGCUCCACUUGGUACAUAGAUUGAUGGAAGUUCAACUUCCGGACCAACCAGACACAAUUCAUUGGAAAUUAACUACAAGCAGUAGUUCCUUCGACAAAUCAAUGUAUCUAGACCUUAUUAAUAACGGGCCAAUACCUACUUCUCCAUACAUUUGUAAAAUAAAAAUACCGCUUAAGAUUAAGAUCUUUAUGUGGUUUGUUCACAGAGGAGUGAUACUUACAAAAGAUAAUUUGAUUAAGCGAAGAUGGGUGGGUAAUUCUAGAUGUUGUUUUUGUGAUCUGUCGUGGGUAUAAGUCUGACAGUAGAUGUGUAGGGUACGAAAGGAUGGGCAGAGCCUUAGCUACGGCGAGGUUGUAUGAGUUCAGGCCCCUCUACGGUGGAGGUAAUAGCCCUACGUCUCAGUGCUCUGGGAGCNNNNNNNNNNNNNNNNNNNNNNNNNNNNNNNNNNNNNNNNNNNNNNNNNNNNNNNNNNNNNNNNNNNNNNNNNNNNNNNNNNNNNNNNNNNNNNNNNNNNNNNNNNNNNNNNNNNNNNNNNNNNNNNNNNNNNNNNNNNNNNNNNNNNNNNNNNNNNNNNNNNNNNNNNNNNNNNNNNNNNNNNNNNNNNNNNNNNNNNNNNNNNNNNNNNNNNNNNNNNNNNNNNNNNCCCUCCACAACGGUUCGGUGCACAGGGGUGGAGUAGUGGCGAAUAAAUGCCUACGUUACAGGUAACGUAUGUCUUGAAUGCUAAUAAAGGCACAUGGAAACGUACAACCAUUUCCCUCUAGGGGGGUUACGAUGCACAGAGUGGAAUCCAGUCGGUUAAUUUGUUACACUCCGAAUGCUCAUCUCCGACUGGAUGGUGGAGGAUUUGUUACCGACUGGAUGAUGGGAAGUCCAUAAGACAGUCGGAACUGACUAAGGGUCUUAUCCCUUAUGAAGGGUAGUCCUUGGGUAGGACUUAUAGGGCAGGCCUAUGACCCUAUCCUAGGACUAUAACCCCAUCAUUAGUCCCCGAAUGGAUUGGGGUUGGAACGACGAAGCGAUGUUUGAAGUAUGGAUCCGACUGGUACGGAUGCGACUUUGGCGCUGCUUGCCUUGAUCCAUUUUGUCUUCUUUGUCCAACGAUCCGAGUCGAAGUAUUUGUGAAGCGAACUGUCGGGAACCGAGUGCUUCCGUGGUAUCUUCUGACGUGACCAGUCAACUCACAGCGGCGGAUUUUCCGGGAUCCUCAAAUUUCGGUUGCCGCGCGCUCAGUGGGGAUGACGACAUCGCGCUCGAGUAGUACCUGACGCCUCGAUUUCGCCGCGACCGGUCGGGGGAUAAGAUUUCGGGGCCACUUGCGAGUGACCCAGUCGGAACCUUAUUUAAACCUCAGCGGCGAGGGUUUUUUCGUUACACUCGCCGGAUAACUUGCCUUUGCCUGCCCCACUUCUCUCGCCACCUCCUGCGCAUCCCAAGCUCCUUCCUUCUUCUUCUCCCUCGCGGAUCAGCAGCCUUCGCCAUGACAAAGGGGCAGACUAGCAAGCUAGAGGUGAAGAAGAAGAAGGGGAAGACGGCAGCUCCUACCCAGCGGCGGCAGCGCACGCUACCGGCGGGGUGGAUCCAGGGGGAUUUCCUCCCCUCCACGGUGACGGAGGAGAACCUGUUGGAGUUGGUGGAGCAUGGGAUGAUUGCGCACAAGUCGUGGAGGUUGCCGGUGGAAGGCGAGACCGAGUCGGCGCCCCGGGAGGGGGAGCGCGUCUUGCUGCUGAGCCAUGUGUACAGAGGUUUCUCUCUGCCUCCUCACCCCUUCUUCAAAGGUAUCAUGAACCACUUCGGGGCGCAGCUCCACCAUUUUCCUCCCAAUGCCAUAGCUCAUCUCUCUGCCUUCGUUGUGCUGUGCGAGUGUUUCAUCGGCUGUCCUCCCCAUUGGGGGGCUUUUCAAACAUAUCUUCUCUGCUAGAUCCCAGACCAUCAAACGGCUUAGCCAGUCGGAUGACAAAACCCACCUUCUCCAGCUCUGCGGAGGCUUAGGCUUCCAAAAGAAAAGUAAAAGUAGCUAUCCUGCUCUGUAGUUGAGUGAACCUAUUAGGAACUGGCAGUCGACAUGGUUCUACUGCCAGGACGUUGCUUGCCCGAAUGCUACCACCGGACUCCCCCCUUUUAGCUUAGACCGACCGGCUCCUCCUAGGCAGCUCGCGCUCACGAAGGCGGAGAAAACCCAGAUCCAGCCUCUGUUCGAUGCGCUUGUAGAGGUCGUCCGAAGGGGAGUCACUGGCAUAGAUUUAAUGGAGGUUUUCCUGGGUCGGCGUAUCCAGCCUCUGCAAGCUUGAGACCACGCCAUGUGGCAUUACACAGGGCCUGAGGACUCCACUCGGACUAACGUCGAGUGCGUGACCGGGGAGAUGGUGGCGUCGUGGGUCCUCAACAUCACCGGCGCCUGCGAAAACCCUAGAGGAGCUCGGCGAGUGAAGGCCUUCCGGGCGGGCAACCCUCCUCCAAACGCAGUGAGUACAACUUGUCGAGCGUACACAACUGUCUUAGAUUUAUUGCUUCCUUGAAUCACUGUCUGACGUCUAAUGUCGUCGACUGUAUCUUGUGCAGGAGUGGACUAACUGGUUUUCUCCCGUCUCGAAUGGGAAUCCGGCCGAGGAGGAGGAAGGCAGCCAGGAGGGCAGCGUGGAGAGCGGCGAGUACGUCUCCGACAGUGGGGAGACGGAAGAGGAGUCCGCAGAAGAAGAAGAGGCAGAUGAGGAGCAGAACUCACCACCUCCACCGCCAGAGCCUCGGACUAAGCGUCGUCAUGAACCUGUGGUUCCUCCAGCUCCUCCAGCAUCCUCAAGUGUGCCGCCAGCUCCGCCAGCUGCUCCUGUGGUACCGAGUGCUUCGCCAGCUGUUCCCGUGGCUCCGAACGUUCGGAGCACAAAGAGGACCAGGGACUCUGCUGCUGAACCUGUGGGUCAGCCCUCUAAGGUAGCUAAACCGAGUGGAUCUAAGCCUCGGAAGGCUCUGCCGCGGAUGAGGGUCACAGUUCCCGUCACCUCAACGUAAGUGCAUGGUUCUUCUAUCUUCUUCCGGUAUUUGAUUGAACUCCUGCUUAUUGGUCGAAUGAAUUUCACUCGACAGAGUUGCCACCUCUGCCACCUCUCCGGCACGCCAGGGGGACGAUCCCAUGGACAUGGACAACAUUGUCACAUCCCAGCCAGGUGCGUCAUAGCGAUUCCGAGAGUUUACAUUAUUGCAUCACGAAUUCUGUCUUUGGUCUUGCCUUUUUCCCUGUGAUCUCACGUCGUUCGGUCGGGUUUCCCUCAGGGGUGAUUUAUGUGGAGGAGGGCGACCAGGGGAGGUCUGAGCAAGCUGCGGUGCCUGUCCUUGAGGCUAUUCCGCCGGUUGCUACUCUCGCCAUGGACGCGCCGCCGACUGAGGCGAUGCUGUCGACUGAAACGACGUUGGUUGCUGCUGAACCGACUAGAGCAGGUCUUGGGAUGCCCAAGGAGCCUCCUACGAUGCCGGGCCCGUCGACUGUCGAGUACAACGUCCAGCGCCUCCUAGAAGAUCAGGUGGGAGCUGCCAAGGGGGCCGUGGUGCAGGCGGAGCUGAUGGCUGGAGAGGCCAAGAAGGCGUACGACUCCAUCGCGUCCUUGUACAAGCGAAGCUUGGAACUGCGGGACGAUAUCCGAGUAAGUGGGCUAGUAAGUAUUUACUUUCCUCUUGUAACCCACUGGGUGUGCUUGGAUAGCGUAUGAUUUUUUGCAAUGGGUUCACUCGUAGUGAACCCAGUGGGUGUAGUCCCCGAGACUUCUGUCGGGUGCUUGCACCGGCAGUUGUCUUUAUGCAUGUUCUUUAACUUGAUCAGAUCAAAAAUUAAUCUGUUCGAAUGUUAACAGUUGGGGCACUCGGAGUGCACCUACUGGAUGAGUCCCCGAGAGUAAUUUUACUCAGGUCGGGUAGUAGUAGCCUCAUAGGCUUAUUUGUUGUCAUGUAGCUCAAUAGGGCGGACAUGUUUGAGUUUCAUGCCAGUGGGGUCACUCUUAGUGAACCCACUGGGUGUAGUCCCCGAGACCACUGUCGACUGCUUGCGUCGACAGGGGUCUGAAGAACUUAGAAUUUUUAUUGUUGUCCUUGUUGAAUUUGUCUGACCGUCUCUUGGCGCUGACUUGCAGAAAACUUGCGAGAUGGGGACAGCGUAUGAGACUCUGAGGCUGAAAAGGUUCAGUUUGCUGGUGAACUGGAUGCAGCAAUGGUUGCAAUGGCUGGUAUGAAGGAUGUUCUGGUGGAACGAGAAAAGUCCUUGGAGCAGGCCCGUGAGGCAAACAAGGCAUUGACUGCUGAAGUGGAGAAAAUGGGGAAACAAAGGACGGAACUGAUGGGGCAGAUGAAAAUGUUGAACAGGCGGUGCAUAGCACAGGAAAAUUACGUCAGUGACUGGGCCCGGAAGAUGAUAGCGCUUCUCGGUGGUAAGUUCUAUUUUUCCGAGUGCUUGUGGACUGUGCAUUUCAUUCUGCGCUGACUGUUUGCUCGUCCUGUCUUUGCAGAUUUUUGCAUGGACGCGGAGGUUGAAGCGGCUGACGUUGAGCGGUCGAUUCUUGAGAACAUUCCACUCGGCGAGGACGCCAAUCGAGAUCUGCUCCGAGCGCACAUUCGCCUGGGCAAAGUUGGACCUUUCAUCGGUCGACUGAGAGAAGUCGUCGGCCGAAUUGACAAGGAGCUUUGGCCUGAAGACGAGUCUCGGCACGAGAUGGAAGGCUUGAUGACUCGGCUGGAGGAGGUCCCGAACCGAGUGCAGGCGUGGAAAAAGUCUGCGGCUCGCUGUGGUGCGGACGUCGCUCUGUCUUUGGUCCGAGUGCAUUGCAAGGAGGCGCGCAAAGAGAAGCUGAAGGCGUUGUAGGUCGCCAACACGAAAAAGCUUCGAUUCGAAGACUUCAUGGAGACCUUCCUUGAGAGCGCCACCCGCAUCACCGACGGGAUCGACCUCGACACGUUCGUAGAGCCUGCCAGUCCUGACGACGUUUGAGAAAACUUUUACCUCGGUAUGCCGAGUGUUGGUUGUAAGAAACUUUGGCCACUGUUGUUGGCCGCCACAUUCUUGGUUCGGUGUGGAUAAGCUUGAUCUACACCGAGCCAACUAUCCUUAGGUGAACAUUGAAUUUGAAUCGAAUCUUUUUCUCUUCUUUUGCCAAAGAGUUGUUGAUACGAUUUUGGCUCGUGGUGUUUGUUUGGCGUUUCUUGGUGAAGCCAAUGGCAAACAUGCGGAGCAUGUAAUUGUCAGUUGUCUUGACAUCUGCAUGAGCCUCACUGAGGGUCUGCUGAGUGUCCGAGUGGAUCUGUAGGAUACACUCAAAGGCAAUAGAGUACUUAGGCGAUUCGGGAUCGCGGCUAAGUCUUCGAGUGCGACUGUGAGGUCGUACUCGGAGCGAGUUGUUACUCAUGUAAUUGUCAGUGGUCUUGACAUCUACAUGAGCCUCAAUGAGGUUCUGCUACUCAUGUAAUUGUCAGUUGUCUUGACAUCUGCAUGAGCCUCACUGAGGGUCUGCUACUCAUGUAAUUGUCAGUGGUCUUGAGAUCUACAUGAGCCUCAAUGAGGGUCUGCUACUCAUGUAAUUGUCAGUUGUCUUAACAUCUGCAUGAGCCUCAAUGAGGGUCUGCUACUCAUGUAAUUGUCAGUUGUCUUCACAUCUGCAUGAUCCUCAAUGAGGGUCUGCUAAGCCUCCGAGUGGAUCUGUGAGAUACACUCAAAGGAAGCUUUCUUUUUAAGCGAUUCUUAAUCGCAGUUAAGUCCUCGAGUGUGACGGUUAGUGCACGCGUGGAGAAAAUUUGUACUUAGGCGAUUCUUGAUCGCAACUAAGUCUCCGAGUGCGACGUGAAGUGCACACUCGGAGAAAGUUAAUACUUAGGCGAUUCUNNNNNNNNNNNNNNNNNNNNNNNNNNNNNNNNNNNNNNNNNNNNNNNNNNNNNNNNNNNNNNNNNNNNNNNNNNNNNNNNNNNNNNNNNNNNNNNNNNNNNNNNNNNNNNNNNNNNNNNNNNNNNNNNNNNNNNNNNNNNNNNNNNNNNNNNNNNNNNNNNNNNNNNNNNNAAGUGCACACUCGGAGAUAGUUUGUACUUAGGCGAUUCUUGAUCGCAGCUAAGUCCCCGAGUGCGACGUGAAGUGCACACUCGGAGAUAUUUAGUACUUAGCCGAUUCUUGAUCGCAGCUAAGUCCCCGAGUGCGACAUUUAGUGCACACUCGGAGAAAGUCAAUACUUAGGCGAUUCUNNNNNNNNNNNNNNNNNNNNNNNNNNNNNNNNNNNNNNNNNNNNNNNNNNNNNNNNNNNNNNNNNNNNNNNNNNNNNNNNNNNNNNNNNNNNNNNNNNNNNNNNNNNNNNNNNNNNNNNNNNNNNNNNNNNNNNNNNNNNNNNNNNNNNNNNNNNNNNNNNNNNNNNNNNNNNNNNNNNNNNNAGUGCACACUCGGAGAAAGGUAGUACUUAGGCGAUUCUUGAUCGCAGCUAAGUUUUUUUUUUGAGACCGGAGUCUGCGACCGCGGAAGAAUUUUGAAUCUGCAAAAACUCGAUCUGCUUUGUAUUAUUUCACCAAUACUUGUUCUUUACAUUGCUUCAGUCGACGGUCACGUGUAGAAGCGCUUCAGGAGAUCUCCGUUCCAUGCUUGCGGCUCGUCUGUUUCCCUGUCGAUGUUGUAGAGUCUGUAUGCUCCGUUGUUCAGCACCUUGGAGAUGAUGAAGGGUCCUUCCCAGGCGGGAGCCAACUUGUGAGGUCUUUGCUGAUCCACCCGGAGCACCAGGUCGCCUGCUUGGAAUGUACGACUCCUGACGUGUCGCGCGUGAAAGCGCCGCAGAUCUUGCUGAUAAAUGGUUGAGCGAGUGAGUGCCAUCUCGCGCUCCUCCUCUAGAAGGUCCACUCUGUCUUGCCUUGCUUGUUCUGCUUCAGCUUCGGAGAAGAGUUCGACUCGUGGAGCAUUGUGAAGCAAGUCACUCGGAAGGACCGCUUCUGCUCCGUAAACGAGGAAGAACGGGGAUCGCCCCAUAGAUCUAUUCGGGGUUGUGCGGAGACCCCAAAGCACUGAAGGUAGCUCGGCGACCCAUGCGCCAGCGGCAUGUCCCACCUCUCGCAGGAGCCGGGGCUUCAAACCUUGUAGAAUAAGUCCAUUCGCCCGCUCUGCUUGUCCGUUUGUUUGAGGAUGCGGCACAGAUGCAAAAUCCACUAGGAUACCUUGGCUUGCACAGAAACCUUUGAAUCUGUCCGAGUCAAAGUUUGUCCCGUUGUCCGUGAUUAUGCUGUGAGGUACUCCGAAUCUGGAGAUGAUGUCCCUGACAAACUUGAUGGCUGUUAGGGCGUCGAGCUUCUUGAUGGGCUUGCCUUCAAUCCAUUUUGUGAACUUGUCGACUACCACCAACAGAUGUGUGUAUCCCCCUUGGCCUGUCCUGAAUGGACCGACUGUAUCUAAUCCCCAUACUGCAAACGGCUAAACAGGAGGGAUUGUCUUCAACGCAGAUGUUGGCUUGUGGGACUUGUUGGAAUAGAAAUGAUAGCCUUCACAUCGGUCGACCAUAUCUUUAGCCAUUUCGUUCGCCUGCAGCCAGAAGAAGCCAGCUCUGAGUGCUUUGGCGACGAUUGCUCUUGAAGAGGCGUGAUGACCGCAGGUUCCCGAGUGAAUUUCUUCCAGGAUUAAUUGUCCUUCCUCAGGGAAGAUGCAUCGUUGAAGAACGCCUGAAACGCUUUCCCUGUACAACUGGCCAUCAAUGACAGUGAACGACUUUGACCUGCGGACGAUCUGCCUGGAUUGGACUUCGUCUUCUGGUAAUUCCUGCCUCCGGAUGUAUGCAAUGAUCGGCAUAGUCCAAUCGGGGAUAACAGCAAGAACCUCCAUGAUCAAAUCAACCACAGCUGGUACGUCGACUUCAGUCGGAUCUGUCAAGCUCUUUGGUUGUACUGGUUCCUCUGUGAAAGGAUCUUCUUUAACUGCGGGGAGGUGGAGGUGCUCGAGGCAGACGUCACUCGGGACUGGUCUCUGAGUGGACCCGAGUUUUGCCAACUCAUCAGCCGCUUGGUUCUUCAGUCGCGGAACAUGGUGGAGUUCUAGACCUUCAAACUUCUUCUCGAGCUUCCUCAAUGCAUUGCAGUAUGUGGUCAUGGUGGGGUUCCUGACGUCCCACUCUUUCAUCACUUGAUUAACCACCAAAUCCGAAUCGCCAUAGACCAUCAGGCGACGGAUGCCGAGUGCGAUGGCCAUGCGCAGUCCAUAAAGGAGAGCUUCAUACUCUGCCUCAUUGUUGGAGGAAUCAAAGUGUAUCUGCAGCACAUACUUGAGUUUGUCGCCCUUAGGUGAUAUGAUCACAACGCCAGCGCCGGAGCCGUUCAACAUCUUGGACCCAUCGAAGAACAUUGUCCAAUGAGCCGAGUAGAUGUGGGUCGGUUGCUGUUGUUCUACCCAUUCUGCUAUGAAGUCCGCCAGAGCUUGAGACUUUAUAGCUUUCUUGGCCUCGAACUUGAUGUCGCAGUACAACAUCUCCAUUUCCCACUUCGCCACUCGGCCUGAUGCGUCCCGAUUGUGGAGGAUUUCCAACAACGGAGCAUCAGAAACGACGGACACCGAGUGGUCUUGGAAAUAGUGAGCCACCUUCUUCGCAGUCAUGUAAAUCCCGUAGAAAAGUUUUUGAUAGUGGGGAUACCUCUGCUUGGAAGGAGUCAGGACUUCGGAGACGUAAUACACUGGCCGCUGAACUUUGUAUGCUUUUCCUUCUUCUUCUCGUUCGACUGUGAGAACAGUGCUGACGACUUGAUUUGUAGCCGCGAUGUACAAAAGAAGGGGCUCUUUACUGAGCGGAUCAGUAAGAACCGGCUGGGUGGAAAGUAGGACUUUGAGGUCGUCGAGUGCAACUUGGGCUUCAUCUGUCCACUCGAAAGUAUCUGAUUUCUUCAUGAGUCGGUACAGAGGAAGUGCUUUCUCGCCGAGUCGACUGAUAAACCUGCUCAAAGCCGCUAGGCAACCUGUGAGCCGUUGAACAUCGUGUAUUCUGACCGGCCGCUCCAUUCGGACGAUUGUCCCGAUCUUUUCGGGGUUGACAUCGAUCCCUCGUUCAGAAACGAAGAAACCGAGUAACUUUCCGCUAGGAACGUCGAAUGAACACUUGGCGGGGUUGAGCUUGAUAUCGUACCUACGAAGGUUGGCGAAUGUUUCUGCCAAGUCAGUCAGCAGGUCGGAACCUUUGCGUGACUUGACUACGAUAUCAUCCAUAUACGCCUCCACAUUCCGACCGAUCUGGUCGAGGAGGCAUUUUUGGAUCAUGCGCAUAAAGGUUGCUCCUGCAUUCUUCAAACCAAAUGGCAUAGUGAUGUAGCAGAAGCACCCGAAUGGGGUGAUGAAGGCGGUUUUUAAUUCAUCGGGGCCAUACAGACGGAUCUGAUGAUAGCCCGAGUAGGCAUCAAGAAAUGACAAAGCUCACAACCCGCAGUCGAAUCGACAAUUUGAUUGAUGCGGGGGAGCGGAAAAUGGUCUUUCGGGCAGACCUUAUUGAGAUGCUUGAAGUCGAUGCACAUUCGGAGCGACUUGUCCUUCUUGGGCACCAUGACAACAUUGGCGAGCCACUCGGAGUGGUGUACCUCGCGAAUGAAGUUGGCUACCAAAAGCUUGGCCACUUCUUCUCCGAUUGCCUUCCUCUUGUGCGCGGCGGACCGUCGCAGGCGUUCUCGAACAGGUCGAGCGGUGGGAUCCACAUGCAGUCGGUGCUCAGCCAACUCCCUGGGUACACCUGGCAUGUCAGAAGGCUUCCAUGCGAAGAUGUCCCAGUUCUCACGGAGGAAUUGGAUGAGCUCGGCUUCCUAUUUAGGAUCGAGGGUGAUGGAGAUGUUCGUCGGGGCAGCGGUGUCGUCUGUCGGGUGGAUGCUGACCUUCUUCGUCUCUUCCGCCGACUGGAAUGCGGACUCCGAAGCUGGCUUCUUCGAACGCAUCAAGUCAGCGGGGUCGACCGUUUUCUUGUACUCGUCAAGCUCGAGGAUAGCCAUCUGUUGAUCGGCGAUUCUUGAUCCCUGCUUCAGACACUCCUCGGCCCGCUGUCGAUUGCCUGUGAUAGUGAUCACACCUUUCAGGCCUGGCAUCUUUAGAUUCAGGUACACGUAACAUGGGUGGGCCAUGAAACGCGCAUACGCCGGGCGGCCCAGAAUUGCGUGGUAAGCGCUCUGGAAGUCCACCACCUCGAACGUCAGCUUUUCCUUGCGGAAGUUCUUGUCGGAGCCGAAAAUGACGUCCAACGCGAUCUGGCCGAGUGACUUGGCCUUUCGUCCAGGGACGACUCCGUGGAACUGCAUGCUGCUCUCGCUGAGUUUGGACAUCGGAAUGCCCAUCCCCUUGAGAGUGUCAGCGUACAUGAUGUUCAAACCACUGCCGCCGUCCAUGAGGACUUUGCGCAGUCGAACUCCUUCCACCACCGGGUCGACGACCAGAGCUUGCCUCCCUGGGAUGGGCACGUGUGUUGGAUGAUCUGACUGGUCAAAGGUGAUCGCAGUCUGAGACCAUUUGAGGAACUUGGGGUUGGUCGGCGUGGCCAUGUUCACCUCCCUGUUCACCAGCUUCAGUCGGCUCUUGCUCUCAACGUCAGCAAAAAUCAUCAGUGUUGCAUGGACUUGGGGGAACGGAUCCUCCUUAUCCUCCUCAUCCUGUUCAUUGCCUUUUUCACUCAGUUGCCCUUUGCCGAACCCCUGAAGCAGGAGGCGACAUUGCCGAGUGGUAUGCUUCGGAUAUAUGGCGUUGCCCUCUUCAUCCAUCUUCGUGUGGAUCGGACAUGGCUGGUCCAGGAUGGGGUUGUUGAACUGCUUCUUCUUGGGGGUGAACUGAGCCUUCCCUUUGCCCUUGAACUUGGCAUUGGUAAGAACUGCGACUUCUGCCUGCGGAGUGGGCGGAGCUUUCUGCUUCUGCUUCCGAGUGUUAUUCCCAUCUCCAUCGGCGACUGUUUUGUGCUUGCCGCUACAGAUGCGGUCCUCUUCUUCGCCAUUUGCAUAGCAUGCUGCUAUCUCCAUCAUCUUGCUCAUGGAGAUGUCGCCUGUUCGACCGAACUUCAGGUACAGAUCCUGGUACCGCACACCUGCCUUGAAGGCGCAGACUGCUUGGUGUUCUGUGACGUUCUCCACCGUAUGGUAGAGGGUCGUCCAACGCUGAAUGAAAUCGCGCAGGGGCUCAUUCUGCUUCUGGACACAGUGCUGGAGCUCCACGAGGCCAGCAGGGCGCUUACACGUCCCUUCGAAGGUCCUGACGAACACUCGGGCCAGAUCUCCCCAGCUGUAGAUGCUUGAGGGGGCCAAUUGGGUCAGCCACGCUCGCGCCGAGCCGUCGAGCAUCAGAGGGAGGUGCUUCAUGGCGACGUGGUCGUCCCCUCCUCCGAUCUGGACUGCCACUCGGUAGUCAUCCAGCCACGUUUCUGGCUUAGACUCUCCUGUGAACUUGCUGAUCCCCGUCGCCAAUCGGAAUUUGGGAGGGAUGUCAGCCGAACGGAUGGUCCUGCUUCCACUCGGACGGUCAAUAUCGUGACCAUCGCGGUGGGCUCGGCCCCUGUCGACCCUUCACUGGGCGAUAUGCCCUCUCGCGUCGGGCCUUGGAUCGUAAGUGUCGCCGACUGAACGCCGAUCAUCAUGAUGUCGGGGCCCGUAGGGCCCACCCCGCGGAGGGGUGCGUGAACGGCAACGAUCUUCGGGGUUCAUGGAACGGCUGCCUCCCCUGGGUCGCUGAUGAGAACCAGGGCUGUGAACUGACCGAUGCGUGUUCGCAUGGACAGAACUAUUGUGGAUCAUGUUGUGCGACUCGGAGACCGCCGAGUUUUGCUGCUGCGCCGUGUGCAACAGGGCGCGGAUUUGCUCGAUCCCCCUGCCAGCCUCUGAAUCAGUCGGCUGAAGGGAAUCGACUAUCUUGGCAGCGGCAGCCAAGUUGAGGAUGGGUGUGCGGAACAACUCCACGUUGCUCCGCCGAGUGUGCCGGCUGGCAGAACGGCGAGGUGGACGGUGAGCGCCGGAUGUUUCGCCGAUCUCGUGCUCGUUCCGGCUAGUUUGGCGGGGACUUUCGUGGGAGUUGGCCAUGUGUACUUCUGCUGCAGGCCCGCGACCCAAGUACUCGGAAGGAAACUCAGUCGGAACCGAGUCCCAGCGCUGGGACGGCGGGGCAACCACAACUGACUCUAGGACCGCCACUUGUGAAGAUGCGUUCUGGCGCGCCGGUGCGUGUUGCACCCAACGCUGGAGCCGCGGAUGGCGGGACCGCUUGUUGCGGCGCGUGACGGUGGUGUAGGUCGACACCGGAGCCGACUGCUGGAGAAGAAGAAUGCCGCGGGCGCCGGCACGGAAAUGCGAAGCUCCGCGACGGGGAAGCGGCUCGACGUCGAGAGGGGCGUCCCGAAGCCAUGCUGAAUCAUCGACGAUGAAGGAGAGAGCACCGAAGAGGAUCUCGUGACCCAUGCUCGAAUCUCCACCGAAUGACAUGACGAAAAGAUGUAGUCGCAAACUCGCCGGAAGUCGCUUAGACGCCUGCCCCACGGUGGGUGCCAACUGUCGUGGGUAUAAGUCUGACAGUAGAUGUGUAGGGUACGAAAGGAUGGGCAGAGCCUUAGCUACGGUGAGGUUGUAUGAGUUCAUGCCCCUCUACGGUGGAGGUAAUAGCCCUACGCCUCAGUGCUCUGGGAGCNNNNNNNNNNNNNNNNNNNNNNNNNNNNNNNNNNNNNNNNNNNNNNNNNNNNNNNNNNNNNNNNNNNNNNNNNNNNNNNNNNNNNNNNNNNNNNNNNNNNNNNNNNNNNNNNNNNNNNNNNNNNNNNNNNNNNNNNNNNNNNNNNNNNNNNNNNNNNNNNNNNNNNNNNNNNNNNNNNNNNNNNNNNNNNNNNNNNNNNNNNNNNNNNNNNNNNNNNNNNNNAGUGCGCUACCCUCCACGACGGUUCGGUGCACAGGGGUGGAGUAGUGGCGAAUAAAUGCCUACGUUACAGGUAAUGUAUGUAUUAAAUGCUAAUAAAGGCACAUGGAAACGUACGACCGUUUCCCUCCAGGGGGUAUGAUGCACAGAGUGGAAUCCAGUCGGUUAGUUUGUUACACUCCGAAUGCUCAUCUCCGACUGGAUGGUGGAGGAUUUGUUACCGACUGGAUGAUGGGAAGUCCAUAAGACGGUCGGAACUGACUAAGGGUCUUAUCCCUUAUGAAGGGUAGUCCUUGGAUAGGACUUAUAGGGCAGGCCUAUGACCCUACCCUAGGACUAUAACCCCAUCAUGAUCACAAUGAGACUAUUAAACACUUUUUUCUCCAGUUUCCAUUGGCUAGACUUCUACGCUUACUAUUCAUGUAGCCUUCAAUAUAAACCCUCCAAUAAGUAUGAACACAUUAUUUGGGACGUGGCUUAAUGGAGUGGACGUUAAUUUAUCUAGAUAAAUUCAAAUAGAAAUUUGUGCAAUGCUUUGGGCUAUAUGAAACUGCAGGAGUGACAUGAUAUUUAAGAGGAAGAACGUCGCCAAUUUCUUGCAGGUUAUCUACAGAGCUACCGCAUGGAUCCGUACAUGGUCGUUACUCACACAUGUGGAGUCCAGGGAGCUUUUGGUUACUAGGUGCAACUAGUGGGAGACGACAACAUGGAUUAUCUUCAACCGAUAUGGAUGACGGCAAACUAAUAGGGUAGGUGUUUAGCCAUCGUAGCCUGCUUUUAUCAUGCCACAUUGGCAUGUAUUUUCCUUUUAUUUUCAGCUCUUUGAGCUCCACUUUGGAUACUAUAGUUUCGGUGAACUUUUUUGGCUUAAUAAAAUGGCAGCAUGUAUCAUCAUGAUGCAGAGGCCCGGGAGCAUCCCCUUUAUUUAAAAAAAAACUACAUGAUACAAGAAGACAUGAACAUAGUACUCGGAGCAGACAGAAAAGGAAUACUCAGCCCAAACAAUUGACACGCAUGUGAGCGCGCGCACACACACUGCUAAACCCGUCUAGCCUCCCCUUCACCUAUACAGGGUAAGGAGAUGCGGGUUCACGAGACCCAGACCGCAUCAAGACUAACACGAGGCACCACAACCGAGCGGCCACGACUCAAUGCUCAAUUACAUAAACGUACAUCCGUCUAAACCGCCAAGAGAUCGGCGAGUAAGUAACAGGACCUGGCCAGGCCGGAGGCGGAAGCCCACGUAAACAUCGCCGAGGACAUGCAUAGGGCCCAAAAUGUCCAUGCCUUGAUAGGCGGCCCACCUUUACAUUUUCUCCAAAAUAAAUGCCCAAAUUUUGAAAUUACAUGAACAUUUAAUAAAGCAUUGGAAAUUUUAGAAGUUAUUCAAACCUUUUUGAAAAAAUACAAUAUAAUUUUUUGAAAGAUGAAAACACCUUUUGAAAUUAUAUGAACUUUUCAAAAAUUUGUGACAACUUUUCAAAUCACACAUAAUUUUUAAAUACGUAACUUAUUUUCUUACUUACUAAAAAAGAAAUAACGGCUUUCAUUUUUUUUGAACUUUCAAAAAGACCAUGAAAUUUAUAAAUAGUCAAUACGGUUAAAUAAUUUUCAAACAUUUUAGAAAUAUUCACACAUUUGAAAACUGUUCAAUUAUUUUGUAACAAAAUCAUUCACGCAAAAAAAGGGUUCAUAUCCGUAAAAUCUUCAUGAUCAAGGGAAAAAAUAAAUAAAAUUUUGCAUUAAAAUAAUGAAAAUGAGAAAAAAGUAAACAUUACUAGGGAAAAAGAAAAAUAAUAUAGUAUAAACGAAAUAAAUCCGUCUUACAUGGUACAAAACGACAGGAAAAACACGUCAUGUACAAAACCAUGGAAACCGAGAGAGAUCCAAAGAAAACAGUUUUAGCGGUGAGGUGCGAGAUGAGAGAAAGAACAGAGAAAAGCUUAAUGGGAUGGCUGCCCGAUUUCUUCAAUUUUGCUAGUCCCCAUUGCUACAAGUUCGCAUAAGUGUUCCUCUGUUUUGAAUGCAACAGAUUUUUUUUUCUUUUGAGAAAUGAAUGGACCGGAACAAGAAAUAAGUUUGGACCCUGCGCCAGGAUAUGCGAAUAUACCUCGCCUGACGCGAAGAUGGAAACCAGGCUCGCCCGUGCAGCGCCGUCACAUUGGGACAGGCGGGCCGCCAGGAGGCUAUAUAAGACUCACUGCUCGAUUUGUUCAACAAAACGUACACUUUUCUUAGUGGCUGGAGCUAAUUAAUGCCGUGCGGCCAUGAUCGAAUCCGGCAGUGUACAUUUUUUUUUAAAUAGUAAUACAUUCAGCAAAAUUUAAAAAACACCUUGCAUAAUUUUAAUAAAAAUACUAAGCAAACAUUUCUAAAAAGUUAAAUGUGCAUAAUUGUUUUUUCAUGUAUACAGAAAAUAUACAAUGUGUAUGAAAAAAGUUCAUCAUGUAUUUAAAAUAUAUGUUCAUUAAGUAUUUCAAUAAAAUUAAUGAAUCAUUAGGAAAUGAUAAAUGUGUGUGGGCAAAACUAUUUUCUUGUAUACGAAAAACAUAUAAAAAAUAUAGGUUUGUUAAAUUUUUUAUCACGUACUAAAUAUUUUUUCCCAGAAGAAUAUACUAUCUCCGUCCGAAAAUACUUGUUAUAAAAAUGGAUGUUUCUAGAUGUAGUUUAGUUGUAGAUACAUCAAUUUUUAUAUAUUUGUGCGACAAGUAAUUCCGAAUGGAGGGAGUACUCACUUUUUAUAAAACAUGUAUAAACAUAUGUCCGGAUGUAAAACUGUACAAUGGGUAUGCAAAUAAUAGACACAAAAAUAUACUCUAUUUAGAAAACAUAUGUUUGUAAAAAAUAAAUCAUGUAUCUGAAAAAUAUUCACCAUGUACACAAAAAAUAUUUCCUGUAUUUGAAUAAAAAUUAUAACAUGUGUAAGAAAUGUUCCUUUUCUAUAUGAAAAGAGCAAGAAAAACCCAUAGAUAACCGAGAAAGACAAACAAAACAAAACAAUGAAACCUGAAAAAAGAAAUGAAAGAAAAAACCCAGAGGAAACCAAGAAAGGAAAAGAAAUCAAAGUAUGACAAAAAGAAAAAGUGAAAAACAAGCGGAUAAAAUCCAGUGAAAUCCGAAAAAAGAAAUAACGAAAGCAAAUAAAUCAUAGAAAAAAAUCUAGUAAUACCAAGAAAGAAACAAAGAAGACUAUUGAAAAGAACAAAGUAAACCUAUAAAAAAGGAUAACCAUGAAGAAAACAAAGAAAACCAAAAGAAAAACGAAAAAAAAAUAGCAAAAAACAAAAAAAAUCUGGAAGGAAACCUGACUGCACUAUCAGCGGCCAACCCACCGAGUGGGGUGAGCCAGCGACCCCGGUUAAAAUGCGGAGAGCGAAAUAUUCAGGUGGCAUAUGCCUCGCUAUAAGUGCGAUAUAGGGCGUGGCAAGGGCACAAGGGCGACAAUCUACUAGACAAAAAGGAGAUGCCAACGCAGUACAUAUGUAUACGGAUACAGGGACAUGGUAUAUUGUGAGAUUUUAUUUUUUAUGAUAAUAUGUGUCUCAUUGAUAUUAUAAAAAUAAAAAUACAAGUUACGUAUACCAACAUGACAAAACUAAAAAAAUAACAGAACAUCUCUAAGUUUGACACCAACAUAUGUCGCGUACCUCUGACACUGUCAUAGCAGCCACCAAAGAAAAGAAUGGCGAAUCACCUCCUCAACCAAGCUCGACGCGAUUCCAUCGCUUACAUGCAACUUUGCGGACCUUGAAGGUGACUUAUCAAAAGUGAAGCCAUGAGGCUGGUUGUAACGGGGAGUGUCAUAUACUAGUAUCAUGCAUAUGAUAUUAGUGUAUGAUAGUACAUCCGUAAUGCAUAGUAGCAUGUCCUACUAUCAUAGGACAGUUUAUUUAUUGUCAUGCAUGAUACAUAGUAGUACAACAUUUAAUAUGAUAUGAUAUCAUAAUAUGAUGUUUAAUAUUUUUUUCUUCAUUUAAUUCUAUGUCAUCUCAUCAAAUAUGGCUAGUUUGAUACUACUACUUAUAAUACUUUCAUUAUGACUAGCCUUAUCGUUGAACGAAUCAGACCAGGAUAACACCUCGAACACGCCAUCAAACUUCACAUAUGACACCCCACCGAAAGAUAUAUCUUGCCUAGAAUCAUAUUUAUCAUGUACGUAGUACUCCCUUCAUCUGGAAUUACUUGUCGCAGAAAUGAAUCUGUCUAGACACAUAUUUACUUUUAGAUAUAUCAAUUUCUAUCCAUUUUUACGACAAGUAAUUUGGGACGGAGGGAGUAGAUACCAACCUUUUUAUAGAUCAGAUAUAUACCAACUAAACACCAACUAAACACGUGCACAUGCUAGAUCGGCCGGCCCUUUACGAGGUUUGUCUGUGUGUUUUUCCAGCCGGUUUGGGGAAGUUCUAGAACCUUCCUUAAACUGAACUUUCUCAACAUUUUCUGUGUUUUCCCUUUUUUCAGCUGUUUAUACCAAUUUUUUUUUUUUUUUGGAUUUUGAUUUUUUCAAUUCUCAAACAUUAAUAUUGUUUAUCUUUCUGUCCUCUUCUUUUAUUUUUUUUCCCAUUUUAAUUUUAGAAGAAAUUUGUAAUUCACAUACAUUUCUGUAUUCAUGAACUUUUUUGAAAUUCUUAAAAAAAUUCUAAAACUCACGAAUAUUAUUUCAAUUCAUGAACUUUGUUUGAAUCGACAAACAUUUUCUGAAAUUUGGGAACAAUGUUGUAAAUUUGUGUCCAAUUUUUGAAAUACAUGAAUAUUUUUUAACAUGUCCGGGAAUCAUCAACACGACGACCGCCUAUAUCAACUUUGUCGUCUUCAUCAACAUCUUCAUCAAUUUUUCUGUCUAUUCAACAGUUCUCUCUCCCAGAAUCCUCUGUAAUAUCCUACUUAAACAUGGUGUUGGAUAUUGUUAAUUAUUAUAUGAUGAUUUCUUGUGUCUUCUAUAGGUUUGAGUAGAUUAUUUUUGUCAUAUGGGUUAAUUGAUGAACUGUUGUGAUUGGUUUGAGUUUCAUGUUGUCCUUUGAUACCCAUCAUAUGAGCGCUCACGUUGAUGGCACUCUAGGGUUUGUUCUAUGUUGAUACGACUAUGCAUACGGUGGCUGAAGUGACCAGAACCUCGCCACACUAUUGAAAUUAAUGCAUAUGGAAUUGAAGGGGACCAAUAUAUCUUACUGUUAUGGUUGGGUUUACCUUAACGCGCGUGUUAGCAUUUGCAGAUGCUUACUAAUGGUUUCAAUCAGAAGUACAUAUGAUUAAACAUGAAAAAUAUAUUCCUAGAGGCCUCUCCCACAUAUAAAGCUGUGAUGAUAAUAAUCGGUCUAGUAACUUAGUCAAUUGUCCAGGACGAUGAUAAUAAAUUGUGUCUCGAUCUCUAUAGUGCUUUGGAUACUUUGGAAUUUUUGACACACGGAACAUGAGAAACAUAUCCAUUUCAUGUCCUUCUCAAUCUAUCUCGAUUGGCUGCUUCCAAAAAUCCUGACAACCUAUCCAUGAACCCAUUGCUCAAACUGUUCUUGCAAACAUCCAAGCUCGAUCCACAUCCGCAACAUAACAAAAGUACCACAUUAAUAACCUGCUAUUACAAAAUUAUACGUGCAUCAUAAUUAUAUUAUUAACACAUUAGCUAGCACAUCUAUUUUGUUUACUUUGCAUAUUAACUUUGUCUUGUGAAUUUUUUGUGAAUUUUGCCCAACCUUGUGAGUCAUCCAUUUCAAAUUAUUGACCGGCGGCAACACUCCCUCUCGAAAUGGUGCCCGACAAAACCCCUCCAUAUCGAUUCAGCAACAACUUCCCCCCUCUCAAAACAAUGACUAGUGACAACCUUGCACCUUAGGUUUGUGAUAAGCAGGAGCAAUCAUCCCACUAAACAGGGCAUCAAGUCAAUGGACAAAUCUCACACUGAACUCAUGGUUAGUGACAUGGUAACAAACAUUCCAGGUAGUUUCCAAAUAGCAACCCAGUUUCAUUUUAUAGUUGUCUGCAGUAAGGUUGCUCGUAAUGAGAGUAUCAUAGUUAGUAUAAUGCAUGUCAACUAGGCAAUUUUGAUGUGCUCACAUAAAAUUAAAUGAAGAAAGAUAAGAUUGAACAUUAUAUCAUGGUACCAUAUCAUAAUAAAUAUUGUACUACUAUGUGUCUUACAUGAUAUUAAGUAAAAUCAUCUAUGAUACCAGCAAUAUAAAUAUAAUAUUAUAUAUUAGUAUCAUAUGCAUAUGCAUGAUACUAAGAUAUUAUACUACUCCCUCCGUUUCAAAAUAUAAGUCUUUUAUGAGAUUGCAUUAGGGACUACAUACAAAUAUAUAUAGACAUACUUCAAAGUAUAGGUUCACUCAUUUUGCUUUGUAUGUAAUCUGAAAUCUGUAAAAAGACUUAUAUUUAAAAAACGAAUGGAGUAGUCACUAGCAACAGCCUAAACAAGUAUUACAGGCGGUUUCCAAACUACAUGCAAUUACUGAUCAUGGGGAGCAAUGUACUCCUCUAGUCGUCUUGUUGAUGGAAAAAAUAUUUACAAUCAAAUUAAUCAGUGUGAAUGUUGAUGGAAAUUUGUGUUGGUAAUUACAGCGAGAAAUUAAAGAAGCAGGGCAAUGUGCUCCUCCUGGCGUCGACGAUCAGCGUGACGAAAUCAGCAAGGGUAAUACGCCUUGAGGUGCGCUUGUAAGCAUGGCGAGUCCUUCCAAACCCUAGCGUGCAUCUUGAGCAGCUCCUUGGCCUUGGCCCUGGCCCGCUCGCCGGCAUCCACCUGUAGAACCAGCAGCAGCUUGGCGACCACCCCGACGGCCAGCAUCUCCUGCAGCACGGCCGGCGUCGGCGAGUGCCUAGCCACGGCGUGCAGAGCGCGCACCGCGCUCUCGGUGGUGGUCGGUGACACCCGCAUAGCCUUCUUGGCCACGACGGCCAGCCCUGCCGGGUGCGCCACAAGGUCCGACCGCCCCUCCGCACAGCCGCAGAGGUGGUCGAUGGCCACCACCGCCAGCUCGGUGGGGUGCCGGCCGCCUUCGUCGAGGAGCAGCUCCACCAGCACAGUCACCGCGCCGGCCUCGACGGCCUUGACACGGUUGCGGCCCCACGGACAUAGCCGGCACAGCACGUUCAGCGCCGCCUUCACCGCCUUGGCGGACACCCUGUCAGACACCACGCGUACCACCUCCUGCACCAGCUCGGUUCUCACCGUCAUCAGCCUCGCCGGCUCCAUGACCGACACCAUCGCCUUCAGCAGGAUGAUGCCGUAACAGCGGGACCGGUAGCUCGGUCGCCGCAGCAUGCACACCAGGGUGUCCAGGAAGUCUACGUUUUUCUCGAGGAUCCGGAGCAGGCUCUUCUUGGACGGCUUGAGCGAGCAGAUGACGCUGAGCGCGUCCUCCUCCGGCGAGCUCGUGGACGUCGGGGAAUCCAGCGAAAGUUCUAGCAAAUCUUGAGCCGACUUGGACGUGGUGGCAUGGUUCGUGACGACGGAGACGAGGAACUCGACGGCGCCGGGCGUGGCCUCGACGCAGCGCCUGUUGCGAUCGCUCUCGGCGACGAUGGCCUUGAUCUCGCGGAGCGCGGCCAGCUCCUGCUGCCGGCCGGCACCGUGACCCUCUUGGACGAUCUCGGCGACGCGGCUGGUGUCGAGGGGCGGGCGCGGGGUGGGGAAGCGCUCGACGGCGUGGAGGGAGCACCAGGCCUGGGUGAGGCGGCGGAGCGUGUGGUUGGGCGUGGCAUCCCGGUCGGCCUCCGCAAUCUUCUGCUGCGUGACGGGGCAGGUGGCGUGGCCGUCGGAGAUCCAGCGCUCGAUGCUGGUGCGGUCGUAGGUGAUGCCGGUGGCGAGCGUGACGGGGUCCCGCAUGAUCUCCAGCGAGAUCGGGCACAGGAAGUACGGCGGCACCUCCACCGUCGGCCCCUCCAUGGCCGUAGGUCGCGAAGGAUUGCUCGUGAAAUGGAUCUGGUGGAGAGCAGAGCGAAUGAAGAAGACGCUGACCGAGUUGGUGGAUGGAGUUGAACACAAAUCGAAUGGGAGGGGGAGUGGGUGCGCGCGCGUUUUAUAGGAAGUGGAUCACGCGAAGAAGUCCACGCGUGUUAGCAAGAGAUUAGAGGAGAUUAAUUGCGUGGGUUGGGUUGGGUCGGAUUGACUUGCGGGGUCGGUGUUGAGCUGGCUCCAUGUUUUGACUUUGUGAAUUCAUCUUGCUCGGUCCUUUCUGCUGUUCGACUCCGUUGCUCUUGAAAGAUUCCGUUUCUGUGGGUAUGAAACACCGUUGAAGUUUAGCCGCUGCGUAGAUUGGUUGAAGGGUAAUUUUCGCCACCUCCGUGGUUUUAGAGUAUCUACAACCAGACCCUUAUAUUCGUUUCGAACGUUGGACAGCCGAUCAAUCAGCGUACGGCCAGAGAAAAUCUACCCAAAUGGAAUGCACUAAGAGCAAGCUGCUGGCUAUAAGCCACUGCCAUGUCAUCUAUAGCCCAUCUUAUAGCUAACAUGUACAAUACUUCAUUGUAAAAGUGUAUUACUUCUUCAUUAUAUGGUCCACCUUUCAUACUCAUAAAAUGCCUAGGAGCACGUGCUAGAGCUGGCUCUUAGCUAAGAGGCCGCUUACCUUCUCUCCCCUCUUAGCUAAGAGGCCGUUUCUGUGGGUAUGAAACACCGUUGAAGUUUAGCCGCUGCGUAGAUUGGUUGAUGGGUAAUUUUCGCCACCUCCGUGCACUUAAACAUCUACAACCGGACCCCUUAUAUCUGUUUCAAACGUCCGGUCGACCGGUCGGUCAAUGUCCGAUCGAAAAAAAAGCAAUCCAAACGGGCGUUCUAAACGGGUCUCAAAUACACGAGCUGACCGACAUCCAUCAUAUCUAGCAUAAAUAUGGAGCGAAUAUGUGGAGCCCGUGCGUGCCCGGACAUGCUUGCCUGGCAGGCCUGGGCCACCAUUGACCCCACCGACAUGUCAGUUUGGCCCACCAUGGACACCAUGAAAUAUUCCAAUUCGGUAACCCUAGACAUCCGACAGUUCAGUCUCCAUCCACUCCAUUUCCAAUCCCCCCACUUCGAUCCAAUGGCUGGCCAUGGAAGCAACUCCGACAGAUCGAACAUCGAUGUCGAGGAGGUGGCCCUCUGCAUCGCAUUACUCCGGUCGCUGCAGGACAAAAGGGGCCCCGUCGGCAAUGCAUGUGCAUCCUCCGGGCACGUCGCACACCGACGGAGUGCCGGCGACAUCGCAUGCCCUUCCCGCAAGGCACAUAGCUCCGACCGCUCCUGCUCUGGCUGGUCCGCUCCCGUUCUGGUCGGUACGCUCUAGGUCAGGUACGCCACCCAUCUCCACCACCUCCUGCUCCAAAAGCGGUGCCCGACCACCGUGGAGUCCUCAUGCCCGCGCCGGGGACGUGGUGCACGAUGAUACCGGAGUUCGGGGUGCAUGCACCCGAGCGACAACGGACGAGGAAGAGGGGGGAGGCCUUGGUCGCGCAGCGUUCGACCUUGAGCGCACCGGUCGACCCCGAGGACGCACUCCUCGCGGGCACCUACGUCGCUCGCUGACUACAGCGGAGACGAAUGCAUGCCGCCUCCGCCGCAAGAAUGCUAACUCACCUCGACUAGCCAUCCAGUUAUCAGAACGCGAGGGAGCUAAAGAGGCGGCGGCGAAGGCAAAAGUGGUAUGUCACGCGAAGGAGCAAGACCGCCUACUCCAUAGGCUGUUCAGCAUGCGGGGCAGCUCCGACGAGGACGACAACGACACCUCCACCUCCGGCUCCGAUGUUAACGACGACAAUGCUCCACCGCACGGUGACGUCUAAACGUAGAAGAGGCAUAACCGCGUGGAUGACCGAAAAGGGAAGGGGAUAAAAAUGGAGGGAGUGCUACAAAAGAUGUCCCUGGGGCCUGCUGAUCAUUCGCCAGAAACUGUGGGAAUGAAUAUGAUACAACGCCGUAGUAUCAAUCGGUUUUCACUUUGUUUUUCGUCAACAGCUGGUUACUUUUUCUAACGAAAUGAAAUUUUCUCCUAGAUUGCGCUUUCAGUAGGCAUCGACUGCGUGUUGGAAAACUAUGCAACCAUUCCAUUAUUUGUAAUGGGCAAAACUAUUUUUUUCGUCCUUUUACCUUUUUUUAAAGUUGGUUUGUUGAACAUUAAAUAUACCUGUUGCACGUCCCGUAACAUGUGUAGUUAAAACUUUAAAUAAUUCAGUUGUACUACUAAUAUCUUUUGAUGUGUUAGUUUGAUUUUCAAAACUUUAGAUGACCAGUUGCACAUCAUAUACACACCGUUGCAUAUUUUCAAGAUGUGCAUUUGUGUAGUGUGCAAUGAUUUCUGUGUUAUGUGUAUGUUUUUCAUAAUUUUCACGGGUGCUAUUUUCCGCUUUUUAUUCUUGCUGAUUGAAACUUUGUUUUUUUUCUCCAUGUACUAAUAUAUUUUUCAUAUUACCAAUUAUAUUCACUGACGGAGCGUCGGGGGGACCAAGGAGGGACCUCCCCCGNNNNNNNNNNNNNNNNNNNNNNNNNNNNNNNNNNNNNNNNNNNNNNNNNNNNNNNNNNNNNNNNNNNNNNNNNNNNNNNNNNNNNNNNNNNNNNNNNNNNNNNNNNNNNNNNNNNNNNNNNNNNNNNNNNNNNNNNNNNNNNNNNNNNNNNNNNNNNNNNNNNNNNNCCUCUUACAAGAGGAAAAUUGCAAGGAUAUGCUCCUCUAAGCAUAAACUCUCUGGUAAUCUCCCGGCAUCCUUAAUUUCUCUAGCUAGCCCCUCCUUGGAUUUAGAUUACGCUUCCGCCACUUAGUAUAUUUGUGCAUAUUUGUUGAGCUUUAUUUUCACAUCUUCGUUUGGUCAAGCACAUAUUCAAAGUACCAAUCGGACUCUCUUUAAAAAACAGUUCUAGUGUGCACGCCGGUGUAAAAUCUCGAUGAAAAGAUCGAAUAUGUGAAAUUUAGAAGCUUUGCAGUUUAAUCGUGGCAGGUUUCUUUUAGGAUCUAAGCUAAUGUUUGUUAUAUGGAAUGCAAAGUGUUCCAGUUUAUAAAGAAAGAUCCAAAUUAAACUAAUGCUUAGAGUUUUUGUCAAAGUGUUCCAUUUGUCUGGCCCAGAAUCAAAUGGGUAACUUAACCGAAACCACUUGUCAUUGUAUUCCAUGGGCUUACCUAUGAAGCAUUGAUACAACAAUACAGAAUACGAUAAUUUUUAAAAACAUCAAUACGUCAAUACAGUAAGUAUAUACAAAUAAUAAUAAAAUAAUUGUAAUAAAAACAAACAUAAUAAAUUGUGUUAGAAUAGAUCAAAAUGUACUAGGCGAUGAAUAAAACUCCCUUUCACCCACAAAAAAGUGUAAUAGGCAGUGCAUUAGUAAGUUGUUCAUGGCUUAAUAAGAAGGUUAGCGUAUGUUUUAGGAUAAUUCUUCGGGUGCGCUUUGUCAGCGGCUCAUGUCCCUUUUCUUUGCGAGCGGACGAGCAUCGCGGAGUUAACACUGUUAGCAUAUGACUAAUUAUUAGCAAAGCAGUAACAUUAGCAAGCAACUACUAUCUCUACACAACCUACUGAAUCAAGUAAUCUACAACUACAAGGAGCCAACCUGCUCAAUCUACUACAAUGUCAACCUACUUCAUCACUAAUAAUUGAAGACGAAAAGAUGAAUGGAUAGAUCAAGUAAAGAGGUGGCGAGUGUGACCAGCAACGACGACAGAGUUCAGUCGAUGUGGGGCGUUAGGAGUUGAUAGGGCAGCGAACAGAGUGAAAUGAGUACUCAAGUUAGGGUUAGUAUUGGGCUUGUACUGGGCUGGCCGUAUCCCAGCCGUGGACGGUGAACAACAUGUAUCGGUGUUUUUAUCUUCUUUUUUUCAAAUUAAAAAAAGAUACUUCGGUGAUACCAGUAUUGAUGCCGUAUCACACGUAUCAGCGUCUGAAAUACAGGACAGCGAUACACAUGUCUUACAAGUAUCGGUGCUUCGUAGGGGCUUACUGGGAUGGAGUGUUAGUGGACAGCGGACGAAGAUGACGAUGCCACGGAGGUCGACCAGUCGGCAGUCGUGAGCUGUUCAUGGCGCAGCUGACAACGAAGUGCUGGAUCGAUGGCCAAAUUUAAUCAAGAAAACAUUUUUUUCCCUGCAUAUAAAAAGAGAAAAGGAAAGGUAGUACGUACUACUCUUCCCCGCCGCAGCCGCNNNNNNNNNNNNNNNNNNNNNNNNNNNNNNNNNNNNNNNNNNNNNNNNNNNNNNNNNNNNNNNNNNNNNNNNNNNNNNNNNNNNNNNNNNNNNNNNNNNNNNNNNNNNNNNNNNNNNNNNNNNNNNNNNNNNNNNNNNNNNNNNCAAUCGGAGCAUUCAAGGUUCAAGUGGAAGCUACCGCUGACCGACAGGGCCUUGCAUGCAUGCAUGCUGGCGCCACCAAUCAUCUCGCGUAUACGUGUCGGAGCAUACGAAGUGGCCUGAUCGAUGGCGUAUACGUGUGUCGUCUACGGCCAAAUUGAAUCAAGAAAACUUUUUUUCCUGCAUAUAAUAAUAAGAGAAAAGGAAAGGUACUACUAUUCCCCGCCGCAGCCGCNNNNNNNNNNNNNNNNNNNNNNNNNNNNNNNNNNNNNNNNNNNNNNNNNNNNNNNNNNNNNNNNNNNNNNNNNNNNNNNNNNNNNNNNNNNNNNNNNNNNNNNNNNNNNNNNNNNNNNNNNNNNNNNNNNNNNNNNCAAUCGGAGCAUUCAAGAUUACUCCCUCCGUACCUAAAUAUAACUUUUUAAAUAUUUCACUAGAUGUCUACAUACAAAGCAAAAUGAAUGAACCUAUGUUUUAAAAUAUGUUCAUAUACAUCCGUAUAUAGUUCAUUAGUUGAACCUCUAGAAAGACUUAUAUUUAGCAAGGGAGUAGAUUUCAAGCGUAAGCAACUGCUGACCGAUAGCCAGAACCAUGCAUGCAUGCAUGCAUGCAUGCUGGCGCCACCAAUCAUCUCGAGCACUCACCAUCAUCGCCAGCACUCACGGCAGCUUCCGGCCGCACGCGACCGGGGCCCGCAUGUCGGCGCGGUUUGACCGCCCCGUCGUUUUCUUCAACGCACGCGCGCGCGCUCGAUCGUAAACUAUUUUCCACGUGCUGUUUUUAAAUGCAAAUGAAUUCGGCGCAUGCGCACCAGCCACUACUACUUGUAUGCGCCAGCCUUUGUAUAUUUCGUCACGUGCCGUGCGUGCAUGCAUGCAUGCAUGUUCCCUUCUCCGGUUUCCGUGACGUUGAAAGGUUCUCCAAACCGAUCGCCAGCCGUGAUCGAAUCACAGAAAAGACCCAGCAUAUUUUGGUAGUACGUUAAUUUUGUUUUUGAGGAACCAGCAGGAGUUCUGCCUUUUUAUAUAAAAAAAGAAGAAUUGACCAGUUAAUUUUGAUAGUAUGUUAUUGCCAUUGUAUGUGACCAACUGAGUCGAGGGCCCGCGCUGCCUGCGUUAGAUCGAUGAUGACCUAACUACGUCGACCAGCUCUCCUACCAGAGGCGCUCAGUCGUAUUUAAGGCGGUAAUAUAAUGCUACCGGGAAUCUUCUAAAUUGCCAGGAAGUGCGGAAUAGAGGGGUGGUUUUCUGAGCGAUCCCAUCAGCUCUCCUACCACAGGCGCUUUGGUCGUAUUUAAGGUGAGGAACUGUUCUUUGUUGAUCAGGAGACGACCAACUCUUCUAGUGGCUCUACUGUUUCAAAGAGGAACCUUGGCUGGAAUCUCGCAUUUCUACACCUAGUGUGAUUCUACAACUUUUUGUCGUGUUGUUUCGCCUUUGUAUUUUUUUUAUUUCCCUGUAUAUUAAAAAAAUGGGACUAUCUAUUUGUCAUCCGACUAAAAAUCAAUUGGACAUCAUUCACAUUUUCCGACUGAAAAUCUGUUUUACCCGGUACAUUCCAUGUUGUUCUAUCUUCAUAAAAAAUGUCCUACUUUUUUUCGAAACCACCGUCCCAAUUGCUAAGGUUUCCGAGGAGCGCUCUACGCAAUUAUUGACCUCUUGGUCACGGCAUGAACACCUGCGACUACUUUUCCAACGACGACUUCUUCCCUAACAUCGACAACCUCUUGGGUGACAACAACAUCAAUGCCAAUGCCAAAGCUAAUGCCACUGCAUAACUCAGUUUGUGUUUAUGUCUUUUUUGUUCGAGAUCCUACUAGAGUUUCUUGUUCUUGUAUCUGUUCUAGAUAUGUUAUCUUCUAAUUCACAUCUUCAUAUGCUACUCGCCUUCUCUCUGUUAGAUUGCAUGACUUGUUUCGUAUCUGCUAUAUUAGUCAUGUUUUAUCUACUAUUUCUAUUAAUAAAAUCAUAUGAUAAAUUGCUUAUUUUUUUAUCAAUUCAAAAACCUUAUAAUAGGCAAUUUAACCAGAGUAGUUUUGCUGCUUUCAUGAUGCCUCUUAGGUUUAAGGGUGUUUACUAUAAGAGGUGAUGUGUGAGAGCAGUUUUAUGGUUUCAAACCAUGAGCUGCUAUGAUGCCAAAGCCACUUUGGAACAUCCUAUGUUUGCUCUGGUACUUCCGAGAACAAUAUUUUCAUGGCUCAGUUGUGACUUACUAUUUACUGUAAAUCCUCUUUCAAAGAACUGCUUGGUCUAGCUACUACGUACUACCAAUCAACUGGUUUUACCUGGUACAUUCCAUGUUGUUCUAUCUUCACAGAGAAUGUGCUGCUUUUUUUUCGGAACCACCAUCCCAAUUGCUAAUUGUACUUACAAGUACUAAUAUGUUUUCACCUAGUAACAAAACAUUGCCGUCACGUUCAUUUUUUUUCGACGGUCUCGGUGGUUCUGCUAGUUUACAACUGGUGCUUCCAAGCCUAGUUUCUAUAUGCAUUAAAAGUCACUAGCAAAAUGGCCCGUGCGUUGCCACGGAAGAUAAAAACAUAAUCUCCAAUGAUGGUGACCACAUUAUGUUCAUAUAUCAUCGCUUGAUUUUAAAAAUUUAUGCACAAAUGCGAGAAAAUAUUUCUUCUUUUAAAUUUAUUCACAAGUUGAAGCAAUCUUUACAUUGUCAAAAAAUAUAUAUCAUGGUUGUCAAAAAUCUUGGUAACUCAAAGAUUUAUUCUGAAUUUCAAUAUUUUUUAAAAAAAACAUACAAUAAUAAUUUGAUCCAUCCAACAAUUAAUUCUUCAAAAUUCACACAGGUAUAUUGUCACAAAGACAUAGAAGUAUUAAUGUUUCACUACAUACAUUAGAUCUUUUGUGGAGAAUUUUAAAAAUAUGGAAAUAAUUUUAAAAUCGAGAACAUUUUUUACAAUUUACAAACAUUUACUAAAAAUCGUGAAUAUUUUUUAUAUUCCGAACGGGUUUAAAUAUUUUCUUUUGAAUUGGCGACCAGUUCAAGAAAAGACGAUCAUAAUUUUUUAUGUUGGAGGAUUUUAUUUUAAAUUCACAAACAUUUUUUGAAAUGCAUGAAGUUUUUCUGAAUAAACAAACAUUUUUAUAAAUCAGUAAUAUAUUUACUAAAUUAAUGGACAUUGUUUUGGAAUUUGCAAAAAAAAUAUAAUAAUCCGGCGCUUUUUUGAAUCCACAAACAUUUUAUGUUUUCGUCAGCAUUUAAUUCAAAAUUCCUCUUUUUUAAGAUGCAAAAGUUUUUGUAAUUCUAAAUUAUUUCAACUAGAAAUAAACAAAAAUGGAACGGAAAAUUUUAAAUAAAAAAAAGAAACUAUCGAAACAGGCAUUAGCUAUUUUUAAAAUUUUAGGACAUUCUUUAAAUGCAUUACCAUAUUUUGAAUUAGAAAGUAUUUUGUUAAAUGCCUUUAAUAAUUUUUAAUACAUGGAAUUGUAUUUGAAAUCAUGGACUUUUCUUAUUGUACAAACAUUUUAUUGUAUAUGCGAUAAUUUUUUACAAAACUCCGAGCAGUUUUUGAAGUCACAAACAUUUUAUUUUUUAAAAUAUGUUGAUUUAUAAUUUUCAGUUUAUUAAAUUUUUAAAGAUUAUUUGAAGUUCUAAAUUAUUGAAAAUAAAAAAUAAAAUGGAACUGAAAAUAAAUAAAUAAACGGAACUAAAAGCAGGCGUCUGUGCAAGGGCCGGCCCAUACGGUGUGCUGGAUAUUCUCCCAGCGUGCAGAGCGUAAUAUAGGAGGUUUUUACAUGGGCCGGCCCAGUUCAAGAUUUUUUUGCUUUCUGAAACAUUUUCUAUUACUUACCAGUGGCAUGGUGGGUAAUAAAUGCAAAUUUUAAGGGUAAUCUCCAUGACGGACGACGAGAAACCGAAUUUGCUUUAUUAUUAGGGAGAGAUAUUUUGGACUCUCUGUCUCUAUCAAUAGCCUUUCAUAUCCUUCUAUGGCUGCAUCCAUCACAUCCAUAUAAUUUAUCAUUGUUCAUCCCUGUAAGCCACUUCUAAUUUACUUCACUUCACUCCACCCACCUAUCACAUAGAGGAAGAGAUAUCCAAGGUAAGAAAAUAAGAGAGGAGUGCUGGAUGAUUCCAUGUCCAGUGUUCGAUUUUUGUAAAGCCAAGAGCUCCCCUUUCUCGAAUUAUGGAGAGAAGCUUUGAUGCAAGAUCAUUCAAGGAGUACUUAUCAAGUGACUUUUAUUUUCUUGUUACUCUUGGAUAGUAAGCACAUAACCUAGAUGGUUAGGAGUCACUUAAAAUAUAAUCCUUUCAAGUUCUAGGUGUGAAGGAUCCAAAAGCUUGUGUUGUUUUGUCUUUGUACAUUUCUGUUCAUUGUGCAUUGGAACAUGCAAGAACUAGAAAACAUGUCGGGAGAUCGACUUGGGAGGCGACACUCGAGGCGAUUCCGACGAUGGCACGGAAUUGAUUAGAGCAAACAAACGUGGUUACCAUGCAAACUCCUCCUGUUCCGGAGUGAGAUCAACGAGUGACACAUUGUAAAUCAUCUUAACACCGCGGGGUUGUAAGGAGGGGAGAUGUGGAUUACAUGUUUGUGCUCCAAAGUAGACCAUUUCUUGCCAGUGUUGCUGGACCUUUGCCGGACGCCUUUAGCAACUGAGAUGUUUUUCACCAUUUUCGUUGUAUUUCUUAGUUUCAUUUUCUUGUUAUUAUUGUCUUUUGUUCAAAACCACAAGGCUCUGUCUAGCCAUGAAUUGGUCUUUACAUUCCCUCAGGUAGAUCUUUGGCAAGUGUGAUUUUUUGGUCUUUUAUGUUUUGAUUUUAAUGUGAUUAUGUUUACAACGGAGUUGUGGCUUUGAGAGGUAUUCAGAAAGCUGAUUAAGCGCCCAAUGACAACAAGAUACGUGUUCCAGCAGGACAAGAUACUACGCCCAAAAGAAACUCCAAAUUUAUCCACAAGAAUCAAACUUCCAAGGUGAUUUUUUUUUGUUCUAGUUUGGAUAUGGUGAUAUACAUCCAUUUCCAAUCACUUCACAACAAAUUAGUUGUACAUGUAUUUAUUUUAGCCUUUUCAUCUGCUAUGUAUAAGAUAGGGGGUACAAGUACAAUCCGUUAAUUUCGACAUUAUUCUUCUUUCUGAAAAAUGGAUGUUGUUAUAGUGAUCCCAUUUCACACGCGCUAUCUCUGAUUGCUAAAGUUCUUGGCCUUUUCUGAUACAUAACAAAAAGUGCAGAAAUAAACUUUGCUCCUAGGUAUUGUUACAUACAUGGGCGGAGCUGUAUGGAGCUACCCUGUUGCAUGGGCAACAGGUCAAGUAGCUUCUUACAUGUAGUUUAGUACUUGGAUUAAGCAUGUGUAUAAGUGCAUCAGGCUAAACUAGCAAGGGUGCAACAGGGUAAAUGCAGAUGCAGCUCCGCCCCUGGUUACAUAACCCUUGGCAACCUUGUUCUUUUUUCUAUCUUAUUUCAAAACUCAAUGCCAAACAAGAUAAGACCACGCUUGGAGGUUAGUGUUGUCUCCGUUAGGCUAACCAACACCUCAUCAUCGCAGCCUUCCUCGUUGUAGAACUCACCCAGCUCCACCUCCACCCAACCGUCGUCCCUCCUCCGAGGGAUUGCCAUGUCAUCUCCAAGAGUAAUUUCCCAUUCUAGUCUAUAUGCAGAUGAUUCCAAGACAUGUAUACCCUCCUCCACACAACUUUGCAGGCAAACUUGCGAGAUUGAUAUCUGUCCUUCUCCUACGCUAAAUGAAGCCUCCUUGAAGGGAUAAUCCAACCCACAAAAUGAAGUGGGGUGUAGUUUAAACACCAUGUAAGCGGCAUACGUUACGUUUCCGGAGAGCAUCUUGCUGUGUAUCUUGCCAUGGAUUUCUAGCUUGCCACACUUCCUAAUCGUCACGACAUGUGGGAAUCUAUCACGAAAUAUAGACAGAAUUAAGAUUUUUUUUGAAACGGAGGUAAAAGCUUUGCCUUAUCUCAUUAAUAAAGAAGAAGAGCAUUGCCCGGUUGAAUAACGAAAAACCGGGUGAAAAACCAUUGCAACAUGUCCACACAUGACACACGGGGUGACCUGGCAACCCGUAAAUGAACGCACAUACGUCACCGAGGAGAGAACACCGUUGAGGCUGCAACCCGGUGUCAUCGUCAUCACACCUACACAAGCGCGACUCCAACUUUACCAUCGACGACCAUCAAUAUAGCCCUCACCGUAAGCAAACGCUGAGGCCCACGCUGACCACUACCAAACAGUCAACCACACGCGCCAACUACCAAGCAGCUCCGACUGUGCCGACGAGCAUUCUAGUAGAAAAGCACUGAGACUGAGCCGAGCCAGCGCCAGAACCGACCACCCGCCUCGCGUCAUCAUCGUCGCAAGGCCCCUCCUGAGCAGCUUCGACUCCAGGAAGGCAAAGUGAGGUGCAGCAACCCCUCGAACAUGCGGAUGAGACCGACUACCAAAACUCAGCAACAAACCAACUACACCCAAAACCGCCAUCGUCACCGCACAAGAAGUUGCGCCAACCACAUCACCAGUCGGGCACCUGCCGACCACGAUGUCGUAUGUGUCCAGCUCUUGGAAAGCAUGAAGGAGGCCAAUGACCCUCAAGGCAACGCCCCCAAGGGGGUAGAGCGAGGUGAGAGGAUGAAGCCGUCACCCGACUCACAUCGGAGUCUUAGGCUUUCGCCCGAUGACCAUGGUCCGAAGGUGCUGGGCAAGGAGAGGCUCCACAAUGACCCCCAAGGAGGAAAAACGAUGUCCGCGGACGCCGUGACGUCUAGGAUUUUGCCCAGAGCCACCUCGGCGAGCACCCCCAUGCAACGAGUGGCGCAACACCAUCGCUCUGUAAGCCCGCUGUCCCACGCAGCUCCUACGCGACAACGGUGCCAUCCUCACGCAAGAGCCACCAACCUCAACGCCUGCAAACUCCGGCGAGCCGGAGCCGGCCAAGUCGGCCAAAUCCGACGCCCACCACCGCCACAGAAAUGCCUAGACCACACCGGGAGCCCGAUGCGAGGCCGUCGCCCAACCUUCAGCCGCCCGACGCGACCACCUCGAGCCAGACCACACACGCGCCAGAUACGCGCCACCAUCCGCGCCAGCUCGCAAAUGGCCGCGCCGCGCGCCAAGACCACCUCGCGCCGCCUGGUGCAGCAGAGCACCGGCGCCGCCCCUCGGUGCCACCCGAAUCCACCGCCGGCCCGACACGUCACACCAAGCUGCGCGCCUCCACAAGGUCGGUUGCCCUGCACCGCCCGAAUGCCUCAUGGGGAGAGAUGAGUCCCGCCGCCGCCGACGCACGCAUGGGCUUUGCCCGGCGGCGUCCCCGAGCAGCGGUGAGGAAGGGGAGAGGCAAGUUGUGGGGUGGCGGUGGCGGGGAGCUAGGGUUGCGCCCGGGCCGCUCGAGGGAGCGGCACGGGGCGGGGGUUUAUUCCUAUGGAACGAUCUUGUGGACUGUAGUUUCGUCUGGCCUGACAGAAUUAAGAUUCGUGCCAUGCGUGGAAAAAUACUACUCCCAAUAAUAUAAUUGGGAGAAUUCGUUAUCAUGGAAAUGUAAGGCUUUAUUAACCUUUUGCUAGUGUUGAGAGCUUCGUAAUCAAAACCGCUAGGACUCAAGUACUAUAGGUAGCGCCGGUACUUGGCGAUCUGUAGUAUCUCCGCGGAAAGCACGAAGCACUUGGCGCCGGUAGCCUUGUCGAGCCUCAUGUGCUGCACCACACAUGUGUGUUUGUAGGUAUGUGCAGCAAAACAAAACGAAUAAACCGCGAACAUUUUAAUUAGUGCAUGCAUGGAUCCAUAUGAAAACAUCUCUCGUGCCGGUCGAGGAAUUAGAAGAAAAAAAAACCUAGCUAGCGAGCUUUUAUAUGUUUUACGAUGAAAUUCAGAUGAAGUUUGAUGGUGGUAAUACGACAUACCAUGAGCUUGCGCGGGAGGAAGGCGGGCAGGCAGGAGAGGCGCUGGAAGAGCGCCUUCUUAGACACCGCCCAGCGCCUCUCUUAGACACCGUCGUCGGGGCAAUCAUCUUCUUGGCGAAGCGCGGAAGCUCACGUGGCACGAAGCAGAACCAUACGGUGUCGGCGGCGGCGCGGAAAGGCCGGGAGACGGCUGCGGCAUGGCAGGCGGCCACCGGCGAUGUGAGGGAGAUCACCCGCACAAGUAGCUUGUCCGGCAGGCACCGAUCUGAGAUGACGCAGUAGUAGAAGAUGGUCCAUUUGUCCCGGUUCCACAGGCCCAUUAGCCCCUGUUCUGGACCGGGACUAAAGGGUCGGGACUAAAGCCCAAAACCUUUAGUCCCGGUUCGCUUACCAACUGAGACAGAAGCAGAUCACGUGGACGAUGUUCAAUCUGCAUAAUAUAUAUAGUGAGGAUAAUUAUAUAUACAUGCAAUGAAUGAGCUGAGCUAGAGAAUUAACUAUAUAAGUAAUACUUACAGACAGUAGGAAGUCAUGAGUUGUUUGUCAAUGGUUAGUUGAUUGUAUAACUGAAAUAACUCCUCAAAUUGGAUAGGAAUCACGAGAAGUCCAAUGAACUCGCGCUGUGGUUUCACUGCCACAUACAUAGCGUCUUUCCCAGACUCCCUGCAGGUUUUCAUGUACCACUCAUGCAAUUUGUGUAUCAUCGUUGUUAGAGGAAGAUGACUAGGUUUUACGAGAGGCUUCCCAUGCACGUAUUUAUAUUGUUCUUUUGUUACCUCAGCCGUUUCAAAAAUUACAUCAUCCCCCAAGUAAUCAUCAGGAUUGGUACCGGGCACCAUCCCCGGAUGAUUAGCGAUGACGAUAUCGCUAGACACCUUGAGCGGGGGGCACGAUUGCUUCUCCUAUUGGCUGAACUGGGGAAUUGUUUUCCCACUUCUUCGUUCUGCUAUGUACCUUGCAUCACCGGAAGUAGUUCCUGACCGCCGCGCUUGUGCAUAUGUAUUUUUAAGAAUGCGGUCAUAGUUGGAAUCCCGGCAGAGGCGGUGGUGGUCGCUUCAGUUGAUUGAUAAUGGGCUCCACUUUCCCCGGAUCUAGCUUCUCCAUCUGAGGUGGAGUUAUUUUGCAAAAUGGGCCCUCAAUACGGCACGACAUAUGUCCUCUCAUAUGGUAACUUUUCCAGAGGCUUGAGAGAUGGAUCGUAUCUGAAUUGCCUCCCGCCUCUGCUUGUACUUCUAGCCGCCGGAGAGAAGGAGGCGUCUCUCUUCCGCUUGAGAGAAGGAGGCGGACUGCUCUGACGCGCCGGAGGAGCCGGAGCAGCGGCGUUUGUCUUCCGACGUUGCCGACGAGGUGAAGGAGGAGGCGGACUGCUCUAACGCGCCGGAGUAGGCGAAGGAGGAGGCCGGAGUUGGCCGUAGCAGCAACAGUGACAUCGGUAGCAUCCUCUGCCGCCUUUUUCUCGGCUUCGGCCUUCUCGCGGGCGAGACGGUCGGCUUCGGUUGGUGAAGACAUGGCGAUGACGAAGGCGACAUAGAUGUAGAUGAAGCAGACGGACGGAGGCGAGCAGUCACGUGAUCGCUCCCUAAAAACCUAAUUGCCCCUCUUCCGUACCGGAUCAGUAGAGGCGUGGUUUCGGACGCCUGCUCUCCCGUCGACCGUGUACACUAUGAACGACCCGGAGUCGCCGGCGGCAGUAGCAGCAAAAGGAAUGAGCGCAUGAGGCAUAGGCGAUCUGAUCUCGUGAAUGCUAGGGUUGGCGCUAGCCGUGCUUAUAUAGGUGCGACCGGGUGGAGAGACGUGGGCUGGACCCACGUCCGAGUCGGUAAUAGCCCACAAAAAUAAGUGCGUACGUAUGAGUUCAGCUCGGCUCAUUCCCGCAACCCGUGGCGCGUCGUGACGAGGCGUCGCAUGGUGAGGCGGGCGACGGAGGAGGAGUGCGCGAGGGCCUCUUCUCUUCUCAUGCUCCAAUAGGAUGUAGAAGAGAGACCCUUAUAAAGGGGUCUAAUUCCCUCUCCACUAGGCCCUUGUCAUGCCACCAGUUACAUAGGCCCUUGGAGAUUUCUGAAAUUUUCUCAUGGGUCUUAGGCCCAUCACAGAUUUCAACAAUCCCCAUCAGAUCUCAAGGGCACAUUGUAUUCUUUCGUUCCAAUCACCGUUUUGAUAUACCAUCAUUUCAGUGAAGACCUGUUAAGGUUGAGCUUCACCUAGAGCAAGCAGCUACACUCCUUUACAACUGAACAAUGGACUAUGCCUUGAAUUGAUAGUUUGGCGUAAAGAAGUUUCACCACAAGUCUUACUAGUACUAGGCUGCCGAAGGCUGACCCCUCGGGUGGAGCAUAUUAGUCACACUCCUGACCUAUUCAUGAGUUUACUGGAGAUCACCCCAAUCUCAUAGAGUGUGACCAGUAGUUGGUUUCAUACAGGUGUGUUCCUCCAAAGAUCGCUCUGCAGGAUAUCAUUUUGCUUGCACAUAAGCUUUAGAACACAUUAAGACGUUAGUCAUCCUACUAUACAGUAUCGGAGAGUAUUGCAUCUUCAACGGAGUGGGUUAGUAAAGUUACUCUCCUCGGUUCACCACUUGCUUGUUUUCCCAGGUCCUACUUCACGGGAUCUUCGAUCACAUAGGUUGGGUUACUGCCAUGGCAACUCAUAUGGAUCUCAUACCCAUCUCCCUUGAUGCACUAUCUAUCACAACAUGUAAUAGCCCUUUAGUAAAGGGAUCUGCCAGAUUCUUAGCCGUUUGGAUGUAAUCCAACGCUAUCACUCCGGAGUUUCUUAAACGUGCGACAGACCUCAAUGUCAUUGUUAUAUGUUUGUUGGACUUCAUGUUGUCCUUUGAACUAUUCACUUUGACAAUAACUGUCUAAUUAUCACAGUUCAUAAGGAUAGCCGGAACCGGCUUCUCAACCACACGAAAGUCCAUCAACAGAUCUUGAAGAAAUUCUGCUUCGAUACCAGAUGUGUCUAAUGCUGUUAAUUCUGCUUCCAUUGUCGAUUUUGGUAAGAUCGUUUGCUUGCAACGCUUCCACGAAACAGCACCACCUCCAAGAGUAAACAUAUACCCAGUAGUGGCCUUCAUCUCAUCAGCAUCAGAGAUCCAAUUCGCAUCACUAUACCCUUCAAGUGUCGACGGGCAUCCUGUAUAGUGAAGUCCGUGGUUGAUAGUACCUUUUAGAUAGCGCAUAAUUCAUUCAACAACAUGCCAAUGAACAUCACCCGGAUUGGCAACAAACCGGCUCAGUUUGCUCAUAGCAAACGCGAUGUCAGACCUCGUUGCGCUAGCUAGAUAUAUAAGUGAACCAAAAAUUUGAGAGAAUCUCAAUUAAUCUAUAUACAUGCGUGUGAACUUUCGAAUCAACGCACUAGGAUCAUAUGGUGUUGGAGAAAUUUUGCAGUCUGAAUAUCCAAAAUGACUCAAAAUCUUCUCAACAUAGUGGGAUUGCGGAAGUGUAGUCCCACCCUCAUCAUCUCUGCACAGCUUGAUGUUCAAGAUAACAUCAUCCAUUCCAAGGUCCUUCAUCACAAAGUUCUAAGACAGAAAAGAUUAACCUCCUCAAUCACUUUGAGGUUGCUUCCAAAUAUCAGUAGGUCAUCAACAUACAAGCACAAUAUAACUCCUUCCCCUCACCAUGACGUUAGUAUACACAUUUAUCAGCUUAAUUAACAACGAAACCAACAUAUGUCAAAGUUGUAUUAAACUUCUCAUGCCAUUGCUUAGGUGCUUGUCUCAUGCCAUAUAAAUAUUUCAACAACUUACACACUUUUCCUUCCUCUGCACAAUCGCACAUCAAGAGAGUUCUACAAAGAUUGGAUGAAAAUCACAAGUUUCUUCUCAUCCUCUUCCUCUGCACAAUCUGGCACUCCUAUCAUUGCCGCCUGCAAGAAAAAAAUGAUGGCAAGGCUCAGAAAGCAAACCAAAGAAACUAACAUGAUAGAGCAUCAAAUACUAAUGUAUAGGUUAGGCUGUGGACAACGAGCCACAUAUAAUAAUAAAAGGGCAGCACAUAAUAACCCAUUAUAGGUUCGCGCACAUGUACCACAAAACAUUUUCUUAUAUUAUUUAUCUCAAGACUUUCAUGUAGAUGUUAGACAUGCUUGAAAAGAAACCUAGCUUAAAGAGAAAAAUAAAUCUACAAUCUUAGGAUAAUCAUGACAAUCUUGGUAUAACAAGAAUCUGCCCACGAGCAACAGAUCAGGCUACAUAUAGAUAAAAGAAUUAACGAUUGUAAUUUUAGCUCAUAACCAGUUCUAAAAAUUCUAGUUAAGCACUUGCUGCUAACAAUGGAUGAAUUGUGAAUAAUCUAUAGUAAGUUUGCCCAAUUAAUUUCUUCUGGAGAUACGUUUAGUUGAAAGUAGAUAAGUCCUUUUGGAGCAUUACAUUGUUUCUUUAGUUUACUUAGCUUUUGUUUUUUAGAGACCACAAAGUGCAGCAUCGAUCAAACCAGGGUCUAGUUCCAGCCUUUCAAUACAAAAUGCUACUCGACAAUGUAAAGAUGCAAGUGCACAUGAAAAGAUAUCAUUUAUUAACAUGAAACUACCAAAAGGAGUUGAUGUCAUAUUUGAUAUGACACUGAAAUUCAUUACUAUGCUAGAAAUAUAUAUAUGUAAGGUCCACUAGGCAUGAUAUAUUUGGCUUUUAGAAUCAACAGCUUCACAAAGUCAGUGUUGUGCCACAAAAUACAGGUCGACCCAACUGCUAAGCAACCAACCACUCUACUGCUGAAACCACUGUCUGCCGGCAGACGCUUCUACCGGACACCUACUGAUCCAACUAUCACAUACUAAAUUUUCACCUUGCCCCGAUACCAACCCAGCAACCCGAGCAGUCACCUAGAUAAUGAAACCCAUGCGUACAUAUUGAUUUUAGUAGCAACAUGAGGAGGAAGGGGGUGCUUACAAUGAUAACUUGAAGAUGUUGGUUUGGUUGGGUGAGAGCAAGAAACCCGUGGCAGUCCCGCUCGUGGUUCUUCCGUCGAGGGCAAGCAAGCUCAAGGCGACGGUAGCAGUAGUCGGGACUCCAUCUCGCCACCCCAUGUCCAAAGGCGCCGUGCUGCAAGAUGAGGUAGACAAAGCCGGUGACGGGACGUCUUCCUCUCCGACGACGCAAGCAACGACGAUCGCUCGUCUCAGAUGCACGGAGGAAGGAGGGGGAUCACCUGGUGGCAGUGAAGGAUAUGAGUGGCGAUACAACGAUGGAAGAGGAUAGCGGUGGUGGGAGUCGAUUGGAUCUGAGAGACAACAAGGAGAGUGGCACAUGUACUCGGUGUAGCGGGGGCACGCAGGGAUGGAUGCCAAAAAUGAAUCGGCAGGGUGUGAUCUCCUCUAGCACGAGCUCUGGAGGAUAGCGUUGAGAGGAGGCGCUGGUGUUAUAUCCACCGUCGCCAUGGUCGUCCACGCCCACACCAUGGCCUCCUGCACUAAACGGGAGAAGAGAGUGUGGCAGCCAAAUCCGCCGACGCCAAUCUCGGGGCCUGCCGCAGCGAAUAGGGCAUAUGGGAUCGUGGCUGGGAGGUUGAUGGGAGAGGUGGAGAAGGGAGUGCAGGGGCCUGCUGCGUCGAACGGGAGCACAAGGGAUCUGGUGAGGGAAGGAAGGCUGGCGGCGGGAGAGGUGGGAGGAGAGUCGAGGGGGACAAGUCUGGACUCUGGAGAUAGGGUUAGGUUUCUGGGGAAGGGACUUUAUAUCCUAUUCCCUUUUUUUAGUGAAUUAUAUCCUAUUCACUUAAUGGGUCUACUCAAGUCCGUAUAGAUAUUGGAUUUAGGAAAUAUGGACCCAUAUUAUUGUCUUUAAUUGUAUUUUUUGAUUACCUAAAAAGAGGUGGUUUAAUCGUAUAUCCACAUCAUUGUACUUAUCGAUGGGAUGUGGUUUCGUUGUAUUUUUCAGGCACACAUACUGUAAGUUUAGGUGUAUUUUGUGAUGAACAUGCGGUGCAAAAGAGCACUUGUGCAGCCAAUCGGCAAGGCGUGUCACCCUUGUAUCACUGUAGGGACAUACAUUUAACGAGGCAAACAUAUUUGACUUUGAAAAUAAGAAAAGAAGAUAUGUAUCUCAAAAGGGCUCCCACCUCUCUACUUCUAUACAAAUUGCAUGUGGGUUGUCAUUGGAAAAAAAAAAAUUCAACAUACUAUGUUGAAAACUUUUUAUAUCUCCAUACUUCUUACCUGAACUUUUACAAUAAUUGUGUUAGAAUGAGGCAUGAGAUCAUGUUUAAGUUUUUAUUGUCUCAAACACCAAGUUAAGGUACCCUAUACCACCUUUCAUUUUUUAAUCUAAAUAGGGUCUACAAAUAAUGAGAUUAGCAUGUGCCCAUAUAUUUCAUUUUGGUAAUUAUAUUGUAUUUUCCAAAAUAUUUAGGAUAUGAAAAUGAAUAAUUAUAAUUUAUUGAUAUUUAUCUAAUAUCAUUUACUUCAUCCAUAUACGUAUAAAACAAAUUUUCGCUGUGUAUACAUGACACAUAGGCAAAAUUGAUGAGGUGUCGUCCAGUCACCUCCACGCAUAUGUUUACGAUCUUAUAUUUGGUCAUGGUAGCAUUGAAAUAUGAUCAUAAAUAAUACUACACAUCUUAAUGACCAUUUUUUGCAAUAGUAUCAUGACCUAAUGGACGCAAAAGGUCGUAACGUUGUGAGCUUUGGACCCUCUUAGACUUGCCAUACUAAUUUUAGAAUUUUGGUCAUGGAUCAAUGAUCAAUUAAACCACCGUCAUUAUUUUUGUCAUAAUUGAGCGUUUUUCCUGUAGUGAUAGCCGUGAGCCAUAAGGUGGUUUUUGUCUGCCAACGCUUGAAAUAAGUAUCGGUAAACUUAUCCGGUUUUACUGUAGCAGCAAAACCACUACUCGAAAAAUUUCUACACACAUUAGGUUAUUGGAUUGUUGAGUAAAUAGGAAAUUUUUUGAAUAGAUUAAUCCACGAAAUAAUCACUAACAUGGCACUGCCUAGAUUCAUGACAUACUAAUUACGGAGCAGACUAGCAAAUACUAAUGCAUAUAGUAGAAACAUCUACGCAUAUAGCUAGUACUACUAGAACUAAAAUAAACAGGAGCGGGAUAAACGAGUUAUAUCCUUCGAUCAGCCAGUUGGUCAUAGCAGCAGCAGUGACAGCGGCAACAUCCUCUGCCUUCUUCUUCUCGGCUUCGGCCUUCUCGCGAACGAGACGGUCGGCUUCGGUUGGCGAAGACAUGGCGAUGACGAGGGCGACACAAACGUAGAUGAAGCAGACAGACGGAGGCGAGCAGUCGCGUGAUCGCUCCCCAAAAAACAAAUCGCCCCUCUCCCGUACAUGAUCCGGAGAGGCGGGGUUUCGGAGGCUUGCUCUCCCGUCGAUCGUGUACGGGAUGAAUGAGACGGAGUCGCCGGUGGUAGGGUUGGCGGCACCGUAAAAAUAAACGCGUAGGUAUGAGCUCAGCUCGGCUCAUUUCCACAACCAGUGGCGAGGCGGACGACGGAGGAUGAGUAUGCGAGGGCCUCUUCUCUUCUCAUGCUCCAAUAUCAUGUAGAAGACAGACACUUAUAAAGGGGUUCAACUUCCUCUCCACUAGCAAGGUGAGACUAAGCUUUUUACCAUCCUUUGUCAUGUCAUCGUCUACAUGGACCGUUGGAGAUUUCUGAAAUUGCCUCAUGGGCCUUAGGCCCAUCACAGAUUUGAACACAUAUUGUUUUCUCCUUCUAUCUUUUUUGGUCAUUAUAUGCAAUAGAACAUGUGAGAGAUAGGACAAACAUGCAAGACGACUUGGGAGGCGACAAUGAAGAUGCCUUUUGGGGCUUGGGUGGUGUACUGAAUUUUUUAUUUUAAAGCUAGACACAGAAGUUGUUUAUAAUGCAUCCUUUAUCACAUCAAACGCGGAUACAACCUCCUCCUGUCGCAGAGUGAAAUCAACGAGGUGCCCACUAUAAAUCAUAUUAGUACAUUUGUGCCCUAAAAUAAACCAUUUUUUGUAAUGUUACAGGAACCUCUUUUAAAAACAAUAUAUGAACAUUCUUUGAAGACCACGAGAAUACUUUUUUUAAUUCACUGAACAAUAUAUGAACAUUCUUUGAAGACCACGAGAAUGUUUUUUUUUGAAAAUCACUGAGAAUUGAAGAGAGCGCUAAACGAUUCAUAUUUGGCCGAGCCACUAUAGGCUGUCCUCCCGCCGCGCUAAAGUCGAGAUAAAGACACGCUCUUUCAUAUUGUCUUUCACUACGAGAAAAUAUUGACAUAGAUUUUCAGAUAUAUCAUAUAUCUGUCUCAACAAGCACACAUAGCACUACCUCGUUCCUCAUGGGCAGGCCCAUUAAGGCCUUGUUCGAUUAAUCCUCCUCCGAAGGGGAUUGAAGAGGAUUGAAGUAAAAUUUAACUUGUUAGGGAUUUAAUCUACUCAAUCCCUGUCAAAUCCCUUUCAUUUCCCUGUCAACCGAACAAGGCCUAAGCUGUUUAUUUUAAGUUUCCUUGUUAGCUCCCACAUGGAUUGGACUAGUCAUUGGUAUCAUUUCAUUUCUCUUCUGGUGAUUGUUCGUUCCUAUGUGAACAGAACAACAUGUUUUUUAUUUUAAUUUUGAUUUUCCAUUUUAGUUUUCCUUUCAUAUAUAUAUAUUCCCUCCAUCCCAAAAUAACUGCCUUAACUUUAUACUAACUUUAAUAUAAAGUUAUAUUAAGCUUAAGACAUUUAUUUUGAGACGGAAGGAGUAAUUGGUUUUAUUCUAUAUUUUUCAAAAAGAGUGAUAAACCCAAAAUGAUAUUAAAAAGUUCACAUUAUUUUUAGACAGAGCAUUAACACUUUUAUAACUACAUGUAUAAUUUUUUCACGAGUGAACAUCUUUUUAUAUUUUUUUUCAUCAUGGGUUAAAAAGCAAUUCACCGUCCAUUUAUUAUUGGUCAUCAUGCAUAUAUAGAAUCAUCAUGUAGAUUUUACUUGUCGCUCAGCACUCACUAGGCGUCAGUGCUAUAUCUCACCUAUUGCAAGAUAGAACACGGUCCUCAAAUACUUCCUUCUUUCCUGACGUGUUUCUUCUUUUGUGCGCUAGAUUUUUUCUUGUUUUGGUAUAUAAAUUUUGCUUCUGUCCUAGCUCGCCCACGUGAAAUAUUCUAAUCCUAUUUUCGGUAUUUUCUGUUUUGUGAUUGGCAUCGAUUACAUAUUUAUAUGUUAAUCAUUUAUCCUGCUACAUGUUAAAACUAGCAAAAUGCACAUUGACCUUUUUUGAAUAUAUUUUUUCUUCAAAAAUGCAGUGAUAAUUUUUUAACAUGCAAUAUAUUUUAAAUGGCGUGGACAUAUUUUUUAGUAUCGCCAUUUCUCUGGAAUUGGCCCAUUUUUUUACAUUUCAUAAAUAAUUCGUUGAAUGCAUAGAUUUCUAUGUCAUGAUACUUAUUUUUUAAGGCAUAGAUUUCAAGAUAAUUUGUUGAAAGGUAUGAAAAUUCUUUACAUAUUACAUGAUAAAUGCUGUAAAUUUUCAAUGAUAUAAUUUCAGUUAUGAACAUAUGUUGUAAACUUUUGAACUUUGUUUAGAGACAUGAACAUUUUUUUAGCGACAUGAUCAUUUUUUGAAAUAAUGAAUACACAUAUUUAAACAUUUUUAAUGUGUAGUGAACAAGUUUUUACUGCUAAAUAAUUUUCUUUUUAUAAAGAGGUAAUAAAUAAUGAUCGUUUAAAACAAAAGUAAAAACAACAUAGAAAGGUAACAAGGUUGAAAUAUACAUGUAAGAGAAUAAAACAUAGAAUGUAACAACUAAUGGGCCGGCCUAUUAAACAACUUCGAAGCGACGCGUCAUUCAGCGAAAUCACUAAUUGAGGGGUACACCUUUUAAAGGCUAGUUCCAUCUUUCCAUAUUGCCACAAGUGACCCGUCACAUGUGUGUCACUUGUUGCAACCUAUGAGUUUCUAUUUUUUUGUAGAUCCUUUUAUUGAAAAUGUUUUAUAUCCAAAUCCAUGCAUCCAAAUCUCAAACCGUUUUCACGUUGGAUUCCUCACGUCGAGAUCUUCAAAAUUAUAUCCGUGUAGAUAGGUUUUCACAAACUUUUUUCAUGAAAAAUGCGAACAAAAUAACCAAACCGAAAGCACAUUUUUUUCCUUUUUCGAAAGAGGCAUGAUCGUACCCCUCGUGGAAGUAAAAAGAAGAAAAAAAAAAUUCUCCCCGUUUUCGAGCGGCAUGGUCAUGCCCCUCACGGAAGGAAAAAAGAAAGAAAGCGCAUUUUAUCCAUUUCCAAAAGGCACGCGGAAGAUUAAAACACAAAACAUAUUUUUUCCGUUUCUAAGAGGCAAGGUCAUGCCUCUCGUAGAUGCAAAUCCGUGCGUCUCGCAGAAGCAAAUACGUGCCCUCAUGGAAGAAAAAAUAAACAUGUAUUUUUUCGCUUCUAAGAAUUACGGGGUGCCUCUCACGGAAGCAAAAUCAUGCCAAUCGAGGAAGUAAAAAAUAUAUUUUUUGCUCAAUGAAAUCAAUUUUUCUUUCCAAAUGUUAAGAAAGAUCGACGAAAAACCAAAGAGCCAAAAUAACCAUGACAAAACCAAAUAAAAAGCCAAAAAUGCAUGCAAAAAAUGAAAUAAAAAUAAAAAAUUCGGAAGAAGCGUCUAAAGCAUGACACAUGGCAGGUGGUAAGAGAUUGCCAAAUGGCACGCUCUCAGCAUGACCCUUGAGAGGCUUCCGAAGGGGUGCUCCUCCACUAGUGGCACACUCUCAGCGUCAUUCAGUAUUGUAGUGAGCGGAUGUAUGCUUCGGGUGCACCGAGUGUAACAUCCGAGUCGCUAAAGGGGGUGAGCAAGAUGGGCCGGUCCAUGCAGGCGAGACCACAACCUGUUUUUCUGUUUUCUGUUUCUGUUUUCUAAACAUACGAUUUAUGUGUAUUUUAGGUCUUUGAAUCAUAUAGGGUCAUGGUAUUCACCAUACAGCAUGUAGAAUAUUUAUUCUUCACCCCUUCUGUUUUAACAUCACAACAUCAUAUUUUUAUGUUUGGUAAUAUUUUGUGUUAUGUCAGAAGUCAAACGCGAACGUAAGAAAAUAUAUAUCGGCUAUGACAAAUAUUUUAUGUUAAGUAAAAUAAUGAAAUUAAUUUAGUACACAACAUACAUAAAAAUGUAUAUUUUUUGUAGCCUUUAGGCUUACCUUAUUUUCUCGUGCCAAAUUUACCAUAUUGAAACAAUAUGGACAUAACAAUUUAUGUACCAAACAUAAUUUUAUAGCGAAACGAUCUUAAGAAUAACUCGAGUGCAAAAUGACAUACUCUGCACCCUGGGUGUUGAGUGGGAGAGGAUUUGGGGCAUGCAGGUGCGGGGCACCGAGUCUCUCGCGCGUGCUUUUUUUGGCUUUUUGAUUUCCAGACUUUCAUUUCUUUUGAAUAAAAAUUCUAAAUUAAGUUAUUUUUUCAUAUUCGUGUUUUUGCUCACGAGGGCUUCCGAAUAAGAUCCAUUUUUGAUGAUUUUUUUUGUGAAGUUCCAACUCUUGAAGCUUACUAUGAGAGCCACCGAUUAUAAAUCACGAUUUCAGUGCCGACGACCGACAAAAAAUUGCUUACACUUUCAGCUCUGAAACUUGAUACACACGAUCGAGAAAAUCAGAAUUUUUAGAUGCAAAAUCGUAAGUUUGAACAAUUAAAACAUAAAAUUUACUCUGCCGUCGUGCGGGGUGUAACUACUUCAUGAAUUGCGAGACAAUCUAGCGGCGAGGCAAGGCUUGACAGGUGCGCGCUCCUGAGAUUUUCUAGGCAAAGAUAGCAUUUUUAUGUAUAUUUAUGUAAAAGUACUUUAUAGUUGAGAUUAUCAUGACAAGUAAAAAUGACUUAUUCUGCAUCGUGGAUGAUAUCUUAGAACCACUUAGUCGACUUAACAUGCUAAAUGUGAAAAGAUGACGAUAGAGGUGAGACUGUGACAAGUUGGUGCUAAUCUAUUAGUAUAACAGGUCUUAUAUGGCACAAUCAAGAUCCUGACAACCCCGCACUCAUUAACCUAUCUUGUUUUGGCAUAAUAACCGCAACGAAAGCUCCAACAAAAGCAAGGAUUGAAAGGCGUCAAUCCAAUCGUGUGACCUUCAAAUACUUGGUGUAUCUUAAUGCAUUGCACCAGCGACGUCGUUUUUCUAGCUGGACCAAAGCUCUUUUAUGCAUGAAUGAUUGCUCACCCCACGUACUUUACGUCGUUGCAUGCACCACCCCUGAGGAAACUGAAGCAGCCACGUGGCAUACCUGGUGGGCAAUCUCUUCUUUUUGGCAUACUUGGUGGGCAAUCAAAGCUUUAUGAUUGAUAGUAAAAAAGAUGAACGUACGCCUGUAUGUAUAUACGUCAUGUACGUGGUGGCUCCUAAGCCUCAAAUGUCGCAAAGAGAAAAGUCACACGUGUUUAUCAUGUACACACAAAGCUCUUUUUAUAUUUUUUUUGGCAAAAUGAUGUACACACAAAGCUCUUUUUUUUUUUAUCUUUGGCAACAUCAUGUACACACAAAGCUCUCUUUUAUGCUUGGCAAAAUCAUGUAGACGGAGGUCAGGCUAUGUGUGCCUAACUAGUUACCAUUGAGUGUACAUUGGACCAGGCAUAGAUAGUAAUGGAAGUAAUGGUAUACACGUCAUCCAUUUGGAUACGAGCUAAGACGGGAGAAACCCUUUUGAUCCAAUCCGACGACAGCAUGCAGCUAGUGCGGGAAACGAUAGCAAUUUAAAAAGUAAGCGAGUACACCGAUCAUGCACAAAGCACCCUCCGAUGGAAAUGAGACGGGAUCCAACUUGCGGGGAGGCGAAUGGGACAGCUCGAUCGUAGGAUAUGAUAGGAUAUGAUAUUGUUUCUCUAAUAAGAAUUCGCGUAAUUGGGUUGCUAAACCCCCCUGGCUCUGUCGUUUGUAAUCUCGUGUCGACGAUGUAACCUUUUGCUUGACCAUCAAUAAAGCUUGAUUGACGUGGUGGCCUUCACUAAAAGAAAAGCAUGAUCUACCUUCACCUUAUUUUACAUCUGAUGGAUGUGUGCCCUUGGAUGCCCACCCAACGGCUAGAGGUUAAAGACUGAGGAUUUUUAUUGCCAUUGAAGAAAAUGAAAAAUGAGUCUCCAUGUGCCAGCAGCAAGUCCUAAAAGAAUGACGCAGAUUUAGCUUGCUAGGUAAGUUUCAGAAAAUGACAAAUAUAUAUUUAGUCCAGCAAAAAUAGAAUGCGACAAACCAUGAAGAUUUGAUACAAAAAUAAAUCAUAAUUAAGCUUCAUGAUGAUUAAAAAUACCGCGAGGUGAGGCUAAUUUAGAUGGUUAGGCCCCAUGUGGUGGAACCAAUCCAUCCAGAUUCAAAUCCUACAAUUAACACUUGCGCUCGCAUAUUUUCUGAAUUGACUUCGGACUUUGCGGUGCUAUACAUUCAGUGGUAUGGCGUGCCGUUAACUACACGGUGCCUAUGAAGACUUCAUCAAUAUCAAGAUCUACCGGUUCCUUCUCUCGAAAGUGCUCCCAGGAUAGAGUUUGUGAGCGUUUGCAUCUGUACCGUGUUUCUCAGAAAAUUAAUAAAAUUUAAUGGAUCUCAAGGUCUCCAUUGAUAUGAGCUUCGCCAUGUACAACCAAAGAAGCGCAGCACCUCCCCUCCCGUGGUUGUGGAAGGGGAGCACCAGGUUAGCCGAAUCGAGAAGCAACGGUGGCACCAACGAGGAAGCGAGUGAACAAAUCGGGCAAAUUGCCUGACAUAGUGGCUGGAUCUGAGCUCGCCUGGUGGAGCUCCCAACUGUAGUCACGAACCGUGUUUUGGUUCAGUGAUGUCUCAAAAACACCGGAGUAAACCUGAAAAAAUUAGGGUGUUAACUAAACCAGAGACGGGAAACCAAUCUAUGGUGGAAUAGUUAGAAGGAUAGAUGUAUCCCUAACCCAUUAGAGUUCAAUAUCUAGCCUUGAUACUGGUGCUUGCAUUUUUCUUCAUUUAUUUCAAGCCAUUUGACGAUGCUUGUUCAGUGAUAGAAGACGUUUUCGUCGACUACGAAGACGUCAUUAACGACUUUCUAUCUUAAAAUGAUGUAUCUGCUCAGUAUCUUGAAGAUGCACAUAGAGAUAGGAUACACAUGCAUACAUUAAUUUAGGUAAAUGUAUGUACGUAUGUAUAAGCGUAUGUACUGUGUUAAGAAAUAAGCUAAACCACAGACAUUUGCAAUCACAGAGAAAUCAAGAAAUAAAAGGUAAUUUGUGUCACAGGUUUGCUAAUUGAGGGGAAAAUAAUAAUUUUUCCUAAAUGAGGUAAAAAUAUGUCAGAAACAUGAAACAAGGAGAUUAAAAAAAUGAAUUCACUCAUUUUAUAUAUAUAUAAAAUUUCGACUGAUGAAUUCAUUAAACAUCUUUGCGAACAUUGAUGGGCUGGAUCGUGGUCUAUAAACACACAGAAUAAGUGUGCCGCCAAUCCUAGGACCCAGGCCGAAUCAUACGGAAUCAUCAUCAUCGUACUAGUUUGUUUUACAUACAUACAGUAGGUACAGGCACCUGCAGACCGUGGUGCGAAUAUUAUUUUUCUUGGAAAAGAAAAACGUCUUAUACGAAUAUUAAAGCUUGCACGACUCAUGCAUGAGCCAUGCAUGCCUGCAUGCGUGCGUGCGUGCGUGCGUGAAUCUAGACCACCUCGACAGAACGGGCAAAGCCCGCCCCCGGGGCCGCCGCCUCAGUAGCGCAUCUCCUGGGGACGUCGCCGGCCAUCUCGGUGACCGGGCGCACCUCGGCGCAUGAGCUCUUGUCGGCCUUGCCGACGUUGAUCACGACGACGUGGUCCUCUGCGGGCACCUUCCAUGCCUCUUUCCCCUCCUUGGCAUCGGUUGCCACCACCGGCGUCGCGUUCAUGUAGAACAUGUAGAGGACCAUCUGGAUCAUCCCGAAGGUGAAGCCAAGGAUGUUUGGGAGCUGGAAACACAAAUUUAAUCAUCGAUCACUGCUCAUGCUUGAGAAUUGUAUGCGUAUCCAUCUGCCAUUAGAAGGAUCGUUUGUGUAGUUACCGCGACGUAUUUGUCCUUGAUGAGCAGGCCGUAGAGGAACCAGACGAUGGCGCUGAGGGUGAGCGUGAGGGAGAGGGAGAAGGGCAUGUACUCCACACUCUUGGUCUUGAUCACACGACCCUUUGGGAAGGACAGAACACAUACAAGAGGUUGAGGAAUGAGCAACAAUAUAUACAGCAAAGUUUAUCGGUCGAGGGCUCACGAUGAUGCUGAGAGGCGCGACGAAGACGCACACGGAGAAGCCGACGCAGAUCCAGCCGAGUGAGACGACGCGUGUCUCGCCGUGGAAGGCGAAGAGGGUGAGGACGAAAAUGAGCCCGAAGCCGGCGAUGUUGAGGAGGAGGACGAUCUUGGCUGUGAAAAUCUUGGCCUUCCUGGGGGCGUAGACGAGGUACAUGAUGAUGUAGACGGUCUCGAUGACGCAGCCGGCAGCGUUGAUGGUGAUGAGGAGGCCCUCGCCGGUCUUGACCAGCGCGUAGAAGAUCCACAGCAUCGCGCUGAAUAGGGCCACGACAUAGGGCACCGACUGGAACCCCUCCGUGGAUUUGCUCUUGAAGAUCCGGUAGAAUGUUGGUCUAAUAUUUUAUUUUUGUGUGUACAUUAAUUAGUUAUACGAGAGAACUUAUUAAUUAACAGGAUCAAAUGAAAUACUUCCUCCGUCCUAAAAUUCUUGUCUUAGAUUUCUCUAGAUCUAAAUGUAUCUAGUCACGUUUUAGUACUUUGAUACGUUUAUUUCUAGAUAAACCUAUAACAAGAAUUUUGGGACGGAGGAAGUAAAAAACAACUUAGACAGUAGCUUACAUCGGGGCCAGGAGGCUCGAGAAAGAGAUGACGUUGCCUGCAAGGCACAAAGUUAGCAAAGUUAGCGAUGGGUUGUGAUAAUUGUACGACACAUUUACAUCUAUCUUUUAUGCGCUUUGUCCUUUUCAUAAAAAACACAGGCAAUUUGCUUUGUUGUUGUUUCUUUUUGGGAUUUUGGUGCACCAAGCUAGAUGGCACUAGAGCUAGUAUACUAGACUACAUCAGUUAAUCAAUCAGUGGCAAAGAUAAGAUAUAUAGAUAGAUGCUACAAAAGGAUAUAUGAUCUUAAACGACACAAAGUAGUCUACUAGUACUGCACUAGCAAAUAGCAGCUGUAAUAAGAAACUAUCAUAAUACAAGAGGUAAUUCUUGGAGAUCAUUUGUUCGUGGUAAGAAUAAUAUACCUAGCAGGCCGAAGGUGAAUGCCCAAGGGUGCUCCAUGGAUAGGCCACCCAUUGUUACAAAGAUAUAUAACAGUGAGAUGGAUGCGAAGAACUUGGUAUAACAGUGGGGCGAGAGAUUGUUUUUGCUGUCUCUCUCUCUCUCUCUCUCUAACCCUAGACUCCUGGCGGAGAGAAGGGAGAGGUCUGGAGAGGAGAGCUCUCUAAGUUGGUUUAAACUCUUAGCCUGAAUUGUAAGCUUGGUAAUGGGGUGCUUUAUAUAGGCAGGGAGACAUGACUGCCUUGGCGUAUGCAAGCUGUCCGAUCACACAUAUGCCACACAAAAUUAAUGAUUGGCUUUCUAGAAAAAAAAAAAAGGUUUCCAGCAAUGCAUAAUUGAGCUUAUCUAAUGUGCUAUGCUUGAUAGAGAUAAUGAUGGCAAAUUUUAAAGUUGUCGCUUUGGUGCACUCUUUAGCUUUUAGUGUGCAUAAUGCCUCUGCUGCUGAAUUGUUGUACACUCCGAAUUGUGUUGCACUACGUCAUUCUUCCAAUCUUUCCAACCUAGAUCUUUGGGGUGUGGUAUUAGCCGCCACAGAAGUGCGAACCAAAUGAGACAUUGCAACUCACUUUUCAGACCCUUAGUUGUUCACUGAAUUUACCCAAUGAAUGUCUUACAGGAAUAAGUAAUAAAGUUUAUAUGCUAUAUCUAUUUUCCUUGUCAAUGUUUGGACACAAAUAUAGUUAAACAUAGUGUCCAAAACUGAAUUAGUUUAACAGACUUCUCGUAUUCAAAAUGUAAGCAAUGUGUUAUUAAUCUAAUGUACCGACAUAAUUGUACUUCUAGUAAUGAAGGCACUAAUAGAAUAUUUAUCUUACAGAUGCAAUAUAACUUUAAAGAAGUAUGCAAUUGCACAUACAAUCAAAUAAUGCUAUUCACCUUAACCUCAUUUCAUAUAAAUACAAUCCAAUAAUGUAUUAGUUUGUGCGAGUAUCAUAGUCCUCAAAUGAUUUGUUCCUAGAAAAUGAUGCAACCAAUGCCUUAGAUCGUCAAAUUCAUAAAUAUAAAAAGGUCAUGCAGUUUAACUUUCCAAUCGAAUUGACUCGUAUACGUAGAACCAUCUUUUACUAUUACAACGUAUUUUAUUGUACAAUUUGUGAAAAAUAGUAGUGAAGUGUUUUAGCUUGCUUAUAUAAGGUCGGGAUAUCUUAGACUGCGAUAGCAUUGUCGUUGAUUAUAAUAUGCUGUUUGAGAUCAAAUCUGUAGGAUUUAUCACUUGAGUAGUUAGUUUUAGUUAUGACCUACAAAAUUGUCGAUAAAGGGGCGCUCUUUUCACUCAAAAUAUCACAUCAGUGGAAUACAAUCAAAACAAGUUCACAUCCAUUCUCUAUGUGACCAAGAUACACACAGAACCACACACACUCUAAAUAAUGCAACGAAAAAAAAGUUGUACGUUACUUACAAUACAAGGAGAGAGGAGGGGGCAAGCCUCAGAGCAUCUCUAGUAGUACCCUCAAACCCUCNNNNNNNNNNNNNNNNNNNNNNNNNNNNNNNNNNNNNNNNNNNNNNNNNNNNNNNNNNNNNNNNNNNNNNNNNNNNNNNNNNNNNNNNNNNNNNNNNNNNNNNNNNNNNNNNNNNNNNNNNNNNNNNNNNNNNNNNNNNNNNCCUCAAACCCUCAAACCCUUAUAAAUAACUGUUUUUUUACAGUUUGCGAAUAAAAAAACGCAUAGACUAGAACCCCUUAACCCUCAAACCCUUAAAAAAAAUUUGAGGAUCCAACCCUCAAACUCCCUCUCAACCUGUAGAAGUGAGGGUUGGAGAGCGAAAACUACCCCAACCCUCAAACCGUUCCAUCGUCGCGCGGGAGGGACUUUNCCUUUCCCCGCCCCCCACCGGCCCCGCCAUUCCGACCCCCCCCGCCGCCCCAGGCUGCCGCCGCGCCCCGCCGCCCCGAGCCGCCGCCGCGCCGUGCCCCACGGCCGCCCGCCGCGAGGCCGGCCCCAGGCCUCCUUGAGCUCUCCUCGCCGCCGCGCCAGAGGCGAGGCGGGCCAGAGGCAGCCGCGCCGCCACGAGCUCUCCUGUUUUUGCCCCUGUUUUUGUUAUAAGGGUUGGGUUUGAGGGUUCUAGUCUUUGCCCCUGUUUUUCAACCCUUAAAAGUGCCAAAAAAUGCAAAUUCUCAACCCUUAAAACUGGUUUGAGGGUUUGAGGNNNNNNNNNNNNNNNNNNNNNNNNNNNNNNNNNNNNNNNNNNNNNNNNNNNNNNNNNNNNNNNNNNNNNNNNNNNNNNNNNNNNNNNNNNNNNNNNNNNNNNNNNNNNNNNNNNNNNNNNNNNNNNNNNNNNNNNNNNNNNNNNNNNNNNNNNNNNNNNNNNNNNGAGGGUUUGAGGGUACUCCUAAAGAUGCUCUCAGAUGAUGCCUCCAACCAUUUCAGGUAAAGACAUCCUUGUCCUUCUGUUCCAUCCACGUACACACGGCUAUAAACAGUUGUUAGUGUUCAGAUCACUGAAGAAUAGACUACAAAGGGACCCAUUGCGUAGACUUCUAGAUAACCUGUAGCAAAGAGAAAUCUGACUUAUAACUAAUUUGUUUUCGAAAAGAAGGAUUACUCCCGGCUAAGCCUGGGCAUNNNNNNNNNNNNNNNNNNNNNNNNNNNNNNNNNNNNNNNNNNNNNNNNNNNNNNNNNNNNNNNNNNNNNNNNNNNNNNNNNNNNNNNNNNNNNNNNNNNNNNNNNNNNNNNNNNNNNNNNNNNNNNNNNNNNNNNNNNNNNNNNNNNNNNNNNNNNNNNNNNGCCGGGCCGGGCCGGGCUUCAGGCCGGGCUUUACAAAGCCCGAACUGGAAAUCCAAGCCCAAGCCCGGCCCGGCCCGGCAAAAAAAGUGAAAUCAGGCCCGAGCCCGACCCAAAUGGUCAUAAAAGGUGAAUUCCAUGCUGGGCCGGGCCGGGCCUCCGUGUAAAUCAUUGUUUUUUGUAAGCCCAAGCCCGGCCCGAACUGCUUCCCCGGUCCGAUUGUCAAGCCCGGGCCCGGCCCGAACACAAAGCCUAACCCGGCCCGACCUGAGUUUUUCAGGCCGGGCUCGAGCCGGGUCGUCGGGCCGGGCUGCCCAUGCCCAGAUAUACUCUCGGCCUCUGGGCCGGGCUGCCCAUGCCCAGAUAUACUCUCGGCCUCUGGAUCAAUAGAUGCAGAUAGUCAGUUAUUAAAAAUGAACCGUGUAUUAAAGAAUCAUGAACAGCUCCAACAUAAAUAAAGCAAAAAUCACAUGAAAAAAUUCCACAACCAACACAAAUAAAAUAAAAUGCUUACACGUUAUUUUAUUAUUGAACUGUUAUCCAAACUGAUUGUAUGUAUCCCGUGCUAUGCACUAUCUUCCAUCUGUUGCAUCCAAAAGCCAUAAGUCCUCUCAUUUCGGCAUGGUGUAGUAACAACCACGUACAGAUCCAUCCAAACACCCUACCUGCAAAUGUUAUUCUAAUUUUUACUCUAUCAAACACAAAGUCAUUCCGACACCUAUAACUAUGUAUGUUGCAAUCUGAGGAAAUUGUUAACAAGUAGCUGCUAGCUCGGCUUGGGAGUAGCGGUUAAUCGCUAAAUCAGCCUACUAACUGGACUAAUCGAUUGAUCAUUAAUCUGUGUAAUUUUAAACCAUAUAGAAGCAAACUUUGUAUGGAGAAAAGAACCUACAUUACAAAUCUGAAGCAAAUGACACCAUUUCAUUUUCUAAAUAUAUCAAAAACAUGUAAACAAGAACAAUCAUCCAUGUGGGCGUAAAAAAAUCAUCAACAAACAUGUAUACCACAACUUCUUUUUUUGCUUGUUUCUGCAUGAGAAGCAACUCCGAGAGAUGGCGGCAACACAUCAUCGAUAGACGGAGGAAAGGUGAUGUCGGCCGCGCAGGUUGUUUGAACGGGUCGGUUGCUAGAUGUGGCAAGUCCCGAAGAAGGAGGGGAAGUAGUGGCAUCCAGAGGAAGGAGAGAAAGUGGUGACACACAAGGGAGGAGGGGAAGCGGCAACGUGCAGACGAGGACCUAUCAUGUUGGCUAGGUGACAUCUAGUUUGAGAGGGGAGGAGAGGAGCGGGAGGGACGGGUGGAGGGCCAAACCAUAGCAAUUUAGAAGCAGAAGGAGCUGCGAGGGGUUAUGGGCCACACAAUUGGGUUUUGUUUGGCGACGAGGUAACCGGCCAACAUUGAUUAAUCGGACUGACAAUCGAUUAAUCGGUCUGACAGACCAACUAAUCGGUCCGACAGACCAUUUGGUGGGCCUAGCAAGUUAACGCGAUGAAUACGUGGUAUUCAAUUCGGACAUCCGACGAGUAGAGAUUAACCGGACAAUUAAGUGAUUAAUUGAAUGAAUUCUUGAACAAUAUUAUAUUGUUCUAGUAGAUAUAAAAGAAAUUUAGCAUGAGAGUAGGCUUUUGCUCUCAGGCUCCACAUUUCAAACAUUCCAAAAUCAGCUUUUUAAAUUAUAAAAAAUGGAAAAAAUACACAAGUACUUAUGGAUGUAUAUUAAAUGUGAGCGAAAUUUCACCACGAAUACUUUUUUGUGUCGCUUCUACAAAAAAAUCAUGCGAAUUUAUAAUGAAUGGUACAUGUGCUAUGAAUACGCCAAUUUGUCAUUUUUGUGUUGCUCGCUUAAAAAAGCGUUGGUCAUGAUGAAGCUUCACAGACAAGUACUUCCUUCGUUCCUAAAUAUAAGUCUUUCUGAAAGUUCAACUAAUGGACUACAUACGGAUGUAUAUAGACAUACUUUAGAGUAUAGAUUCAUUCAUUUUGUUUCAUAUAUAGACACCUAGUGAAAUAUCUUAAAAGACUUAUAUUUAGAUACGGAGGGAGUAGUAUACAUCCAUACGUAUAUGUGUAUCUUUUCAGAAUCUUUUCAAGCGUAUUUUUUUUUUCAAGUAAUGGGCUCCAAGGAGCUCCAGCUCCAUUAUCAAUAUCCGAUUUAGCACACCAUACACAAUUUGGCAAGCACAAACUAAGCAUUUUCUUCUCAGUUUCCUUCUAUUAACAGUGCAACUAGCUAAGUGGUCCUUUGGUGUUGAUACGAGGGACCGUGCUAGCUAGUUUCGAGUUCCUGAAAUUACAAUGCAAAAAUGAUGUGCUUGGCUUACUAAUCAAUCAAGUCAGCUGGCCUUCUCUCUAAAAGGUGUACACGCUAGAUACGUGCACUCGCAAAAUCUGUCUAGGAACGAUGUGAAAUUUUACAAUGCUCCAAAUUAGUAUAGACUGUUAAAUUUUUAACGGUAUAAUGGGUGACAUAAUAUCACUUCCUUGGUUAUAUCUGAACAUGAUGAUGUCACUCAAGUAACUUGGUUAACUUUCAGUCGAUUGAGAUCUAGCUACAAUAUCCUAAAUGCCGCUGCAAAAUAACAACUUACUCCUUCUAUGUCUACAUAAUUAUUGUUGGAAAAACUAGACUAGCUAGUUCUCCAUAACAAUAAUUAUUUAGGUACAGAGGGAGUACAAAGUAUAAUGCUACCCUUGUCCACCAGACCGUCAGGAUUAAAAGUAUGUCUUACCUCUAGGCACGUAAGGUAGUGCACCUUAAUAAAAGAACUAAAAAACUAUACCCAGCAUUGGUGCUGUUUGGUUGAAAAUUCAGUACGGAUGUAGAGUGAGUAAAUCAAUAAGCCUAGUUAGAUUCUUCAUAUAUGACUUCUAAAAAAAGGUUCUUUCUUUAUGAAGACCAUGCAUGUUCACUGUUAAUACUGAGAACUGACAUGCUGAUUCCUACAAGCAAAAAAAAAGAGGUAGCAUCUCUGAAGAAUCCUCAUAGAAGUUCUCUUAACUAUAUUUUGCACUUGACGGCGGACCCAUGAUUGGAAUUGGACGCACACGAAAGCUGUUGAUUUUUUGUUUGAGGGCUAUGAAAGCUGUUGAUUAGCAAUAGGUCGGCUAGCAAAGAACGGAUGCUGUUGCUCUCUCUUUUGGAAAGCCGGCGCAGAUGUAAUCAGGUCCACUGAAAUUUGACCACCUUUGCCUUUUGUCACCGAUAUACACGUUCACAAAGCGCGUGAUUUUCAGGGUGAUGAUCAUUCCCCUCGUGAUUCCUCAAAAAGUUUCAUAUGAGAUUCAUGGUCAAUAUAGUUUCUCCACCUAGUCAAUACAUUGGGUUCGUUCGAUCCUCGAAUGGGGAAGGUUGCCGCACGAGCUGAACCGGGCUCCAACCAUGCACCCUCGGAAAAAAUGCCGGCAAGAAAAUAGAUGCGUCUCAUACACAAGAGGCUCAAGACCCUCGCCACCCAUAUGUAGGUUAUUGUCAUUUUAAAUCUCAGAAUGAAUCAAACGAAGCCCAAAAAUCAUGAGACUUGCCAUGGUGACAUGAUAUGUCCAAUAGACGCUAUGCUAAAAAAAUUGAGAAUAUUUGACAAAGAUUAUCACGUAAAUUUCUUACAAACCGGACCAUCUUUCAUGAAGAAACUAGGUUUCGAGAGGGAACACACUACAUUUGCAUAUGAAGCAUAUGUUGCUUCAUCCAUUGGCAUCAGUUUUUUUUUUCACACUCAACACGCAUCACUAAAUCUAUGAUGCCAAAAGUUUGGCCUUUUUUGGCAUCUGCAUGCAAUUUAAUCCAUUGAUGGCAUUCUAGGCAUUUAAUGAAUAUACUUUCAAUUUGAACUAUAGGUACACUAGUGGGGACAGGGCCUAUAGCCCCGGCCCGUAAGGGGCUUUAGUCCCGGUUCACCAACCGGGACUAAAGGGGCGGGACUAAAGGCCUAACCUUUAGUCCACUAGUGGGGACAGGGCCUAUAGUCCCCGCCCGUAAGGGGCUUUAAUCCCGGUUCACCAACCAGGACUAAAGGGGCGGGACUAAAGGCCUAACCUUUAGUCCCGGCCCUGUUCCACGCCGGGACUAAAGGUGCUCCACGUGGGCGCCUCGUAGCGCCCCAGGGGCAGGCCCUUUAGUCCCGGUUCGUUACACGGACCGGGACUAAAGAGUUUCAGAUUUUGUUUAUUUUUGGGUUUUUUUUUUUGAAUGAAAUUAUUUUUGGGUUUUAGGGUUUUAGGGUUUAGGCGUUCGGGAGAUUAACGUGAUGCCUCGUUUGGUGUUCGGGAAUUAGUUUUCAUAUAAUUUAAAUAGAAAUAAUUAUGCAUAUAUAUAUAUAUAAGAUUAACUUAUCUUACAAGCGAGCAUAUAUAUACAAUUAUAUGGAGAUCCGAAUUAUCGGGACUAGAGCCCGUCUAUUCGAUUACAUGGACGAACAUUCAGUAAUGGCCCCUAGCUACACUAAAUUGUCCUUUGUCAUCUAUAACUUCCGUCCUUAGAAAGGUCGCAAGCUCCUCUGCAACAGCAAUCGCGCAUUGCUCUGGUAGGACCUUCGUCCUCAUGGCCGUGUACUAUAUAACAAGAGGAGAUGAAUAUGAAUAUCAAUCAUGAUAACAAAGAAUGACGGGUAAAAAUAGAGGUGUGAAUGUUCAUUGCUUACGUCGAAUCUGUGAUCCUUGUGCUCGGAGGUAAACGUGCGAAUGGUCUCGCAAACAUAGUAUCCGCAUAGAUGCGUUCCCCGUGGCUGCUGGUCGCACUUUACGCGAAUAGAAUAUAUAUAAUCAAAAUAGUAAUCUAGCAUCAUAAAUGUAUUGAAAAUAGAAGUAUAUCAUACUACUACUUACCUGAGCCGCUCUAAAGGUCAGCUUCUCAGGCUCGAUACCGGGAGUCACGCACUUGAACCGCUUCCAAACCCUGCCCGACAAGGAUAAUGAUUUGCUAAGUUUUUCAUUAAUUGAUAUAUCAGAAAAUCAUCGAAAGAGACAGAUAGAGCGCAAGAAUGAUUGAAAUUACCCUUGGAGCAUGCCCUGCAGGCUUUGGAACUGUUCCAAGGGUCUCGAUAAUGGGUCGAAGGCAUCAACUCUUCCCUUAUCAAUUUGAAUGUCCAACAGAAUCCAAUGGAAGCUGCACAUGUAUAUAUAUAUAUGUGUGUGUGUGUGUGUGAGUAACUUAUCAAUUACACUUAUAAGUGAAUGGACACAACAGAGUAAAGACCCUCACCUGAAGUUGUAUGGAAACAGUAUGUGGUCACAUAAAUUUUGAUCUGUUAGAAACCUUAGAAGGUUUUCCUCCGUCUCCUUGGGUUUAUCAGUUAGCGUCGCUAUAUGUAUUUUAUCUGGGUCAAUAAACCCAAUAUUUAGGAUGUUCUUUCUUUUACAAUCCAGAAUCUUCAUUCUGCAUAAUAGAGUACAAGUUAUAUAUAGACAAUGAAUUGAAAUAACUAAACAAGUUAUAUGUAGACAACGAAUUGAAAAACUUACAGACAAUAGCAACUCGUAAGCGAUUUGUCGAGGGCGUCGCCAUUGUACAUCUGGAAGAGUUCAUCAAAGUCGAUAUGGAUUUCUUCGGGGCGGCCGUAGUACUUCCGUGGGACACUCACCACGAUCAUCGUUCUCCCAUUCUUUGAUUCACUUAAGUACCAUGUAUGCAAGUAACGCAUAUUUGUUGGGAGAUCAUCUUUGCUGACCAAAGGUGCUCCCAUGACAAACUGUGGCUUAGGGGCUACCACAGCCUUGGGUAACCUGUCGUCUUGGGAAGCCAGAAUGUCUUCAACCGAGAUACCCCAUUCAGCCGUCCACUUCUUUGCUAAUUCGAAAUAUUGCCCCUGCACAGGAGGGGGGACAUUCUCGGUUAACACCUUGAGGGGUGGGAUCGACUGUUUGGCCUGUUGUCCAAGCUGAGGAACGUCUGAUUUUUUCUUGCUUGUAGUUGAACUUGAUUUGCUCCCACUUGCACUUGCACGUGAUCUGCUCUUUUUCACUUCCUUCUGCAAUGUGCGUGUAUAGUCAUCAGGAUUAUGGUGUAAGUCAUAGAGUGAUGGAAGGGUCGUGAAGUAUUUUGCAAAUGCUAUUUGCUUCUCGGUGUAUUCCGGGCGGGGCUCGGGUUCCUUCUUUUUCAUCUGCGCAUCAUGAUGUUCCUUUGCUAUCCUGGCGUUUUCCUCGGGGGUACGAUCAUAAGGUCUGAUAGGAAGAUUAGCAUGAGGUACCUUUGGGAGGGGCGACCAUUUGCGCUUUGUGGGGCUCCGUCGCUUAGAAAUCGUCGGCGGAGCGUUCUUGGUGGCACGCUUCCGCUUAGUAUCCGGAGCGGGCGGCGGCGGAGACGGACGACCCAAGUCCGGCGGCGGUGAUCGAGAUGGACUCGUGUUGUGCUGGCCAACGUCAUAUGGAGGGCUUGGAGGUGUAGGUGACCUGCGACGGCUCGGAGGCGGUGUUGUCCUUCGGGCCGAGACUGGAAGCUUGAUGUAGUUCUUGUCCCAUAGGAUGACUCCACCCAGUACUUCUCCGAGUGUCCUCUCAUCUUCGGGUCCAGCUAUGUCGAGCUCCAUAUCAUGAAACCCCGUCAUGAUUUCAUCCACCCCGACUUUAGCAAAGCCAGUUGGAAUCUCACGGCCAUGCCAGCGUGCAUCAGGGCCAGAAGGUAAAGCUUGUCCGACGGCCACCUUCAUGGAUAUGUUCUUGAAUUUCUGAUGGAGUUCACAUGAUGUUGACUCCUUGAUUCCAUCCACGGGGUAGCCGGGACCGCCCUCUAUCAUUCUUUGUUCAUCGUCGGGCGGGGCCUCAGGUUCAGCCACGCUGCAUUUCCGCUUAGAUGGGGCGCCGGUAAUAUCAAAUGCAGGAUCUUCCUGGCGCGCUACUCCUCUAAGCUCAUCAAUCUGCUUCUGUUGCUCGUUAAUCUUGGCAAGCAACUGGUUGAACCUGUCAUUCUCCUCAUCCUGCUGCCGCUUCUUUGCUCUCUCUCGGCUUCUGUAAGUGUCUUGGUCUCUGGCAACCCCAAGCCACCACGGGUAAGAAGGACCGAGGCCUCGCGUUCGUCCUUCAUGUUCGUCAUUGCCGAGGACCAGUGUGAGCAAAUCUUUCUCUCUAUCUGCAGUGAACUUUCUUUUUCCCUCCUUAAUUUCUUUCACUAUCCUUUUCCAAUUCUCCCUGGGUAUCCUAAGACCUUCACUGCAGAUGAGGUCCCCUGUUUCUUGUCAUACGAACCACCAUGCGCAAGGAACCAAUUUCUUGCUCUCAAUUCCCACUCAUCACGGAGUGGUUCAGGUACGAUGCCUUUGUCUAGCAGAUCUUGCUCUUUCUUAUCCCACUUUGGGAUGGCAGUCUCAUAGCCCCCUGGCCCCAGCUUGUGGUGAUAUUUCUUCUUGUCGGCAUUUAUCUCGUUCUUUUCUGAUAAUGCCUGGGCAUCUUCUGACUCCUUGUACUCUUGAAAUGCCUUCCAGUGAUUCGCCUGCUUGGCUAGAUACCCCUCGAAUACUGGCACUUUCUUUGUCUUCAGAUAGUUUUUCCAUAGCUUCUUCUUCCAGUUACAGAACAGUUCGACCAUCUUCUUUAGAGUCCACUGCUUGACUUUGGCCCUCAGUUUGUCUGCGGCGUCUUCAUUCUCACAUUCUGGCAGGCUGAAAUGUGACAUGAGAUCAUUCCAAAGAUUAUCUUUGUACCUUUCGGCGACAUAGUCACUAUCGGCUGCCCCUUUGCGCUUGUUCCACUCCCGAACACUGAUCGGGACGUGAUCCCUAACGAGAACUCCGCGUUGCUUCUUGAAUGUGUCAGCAACAUUCUUAGGAAGCUUGGGUUCGCCCGUAGACAAUAUCACCUCAAAGGUGUAAUGCGUCCAUGCAUCCAACUUUCUAGUCGGGCCUCGUUUCGUAGCUUUGCUCGAUGUGGAGGCCUAAGAGGGAGAAACAUUCGUCACAUGAAUGUAUAUGUAUACAAUAUGGAGCUAUCUCCAAUAUUUUUCACAUAUUACAAGUGAUUGUCGAACUUCAUAUGUAUACCUCGCCGGACUUUAUUAUUUCUUCACCGGCUUCUCCACCGGCUUCUCCAUCAGUGGAGCUAUCACCUUCUCCGUCAUUGGACCUAUCUCCUGCCCAUUCGGCUUCAUCUUUGUGUCGCUCGACCUCCAUUCCAUAUCCGGAGGGGUUUAGAUAUGACGAUGGAGAUUCAGCUGGUUCAAUGUCGGGGCCGUCUUUGAUUAUAUCUUCGAGAAGUUCUUCCUCUUCGAGGUUCUUGAUAUGUGGAUCCAUAGUUCUGCAAAAAACGGACAUUUGAUUAACUAAUAAACUAACAAACUAUAUAAGAGGGGUUGGAAACUUCGAAGUGUCGUUUUAUAUAGGAGGACCUUUAGUCCCGGGUCUUGGCUAGAACCAAAUCGUAAAAUAAAGUAGUAUUCAAAUUAGCAUGCAUUCAAUUAUAAGCAAAUACAUCAUCUCUUUUGUCCGUACAUCGUUGAAUAUUAUCACUAAUACUCCUUGAAUACUAUCAUACAUAUAACAUCACUGAUACAUCUAGAACCGUAGCGCCCGACAGGUAUCGGCACGGGCGGUGGACACCCAAAGAGAAGGAACCAUCACAGGAUCAUAGCUCCAGUGAGAUCCCCGAAGAACCUGCCAGGUAUGCUCGAACCUGCCCUCCAACGCAACCAUGUAGCGACGGACGUGCUCAUCCUCCUCGCUGACACGGUGACGUACCACCUCCGCGGGGUCCGGAAGCCUCGGCACCCUCACUGGCCCAGGCGACUGCCACCAAACAAGGAUCGGGUCAACGACGGGCUGGCUCCUCACCAACCUACGCCCCCUGGAAGGUAGCACCUCCCAAUACCAGCCGGGCGGAGCCCAGUCCCGGACAGGGCCCCUCUGAUCAAGCAGGUGUCCUUCGCCGAGUCGACAACGAGAAUGCGGGAUAGGCAUCGUAAAAUGAACUAAAAAAAUAAACUAGUUCUAUUAAUUUUCUUGCUAAAAAUAAACUAUUAACACUUAAGCAUAUACAAUAGCAAAUUAAACUAUUAACACUUAAGAAUAUACAAUAGCAAAAUUAAGCAAUAAUCUAAGAAACACUAUUAACAGUUAAGCAUAUACACUAUACAAUAGCAAAAUUAAAUGACAAAAAAAAUAUUUCUUCUUCUUGUAACCCUAAACUAUUUUUUCCUCUUCUUCUAUUUCUCCUCUUCUUCUACUUCUACUUCUCCUCUUCUUAUACUACUUCUCGUCUUCUCUUCUUCUACUUCUCCUCUCCUCCUCUUUUAAUUUUUUCUCUUCUUCUACUUCUCCUCUUCUUCUAUUUUUCCUCUUCUUCUCCUCUCCUCCUCUUCUUAUUCUCCUUUUUCUUCUUUUCUUCUCCUCCUCUUCUUAUUUUCCCUUUUCCUAAUCUUAUUUUCUUAUUUUUGUUCAUAUUUCUUAUUCUUGUAACCCUAACCUAAUUCUAAAUAUUACUAACCCUAAUAAUCUAGCACAAACCUAAUAACAAUAGGAAUUAAAUGACAAUUUUUUUCUUUUUCUUCUUUUCUUCCCUUUUUCUUCUUUUCUUCUCCUUUUUCUUCCUUUCUUCCCCUUUUCUUCCUUUCUUCCCUUUUUCUUCUUUUCUUCUCCUUUUUCUUCUUUUCUUCUCCUUUUUCUUCUUUUCUUCUCCUUCCCUUUUUCUUCCUUUCUUCUCCUUUUUCUUCCUUUCUUCUCCUUUUUCUNNNNNNNNNNNNNNNNNNNNNNNNNNNNNNNNNNNNNNNNNNNNNNNNNNNNNNNNNNNNNNNNNNNNNNNNNNNNNNNNNNNNNNNNNNNNNNNNNNNNNNNNNNNNNNNNNNNNNNNNNNNNNNNNNNNNNNNNNNNNNNNNNNNNNNNNNNNNNNNNNNNNNNNNNNNNNNNNNNNNNNNNNNNNNNNNNNNNNNNNNNNNNNNNNNNNNNNNNNNNNNNNNNNNNNNNNNNNNNNNNNNNNNNNNNNNNNNNNNNNNNNNNNNNNNNNNNNNNNNNNNNNNNNNNNNNNNNNNNNNNNNNNNNNNNNNNNNNNNNNNNNNNNNNNNNNNNNNNNNNNNNNNNNNNNNNNNNNNNNAAGUUUAGUCCCACCUCGCCGAGCGAGGGGGACAAACACUUGUUUAUAAGCCCCGUCGCAGCUUCUCCAUCGAGCUCCUCUCUAAAGUAGGCUUACGGGCCUAACCUAACUGAAAAUUGAAACUAUAUUCGAAAUUAUGGAGAAAAUUCAACCUGAAUUCAAAGUGAGUUCACUUCGAAUUUAGGUUGAAUUUNNNNNNNNNNNNNNNNNNNNNNNNNNNNNNNNNNNNNNNNNNNNNNNNNNNNNNNNNNNNNNNNNNNNNNNNNNNNNNNNNNNNNNNNNNNNNNNNNNNNNNNNNNNNNNNNNNNNNNNNNNNNNNNNNNNNNNNNNNNNNNNNNNNNNNNNNNNNNNNNNNNNNNNNNNNNNNNNNNNNNNNNNNNNNNNNNNNNNNNNNNNNNNNAAACUAUUUUCUAUUUUGAAAAGUAGUUAUUUUGACUAUCCAAACUAUUAACUAUUUUGUUAUUUUCAAUUAAAAACUAGGUUUAUUAAUUUUUUUUUUGCAUAUUUGAGAAUUUGACAAAACUAUGAUAAUGAAAAGUGUUUCAAAUUGAAUAAAUAAUUCAAAACUAUUUUCUAUUUUCAAAAGUAAUUAUUUUGACUAUCCAAACUAUUAUCUAUUUUGUUAUUUUCAAUUAAAAACUAUGUUUAUUAAAAAUUCUUUUUGCAUAUUUGAGAAUUUGAUAAAACUAUGAUAAUGAAAAGUGUUUGAAAUUGAAUAAAUAAUUCAAAACUAUUUUAUAUUUUCAAAACUAAUAAUUUGGCUAUCCAAACUAUUAACUAUUUUGUUAUUUUCAAUUAAAAACUAUGUUUAUUAAAAUUCUUUUUGCAUAUUUGAGAAUUUGACAAAACUAUGAUAAUGAAAAGUGUUUGAAAUUGAAUAAAUAAUUCAAAACUAUUUUCUAUUUUCAAAAUUAAUUAUUUUUACUAUCCAAACUAUUAUCCAUUUUGUUAUUUUCAAUUAAAAACUAUGUUUAUUAAUAAUUCGAACGAGAACUCAUCUCUUACAAAGGGAUUUCAUUUUUUUGAACUUAUUUGAACUCCAUACUUUUUGUGUGUUCAAAUUUCACCAUUCAAAGGCACAUCACAAAAUAUCAAUAAUUUCUGACUUCAUUUGGUAUUCUUCGUGCAUUUACUUAUUUUGUUUUGAGCUAGUUGAUCCUGAAAUUGAAAAGCACUACAAAUGAACUCUGAAAAUGUUGAAAGUUGGCAUGCUAUCAUCAUUUCACACACAUAGCAUGUGUUAAAAAGUUGAGAGGGCUACGACAAAAACUGGAUGCACUUCGUGUACAAAACAGACAAUCUCUCUCGAAGUAUUAGCGUUUCAAACGAGAACUCAUCUCUUACAAAGGGAUUUCAUUUUUUUGAACUUAUUUGAACUCCAUACUUUUUGUGUGUUCAAAAUGCACCAUUCAAAGCCACAUCACAAAAUUUCAACAAUUUCUGACUUCAUUUGGUAUUCUUCGUGCAUUUACUUAUUUUUUUGAGCUAGUUGACCCUGAAAUUGAAAAGCACUACAAAUGAACUCUCAAAAUGUUGAAAGUUGGCAUGCUAUCAUCAUUUCACCCACAUAGCAUGUGUUAAAAAGUUGAGAGGUCUACGACAAAAACUGGAUGCACUUCGUGUACAAAACGGACAAUCUCUCUCGAAGUAUCAGCGUUUCGAACGAGAACUCAUCUCUUACAAAAGGGAUUUCAUUUUUUUGAACUUAUUUGAACUCCAUACUUUUUGUGUGUUCAAAUGCAUCAUUCAAAUGCACAUCACAAAAUUUCAACAAUUUCUGACUUAAUUUGGUAUUCUUCGUGCAUUUACUUAUUGUAAAAACUGUAACUGAAAAUAAUUUUCUAACAUAAAACAACACAUAUCUUCUACUAAUAAUAACAAUGCAUUGUAAAAACUGUAACUGGAAAUAAUUUUCUAACAUAAAACAACUUCCAAUGAUUUCCCUUCACAACUAAACGUUUUACCUAAAUAUCUUUAGUUACAGAAAUAUUUGGAAUACAUGGAAGGACGAUAUAUGUGCACAGGAAAUAAAUUGGAUUGAGAAUGUGGUCAACCAAUCAAUGCCUACAUCAUGUUUCCUUGCUCUGAAUUUGUUUUUUUCAGAAUGGCGACUUUUCUCUCACAUAACUAAAUUUGAUAACAGGUUCAUCUUCCUUGCUCUAAUCCUCACUUUCAUCUUUUUUCCGAAACGACCCUCAGGCGGACUCCAUUACCAUUGAUAAUGAAACAAAAGUAUUUCACCACGUAAUGCAUGAUGCUUGAUCUAUCCAAGGUAGAUGACAAAAUAAAAGUACUACUGUCACGCACAAACAAGGAUUGGAAACAAUGGUGCUUUCAGUAAUCUGAAAAAAUGUUUUAUAAUGUUUGCCAAAUAAGAUUACCACCUAUCAGGCAUGAGUUGUUGCUUUAAACAACAAGCACUAACAUUGUUUUUAGCCUUGUGAAAUUUAAAUCGAAACCUGAGUAUUAAGCUUGUACUAGUUUGGAUAUGCCCAAAUCAAUUAAAGUUGGGGUGAAAUCAAAAUUGAAUAACAUAAAAGAUAUACCGAAUCACUUAAUCACUUGAGAUGUAGGUGUGCAUCACACCAUCUGGAACUAAAACGAAUGCAGACUUCGAGCUGGUAGCACAUCUCACGGGUGACGGUGCUGUCAAAAUUGAUGGAUUGAAGGACUAGAGGACAGCAGGAGCAGGAGCGAACAUCACCAAGCAAAAAAAAAUCAAGCAGCUGCAGUGUGUUGCCGGCUACUAACAGCAGGAGCAGCACGGGUCGGCCACGAGCGGGAGCGGCAGCAGCACGUUCGGUCUCAGGUCGAGGACGCGGGCCGCAAGCUCCUAAACCUAACCCUAGGUCGCCGCUGCGAGGAGAAGGGGAUGAACAAGAGAGGUGGAAGACGACUCACCGUGCAUCGCCGGAUGGCAAGCCACUACAAGCGGAAGGAGGAGGAGUCGGUGGUGCUUUGCUACUCAGCUCGUCGAAGCCCGACCACGAACAGGUCGGCGGCGCGACCGUAGAGGGGACGAGCUGUAGGUGGAGGAGGACCGCGGGCUCCGGAGCGAUCUUGGGGAGGGAGACCGCGGGCUCGGCAUCGCGUGCAGGUGGAGGAGCGAACGGCAGCGUGCGCGGGUGCGGGGAGGGUGGGAGCUGCAGCAGGUGGCGGCGGCGAUCUGGAAUGGGAGGAGCCGACGAGUGGGUGGCUAGGGUGCGGGGAGGGUGGGUUUGCUAGUUUUUUUUCUCCUUUUCUUCAGAAGGAUGAAUGGAUGAAGGAUCGAUGGACGUGGGAUUGCUAGGAAAUGACGGUAGGAUUUGUGCCAUGUCAUCGAUCCGUGGCAUAAAUGGUUCCACCAAUCAGAAUCCAGCUUAUGUAAUUGUUUUUUUUUCUUUUAUAUUUUUUAUCCUCUUAUUUCGAGUAAACACUCAACAUAUUAGCCUUAUGUGGUAUGUUUAAAUGAAUCUAUAUUUAUGGACCCAUAUUGGAUUUAGAUAUUAGUCUGAAUAUAUGUUGGAUUUAGAAAAUAUGGACCCAUAUUGUUGUCUCUAGUUGUAUUUUUUUGAUUGCCUAAAAAGAUUUGUCGAAUAUUUAUUAUUUCACUCAAAAUAAAGCUAUAUUUUUUGAUUGAGUGUUGUGGAUGGAAACACUUCUCAUUUAAUUAUGAUAGUAUUUGGCAUUACUGAAAAAUUCACCCACAUAUUUUUUAUUGUCAUGUUUAAGUUUUUAUUGUGUGAAACACUAAGUUAAGGUUCCCUAUACCACCUAUCAAAAAUAUUUAUCUCAAUAGGGUCUACACAUUAUGAGAUUAGCAUGGGCUAAUAUAUUUCAUUUUGGUAAUUAUAUUGUAUUUUCUAAAAUAUUUAGGAUAUUAAAAUGAAUAAUUAUAAUUUAUUGGUAUUUAUCUAAUAUAAUUUACUUCAUCCAUAUACGUAUAAAACAAUUUUUUGCUCUCUAUACAUGACAGAUAGGCAAAAUUGAUGAGGUGUCGUCCAGUCACCUCCACACAUAUGUUUAUGGUCUUAUAUUUGGUCAUGGUAGUAUUGAAAUAUGAUCAUAAAUAAUUCUACACAUCUUAAUGACCAUUUUUUACAAUAGGAUCAUGACCUAAUGAACGCAAAAGGUCAUAACGUUAUGGGCUUUGGACCCUCUUAGACUUGUCAUGACUAAUUUCAGAAUUUUGGUCAGGGAUCAAUGACCAAUUAAACCACCGUCAUUAUUUUUGGUCAUAAUUGAGCGUUUUUCUUGUAGUGUUGCCUGGCAUAUUAUCUUCAGGACGAAGAUCAAAGGUUAUUUCCAUACCCUCCUGAAAUCCAUAUGCCUUGCAAAGAUCUUCCCACUUUGGGCACCCAAAUUCUGUUUGAAAAACUGAAUUAAAUACUUUGAUAACAAAUGUGUGACCAUGUAUAGUCCUCAGGUUAGCGCUCCUCGUCUCAAUUCUUUCGUGGUCUUCGACACCGAGCCUCUCCAACACAUAUCUUCUUGCAUGACAAGGGAGGAACAUAUCUCCAUUAUCAUCAAGGUUCAUGCUGAAGAACCUAUCGUCUCGCAGGUGAGGCGUGUCGCACAUAUCCCGACAGUCGCCGCAAUAUUCACACUCCCAAUAUUCAUCGUCAGACAUUUCCUGUUUUAAUAUGUUAAAUGUGUAAAUAAAAAUCGCUGACACUAUAUCGAAAGAAUUGAACAUCUAUAUAUAAACAUAGUUAGGCCACUCAGACAUUUCGACAAAACUUAGCACAACUAAUUAGCAAGCAAUAGUGAGUAACUCACUACUGUUUUAUGCAUUAACACCAACAAAAGGAUGAUAUUUGUAGGUUGAUAAAAUAUAUAUGUGCCCUUUUUCCACUCCAAAGUUUAAAUAAGUUGUUUGAAACCAUUGGUUGUCUAAUUCAAACCUAAUGUGCCUACUUACAUGAAAUUUACAAACAUGAUUUUUUCCUUCUUUCUAGUUAGCCCAUCAAAAGAUCUUCAACAAACAUAUCUUGAUUUUCUUAUUAAGAUGCAUCUCAAGAUGACAUAUUGAACCGAUCGAUGGCCCUAAAAUCAAAAUGACAGCAGCCUUGGGGUGCCUAGAGCGGGAAGGGAGGUGGCGGUGGCGCCUGGAGGGGAUGGGCUUACCGGAGCGGGAUGGGGAGGGGGCUUACCGGAGCAGGCCGGAGAGGGGAAGGGGGCUUACCGGGAGGGCAGGGGGCGGCGGCGACGGCGAGGGAGGCGGCGGUGACGACGACGACGACAACGGCGAGGGAGGCGGCGGCGGGGAGGAGCGCGGAGACGACGACGACAUCGGGGAAGAGUUGCGCAAUCUCGCGGCGUCGAGGGUCCGUCCGCGUCACGAGGAGGAAGAAGAUCGAAACCGCGAUUUGGACAUCAUAAAAUUCCAAGUCUCGCUUAUAUAGGCGGAGCUUUGGUCUCGGGUCGUGGCUCGAACCGGGACNNNNNNNNNNNNNNNNNNNNNNNNNNNNNNNNNNNNNNNNNNNNNNNNNNNNNNNNNNNNNNNNNNNNNNNNNNNNNNNNNNNNNNNNNNNNNNNNNNNNNNNNNNNNNNNNNNNNNNNNNNNNNNNNNNNNNNNNNNNNNNNNNNNNNNNNNNNNNNNNNNNNNNNNNNNNNNNNNNNNNNNNNNNNNNNNNNNNNNNNNNNNNNNNNNNNNNNNNNNNNNNNNNNNNNNNNNNNNNNNNNNNNNNNNNNNNNNNNNNGACCCGGGACUAAAGGUGGUAAGUUUUAGUCCCACCUCGCUUGUCAAGAGGCGGUGCAACUAGUUUAUAAGCCCCACCGCCCCGAACCGUCUCGAGCUCUUCUCUAAAGCAGACUUACUGGCCUAAACGCACUCUAAAUUUAAAAAUGAAAAAAUAUAUAUGAAAUUAAAGACAAAAUUCAACCUAAAUUNUCCAUACUUUUUGUGUGUUCCAAAAUGCACCAUUCAAAGGCACAUCACAAACUUUCAACAAUUUCUAACUUCAUUUGAUAUUUUUUUCGUGCAUUUACUUAUUUUAUUUGAGCUAGUUGACCCUGAAAUUGAAAAGCACUACAAAUGAACUUUGAAAAUGUUGAAAGUUGGCAUGAUAUCCUCAUUUCACCCACAUAGCAUGUGCUAAAAAUUUGAGAGUGUUACGAUAAAAACUAGAUGCACUUCGUCUUCAAAACGGACAAUCUCUCUCGAUGUAUGAGUGUUUCGAACUAGAACUAAUCUGUUACAAAGGGAUUUUUUUUUUGAACUUAUUUAAACUCCAUACUUUUUGUGUGUUCAAAAUGCACCAUUGAAAUGCACAUCACAAAUUUCCAACAAUUUCUAACUACAUUUUGUAUUUUUCAUGUAUUUACUUUUUUUUAGAGCUAGUUGACCCUGAAAUUGAAAAGCACUACAAAUGAACUCUAAAAAUGUUGAAAGUUGCCAUGGUAUCAUCAUUUCACCCACAUAGAAUGUUCUAAAAGUUGAGAGGGUUACGACAAAAACUGGAUGCACUCCGUGUACAAAACGAACAAUCUCUUUCUAAGUAUGAGGGUUUCGAACGAAAACUCAUGUGUUACAAAGGAUUUCAUUUUUUUGAACUUAUUUGAAAUCCAUACUUUUUGUGUGUUCAAAAUGCACCAUUCAAAGGCACAUCAUAAAAUUUCAACAAUUUCUGACUUCAUUUGGUAUUUUUCGUGCAUUUACUUUUUUUAGCUAGUUGACCCUGAAAUUGAAAAGCAGUACAAAUGAACUCUGAAAAUGUUAAAAGUUGGCGUGGAAUCAUCAUUACACCCACAUAGCAUGUGCUAAAAAGUUGAGAAAGUUAUGACAAAAACUAGAUGCACUUCGUGUAUAAAACGGACAAUCUCUCUCGAAGUAUGAGUGUUUCGAACGAGAACUAAUCUGUUACAAAGAGAUUUCAUUCUUUUGAACAUAACUCCAUACUUUUUGUGUGUUCGAAAUGCAGCAUUCAAAUUCACAUCACAAAUUUUCAACAAUUUCUGACUAUAUUUUGUAUUUUUCAUGUAUUUACUUAUCUUUUUUGAGCUAGUUGACCCUGAAAUUGAAAAUCACUACAAAUGAAAUCUGAAAAUGUUGAAAGUUGGCAUGAUAUCAUCAUUUCACCCACAUAGCAUGUGCUAAAAAGUUGAGAGGGUUACGACAAAAACUGGAUGCACUUCGUGUACAAAACGGACAAUCUCUCUCGAAGUAUGAGGGUUUCGAACGAGAACUCGUCUAUUACAAAAGGAAUUUCAUUUUUUUGAACUUAUUUGAACUNNNNNNNNNNNNNNNNNNNNNNNNNNNNNNNNNNNNNNNNNNNNNNNNNNNNNNNNNNNNNNNNNNNNNNNNNNNNNNNNNNNNNNNNNNNNNNNNNNNNNNNNNNNNNNNNNNNNNNNNNNNNNNNNNNNNNNNNNNNNNNNNNNNNNNNNNNNNNNNNNNNNNNNNNNNNNNNNNNNNNNNNNNNNNNNNNNNNNNNNNNNNNNNNNNNNNNNNCAUUUGGUAAUUUUCAUGCAUUUACUUUUUUUUGAGCUAGUUGACCCUGAAAUUGAAAAGAUCAACAAAUGAACUCUGAAAAUGUUGAAAGUUGGCAUGGUAUCAUAAUUUCAUCCACACAACAUGUGCUAAAAAGUUGAGAGGGUUACGAGAAAAACUGGUUGCACUUCGUGUACAAAACGGAUAAUUUCUCUCAAAGUAUGAGGGUUUCGAAAGAGAACUAAUCUGUUACAAAGGGAUUUCAUUUUCUUGAACUUAUUUAAACUCCAUACUUUUUGUGUGUUCAAAAUGCACCAUUCAAAGGCACAUCAUAAAUUUUCGACUAUUUCUGACUUCAUUUGGUAUAUUUCAUGUAUUUACUUAUUUUUUAGAGCUAGUUGACCCUGAAAUUGAAAAGCACUACAAAUGAACUCUGAAAAAAUGUUGAAAGUUGGCAAGGUAUCAUCAUUUCAUCCACAUAGCAUGUUCUAAAAAGUUGAGAGGGUUACGACAAAAACUGGAUGCACUUCGUGUACAAAACGGACAAUCUCUCUCGAAGAAUGAGGGUUUCGAACGAAAACUCAUGUGUUACAAAGCGAUUUCAUUUUUGGAACUUCAUAUUUUUUUGUGUUCAAAAUGCACCAUUCAAAGGCACAUCACAAAUUUUCAACAAUUUAUGACUUCAUUUGGCAUUUUACAUGCAUUUACUUUUUUUGAGCUAGUUGACCCAGAAAUUGAAAAGCAGUACAAAUGAGCUAUGAAAAUGUUGAAAGUUGGCAUGGUAUAUUUAUUUCAACCACAUAACAUGUGGUAAAAAGUUGAGAGGGUUACGACAAAAACUGGAUGCACUUCGUGUACAAAACGGACAAUCUCUCUCGAAGUAUGAGGGUUUCGAACGAGAACUCAUCUAUUACAAAAGGAAUUUCAUUUUUUUGAACUUAUUUGAACUCCAUACUUUUUGUGUGUUCAAAAUGCAUCAUUCAAAGGCACAUCACAAAUUUUCAACAAUUUCUGAUUUCAUUUGGUAAUUUUCAUUCAUUUACUUUUUUUGAGCUAGUUGACCCUGAAAUUGAAAAGCACUACAAAUGACCUUUGAAAAUGUUGAAAGUUGGCAUUGGUAUCAUCAUUUCACCCACAUAGCAUGUGCUAAAAAGUUGAGAGGGUUACGAUAAAAACUGGAUGCACUUCGUGUACAAAACGGACAAUCUCUCUCGAAGUAUGAGAGUUUUGAACGAGAACUAAUCUGUUACAAAGAGAUUUCAUUUUUUGAACUUAUUUAAACUCCAUACUUUUUGUGUGUUCAAAAUGCACCAUUCAAAGGCACAUCACAAAUUUUCAACAAUUUCUGACUUCAUUUGGUAUUUUUCGUGCAUUUACUUAUUUGUUUUUGAGCUAGUUGACCGUGAAAUUAAAAAGCACUACAAAUGAACUCUAAAAAUGUUGAAAGUUGGCAUGGUAUCAUAAUUUCACCCACAUAGCAUGUGCUAAAAAGUUGAGAGGGUUACGACAAAAACUGGAUGCACUUCGUGUACAAAACGGAUAAUCUCUCUCGAAAUAUGAGGGUUUCGAAACUCAUCUCUUACAAAGGGAUGCAUUUUUUUAAACUUAUUUGAACUCCAUACUUUUUGUGUGUUCAAAAUGCAUCAUUCAAAGGCACAUCACAAAUUUUCAACAAUUUCUGACUUCAUUUGGUUUUUUUCAUGUAUUUACUUAUUAUUUUUGAGCUAGUUGACCCUGAAAUUGAAUAGCAGUACAAAUAAACUCUGAAAAUGUUGAAAGUUGGCAUGGUAUCAUCAUUUCACCCACAUAGCAUGUGCUAAAAAGUUGAGAGGGUUACGACCAAAACUGAAUGCACUUCGUGUACAAAAUGGACAAUCUCUCUCAAAGUAUUAGAGUUUCGAACGGGAACUCAUCUGUUACAAAGGGACUUCAUUUUUUGAACUUAUUUGAACUUGAUACUUUUUGAGUGUACAAAAUGCACCAUUCAAAGGCACAUCACAAUUUUUCAACAAUUUGUGACUUCAUUUGUUAUUUUUUGUAUAUUUACUUAUUUUUUUGAGCUAGUUGACCCUGAAAUUGAAAAGCACUACAAAUGAACUCUGAAAAUGUUGAAAGUUGGCAUGGUAUCAUCAUUUCACCCACAUAGCAUGUGCUAAAAAGUUGAGAGGGUUACGAAAAAAACUGAAUGCACUUCGUGUACAAAACGGACAAUCUCUCUCGAAAUAUGAGGGUUUCGAACGAAAACUCAUGUGUUACAAAGGGAUUUCAUUUUUUGAACUUCUACUUCCCCUAGUGCAUAAAAAAUAUCUAGCACAAGGAGAAGAAGGAGAAGCGACCCCCACAACAACAGUCGACAUUCUUCUUCUCUCAUAUAUGGUGGACACUCCCUCACCGAUUUUUCGACCGUCGAUGAUGGUCGCUACUCCUACUUCACCUAGUGCAUAACAAAUAUCUAGCAUAAGGAGAAGAAGGAGAAACGACCCCCACAACAACAGUCAACAUUCUUCUUCUCUCACAUAUGGUGGACAUUCCCUCACCUGAAUUUUUCGACCGUCGAUGAUGGUCGCUACUCCUACUUCCCCUAGCGCAUAACAAAUAUCUAGUACAAGGAGAAGAAGGAGAAGCGACCCCACAACAACAGUCGGCAUUCUUCUCUCAUAUAUGGUGGAUACUCCCUCACCUGAUUUUUUGACCGUCGAUGAUGGUCGCUACUCCUACUUCCCCUAGUGCAUAACAAAUAUCUAGCACAAGGAGAAGAAGGAGAAACGACCCCCACAACAAGAGUCGGCAUUCUUCUUCUCUCAUAUAUGGUGGACACUCCCUCACCUGAUUUUUCGACCGUCGAUGAUGGUCGCUACUCCUACUUCCCCUAGUGCAUAACAAAUAUCUAGCACAAGGAGAAGAAGGAGAAGCGACCCCCACAACAACAGUCGGCAUUCUUCUUCUCUCAUAUAUGGUGGAGACUCCCUCACAAAUCACUCUACUUUUAGAGCAUUUGAAUUGAGAUAAACUAGAAGUGAUAGAUGAAAGGAUGAAGUAGCUACCUUUUAAAACACUUGUGCAGUAGGUGCACGACCAAACCUAGACAAAUAUUGAGGAAAAUGGAGCUUGGAGGUCGAGCUUGGAGAGGAGAAAGCUUAAGUAGUGUGGCUCAGACAUUUGAUCGAACACCUCAUGUGCAUGAACUAGAGUGGCAAGAGCAUUGCAUGGUCACACCUCAACACCCAAAAAACAGAGGAGAGGGUGGGCAGGGGCGAGGGUUUAUAUAGGCAACACUUUAGUCCCGGUUUUUGUCUAAAACCGGGACUAAUAGCCUACCCUUUAGUCCCGGUUCGUUCCACAAACCGGGACUAAUGCUCCGCGGCACGCCACGUAGCAGUCGAUGGAUCUUUAGUCCCGGGUUUUGCCCCGAACCGGGACUAAUGAGGUGAACCGAACCGGGACCAAUGCCCCGGCAAACCGAACCGGGACCAAUGCCUACCGGGACUAAUGAUCUUUUGGCCCUCGGUCGAAAGACCCUUUUUUCAACUAGUGUACAUGAAAUAAUCACCAUAAAUGGAUUGAAAAACCUUUGGGGGAUCCUUUAUUAUUGGUUUAGGCCUUAUGUAAGCAAAAAAAAAGAGAAAUCUGAGACAUCUAGUGACCAAGACCAUAAAUGGAUCGACAUUUUAUUGAUAAAUUCAAACGAAGAUCCAAAAUCAUGAAAUUUGAUAUGGUAUCAUGAUAUGUUCCCUACAUGUCAUGGUAAAAGUUUGAGAAUGUUUCAAAAGAGUUUUCACGUAGACUGCUUGAAACGAGAUCAUCUUCGAGUAAGAAACUAGAUUUUAAGGAGUUGACCAAGUUUGCAUAUGAAGCAAGAGAUGCUACAUCGGAUGGCGUUGAAACCUUUUCCACACUCAAAUUAACCAUUAAAUGUGACAUGUGUAAAUUCAAUGCUUUUCUAGUCUGUUUGCCACACUUAAAUUUAACACUUUAAAUGCAUUUACCUCCAUUAAAUAUAUAGAAAUCCAUCUAGUAUAUUAAAAAUAACAAAAUACCCUGAAAAGUACCGAAGUAUUACAUGGAACGUCCAAUUAUGUACCAUUAAACCAGAAAAGAAUUAACCACAACCGUAAACAUAAAAAGACUAAAACCCUAAGAUUACAAAAAAUAUAUAUAUAUCAAUGACAAGCAAGAAAACAAUAUGCAACAGUGAUAGUUGGCGCAUACAUACCCAAGUACAAAUGGCAUGCAUCAGCAUGUGUCUGCCAUUGGUAUUUUAGGCCAUAAUAGCCGUGUGGUCAAAAUUACCAGUGGUGGGCACAUAUUUCUGCGCGCCACUAGCAACUCAAUGUACCAGUAGAGGGCCCGUGUUUAUGCCCACCACUGAUAAAUUUGGUCCAUGACUAAUCUGAGCCCAUGUUGCAAGUUACAUAUGCAAAGUCAUGACGUAACUGGUACUACUUAGAGCAUCUUCAAUAGAUGGUCCAAAUGUAAAAAAUAACUAACUUUUGGAUCGUGUGGGACAAAAAGGGUGCUCUAACACACGGUCCAUAUGCACAAAAAAAAAUUGGACUGCGGCCUCUUCAUGAUGUAAAAUCCAAAACCUCGCGGUGCAAAUUUACAUCACGAGGUGCAUCUGGUCCAAAACCAGCCGCCGCCCGCGAACGCCCAACCGCCACUUCCUUUCUGUUCCAGCCCGCACCCGUCGCCCGCCCGAAGACCAGUCGGCCGGAAUCCGCCGCCGCGACCGCCGAAAACCACGCCGUCGGCGCCACCACCACCCUAAAUCCCCGCCGCCGCCCUCCGCCGCCGUCGCCUGCCUCGCCGAUAGCCGGCUCGCAGCCGCCCGGACGCUGCCGAAUCGGGAGGCAUCCGGUGCGGGAUUCGGCGCCUUCGGCUGUCCGGCUGCCGCGGUAGGCCUCCGCCGGGUCUAAGGUUGCCGCCGACCUCGUCCCCGUCGGCCGUGAGCCUGUUCACGGCCGUUGCGCCGGCCGCACGACCGCCGCACGAAGCCCUCCGCUCGGCUGCCGAAGUACUGUUUGCGGCCCGGCGAGCUCCUCUUGGCCGGCCUCGAAGCUCUUUUCUUAUCACCGUCGUCGUCCGGAGGAGCCGACGACAGCCAUCCUCAGCCAUCAGCAGCAGCCAAUCCAACCGGCAGCCAUCUUCUUCCACCGCCCGCACUAGGUGUUCGACGGAAUUCCCCAAGGUAAAAAAAAAUGACGAAACUUGAUGAUUUAACUUGGGAUUGGAUAGUAUGUUUGACGGUGGUUGUGUGAAAUGUAGAUGAGCUCGGUUGACUCCUCUUUCAUGGAUGAUUCAUCGUUGGACGAGGAAUUUGAUUUGCAUGAAGAAGAGGAGGUUGCUAUGCUAGUGGCCAUGCACAAGAGGAAGAAACCGAAGCACGGUGGUCCCGUUUAUGGUCGUGCAUUCAUUCGGAAAGAACGGAUUGACGCGCACAAACAGAUUGAUGCGCACAAACCGAAGCACGGUGGUUCCGUUUGUGAUUCAUCGUCAGACAAGGAAAACAUUUAUAUUACAAUUUCUAUCAUUUGAUGGGCAUUCCUGUUAACCCCAUGCGAAAAGAACAGCGCAUCAGACAUUUCAUGAAGGUGUACAGUGAAAUUAGAGACACCGAUGUGCAUGACCAACUCCAUAAAGAUUUGAUGGAAGAGCAUUGGAAAUGGCAUGGCGAAAGAUCCGCAUAGAUUCAUUAUUUGUUUGUUCAAAACUAUGUUGUAUUAUGCAAAACUAUGUUGUAUUUGUGUUGCGCUUCAUCUCCUGGAUCUGAAGAACUAUGUAAUAAUUUGAUAUUGUGCACAUGAAAUUUUUUAUGUUGUUUCAAAACAUGUUUUUAUGCAAUAUGUGCGGCUGUACAGUGGCUGGACAGCGGCUAAACAGCAGACGCGUGGCUGUUGGCCAAUUUUGGACCAUGAAUUUGGACCAUCUAUUGGAGUUGGUCUUUUGGACCAUGAGAAUUUGGACCAUCUGUUGAAGUUGGCCUUUUUUCGAAGGUUCAAAACGCACUUUUUGGCGGUUCAAAUUUUAAUCCUUCGGUUUUGGACCGCCAAAUUUUAGACCAUCUAUUGGAGAUGCUCUAAAUGGCCAGACUACGAGUGGCAUGUGCAAAUGUGUGCCCGCCAAUGCUAAAGGUCCACCCAUAUGAGGGAGAGGCGAGGUGUCUCUCCAUUGUGCGAGAGAACAUCUGGAUGCCGCCAGUGAGGUCUCCCCGUCGUGGUCAGCCAUGCAACUUCACCUUAUGAAGAAGAAGGGUAGGUGGUCGGUGGCGACGACUAGGGUUGUUGGGUCAGCUCGAGCUGCACACAUGGGAGAGGCGCACGGAAAGCAAGUUCUUUUAAGCAUGGGUAUUCAUGUGUUGUAUCUUGCUACAGCUAAAUUUCAGUCGGAUGAGACUUGUUUAUGUCUCACUCGAUGCUAUAUUAAUGAGAUAUUACACAUAGAUCUGGACGGAAUCCUUCUUUUUAGUAACUUAUAUCUUAUUGGAACAUAUACGUGAUGAUGUCACUUGGCUGAGACUUAGAAAGUCUUAGGCCCCGUUUUUAUAAAAAGUCCUAAAUUUUUUUUAGUCCUUACUAAAUAGUCCCUUGUCCCUACCUAUUUGGUUCCAUGGAGUAAACAUGGACUAGAGGUUAUUAAAUGACAUGCUAAGUUACCCCUACUAAUGGACUACAGGUUAUAAAAUGACAUGCUAAAAGCAGGGGCACUGUUGAAAAAAGUCCGAAAAGACUCUCCCUUAGGGACUUCUUUCUUUAGUCUCAAAUGCCCACUUUUAGUCCCUAAAAGUCCCUUAUUUUUGAUUUAGAUGGGAUUAAAAGGGUUUUUUUAGUCUCUACACCAAAAAUUCCCUGUAAACAAACACCCCCUUGGUCCUCUGAGAUUUAGCCACAACAUAGUAAAUGGAGCUACAAAAUUAAAUUAUAUGAUGAUUAGUGAUGCACUUUUCCACCGGACGGUCAUGAAAAAAAAGUCUAGAGAUGCACUUUUCCAUCGGACGGUCACGAAAAAAAGUAUGUCUCAUGUCUAGGCAUUUAAGGUAAGGAACUCAAAAUCUAUACACGUGGUGCUAUUUGGUUAAAAAUUCGGUACAAAUGUAGGGUGAGUAAAUCCAUAAGCAUAGCACGAUUAUUCAGCUAUGAAUUGGGGGGAGUAAAAGAUUGUUCAUAUUUGAUGACCUGCAUGUUCAAUGUUAGUACUGACGGGGCUUGCUCGCGUCGCUCUCCAGGGGAGCGGCCCGAGCGUGACCUAGCGCCACCAUCGCCACCACCUCUGAUGCUCCUCCCUGCCCCCGCUGCCGGCGGGCGUCGCUGCCAGGCAAAGCCCGCGCAGCAGCCGGCGGCGGCGGGCCUCUCUUGUUGGGGAACGUCGCAUGGGAAACAAAAAUUUUCCUACGCGCACGAAGACCUAUCAUGGUGAUGUCCAUCUAUGAAAGGGGAUGAGUGAUCUACGUACCCUUGUAGAUCGUACAGUAGAAGCGUUAGAGAACGCGGUUGAUGUAGUAGAACGUCCUCACGUCCCUCGAUCCGCCCCGCGAACAAUCCCGCGAUCAGUCCCACGAUCUAGUACCGAACGGACGGCACCUCCGCGUUCAGCACACGUACAGCUCGACUAUGAUCUCGGCCUUCUUGAUCCAGCAAGAGAGACAGAGAGGUAGAAGAGUUCUCCGGCAGCGUGACGGCGCUCCGGAGGUUGGUGANNNNNNNNNNNNNNNNNNNNNNNNNNNNNNNNNNNNNNNNNNNNNNNNNNNNNNNNNNNNNNNNNNNNNNNNNNNNNNNNNNNNNNNNNNNNNNNNNNNNGAGUCCCGGAUGAGAUCGCGGACGUCACGAGGGUUUCCGGAAUGGUCCAGAAACGAAGAUUGAUAUAUAGGAUGACCUCAUUUGAUUACCGGAAGGUUUUUGGAGUUACCGGGAAUGUGCCGGGAAUGACGAAUGGGUUCCGGGAGUUCACCGGGGGGGGCAACCCACUCCGGGGAAGCCCAUAGGCCUUGGGGGUGGCACACCAGCCCUUAGUGGGCUGGUGGGACAGCCCAAGAAGGCCCUAUGCGCCAUAGGAAGAAAAUCAAAGAGAAAAAAAAGGAGGAGGUGGGAAAGGGAAGAAGGACUCCACCUUCCAAACCAAGUUGGAUUCGGUUUGGAAGGGGAGACCUUCCCCCUUGGCUUGGCCGAAACCCUUAGGGGUCCUUGGACCCCAAGGCAAGGCUCCCCCUCUUCCCCCUAUAUAUACGGAGGUUUUAGGGCUGAUUUGAGACGANNNNNNNNNNNNNNNNNNNNNNNNNNNNNNNNNNNNNNNNNNNNNNNNNNNNNNNNNNNNNNNNNNNNNNNNNNNNNNNNNNNNNNNNNNNNNNNNNNNNNNNNNNNNNNNNNNNNNNNNNNNNNNNNNNNNNNNNNNNNNNNNNNNUGAGACGACUUUUCCACCCACCAAACCAAGUCCAACUCGGUUUGGGGGGGGAGCCUUCCCCACUUGGACUCGGCCGACCCCCUUGGGGCUCCUUGAGCCCCAAGGCAAGGUUCCCUCCCUCCCACCUAUAUAUACGGAGGUAUUGGGGCUGAUUUGAGACGANNNNNNNNNNNNNNNNNNNNNNNNNNNNNNNNNNNNNNNNNNNNNNNNNNNNNNNNNNNNNNNNNNNNNNNNNNNNNNNNNNNNNNNNNNNNNNNNNNNNNNNNNNNNNNNNNNNNNNNNNNNNNNNNNNNNNNNNNNNNNNNNNNNNNNNNNNNNNNNNNNNNNNNNNNNNNNNNNNNNNNNNNNNNNNNNNNNNNNNNNNNNNNNNNNNNNNNNNNNNNNGGAGCUCGGGCGGAGCCCUGCUGAGACAAGAUCAUCAUCAACCUCCGGAGCGCCGUCACGCUGCCGGAGAACUCUUCUACCUCUCCGUCUCUCUUGCUAGACCAAGAAGGCCGAGAUCAUCGUCGAGCUGUACGUGUGCUGAAUGCGGAGGUGCCGUCCGUUCGGCACUAGAUCGUAGGACUGAUCGCGGGAUGGUUCGCGGGGCGGAUCGAGGGACGUGAGGACGUUCCACUACAUCAACCGCGUUCACUAACGCUUCUGCUGUACGGUCUACAAGGGUACGUAGAUCACACAUCCCCUCUCGUAGAUGGACAUCACCAUGAUAGGUCUUCGUGCGCGUAGGAAAAUUUUUGUUUCCCAUGCGACGUUCCCCAACAGUAUAUGUCUGUCGCGUCGUUGUCGAUAUAACCCCCUCCCGGAUAACUUCGACAUGAGGGGCGGUCGAUAUAUAUACCCACUCUCGACCGUGAUAAAUUAUACCACGGGAGCACCCCCUCGGCCCUCUCGCUCGACCAAAACUCUCGAGGACACCCAAACCCUAGAGAAAAAACGAUGUUGGUCUCCUACCCCCUCCCGCCGCGCCCCUACCCGACAAACUCUCUCGAGGCCACCCAAAUUUACCAAGUUAAAAGAGCGUUGUCAUCGAGGCCACCCCAAACCCUUGAAGCGUUGUCUAGGCCACCCCAAACCCUAGAGAAGCACCGUCGAGGCCACUAACAUGAUUCCUUAUUGUGAUUAGCUAGCUAGUUCUACGUUUGCCACUAAUAUAUAUCCAUCCGUACCAUGUUAGAAUAAUAAUUGACAUGUUGUAAAUAUUUGCAGAAACUAUGGAUCACUCCCGAGACGAAGAGGAAGAAGCGAUGUUGGGGGAGAUAAUCGCACAAGGAAGUGGUGUCAUUGCAUCGUUUCUCAGAGACACCGACGCUACAAGAAAUAUGCUCAUACACGACGUUUUUAAGACGUCGUUGAUGAAUUCGUCAUAAAUCUAUGACGAUUUCAUCCGAGAUUGUCGUAAACCGUUUGAGGGGAUCAAAUCUGCAUAUAAAUUACGACGAUGUGAGUCAAAAAUGUCGUAACUGCAUAAGAUGAGAUCGUCAUAAAUUUUACGACAAUUAUAAAAAUGUCGUAACAUGUUCUAACUAUGUUGACAUGUUACUCGUGGGUCCAUUCUAUGUCACGCGUCAAACCGGCCUAGUUUGUGAAGAAACCUACUAUUCUAUCAUUCCAAAAAUUAUCAUAAAUAGUUUGGAUCAUAUAUUGCUCAAAUAUGUGAAAACCCUUCCUUUCAUUGUUCAAAAAUAAUUGAGCAAUAUUCAUUCUCCUAUUAUGUUCAGAAUAGCACUUUGUGAAGGAAGUGCUAUUUCCAUUUUUUUGAUUGCCCUCAAAAUUGUCGUGCACUCUUUUUUUCAUUUUUUUCCUAUCCAAAUCAUUGCCUCAUGAAAACUUACGUAAUCAUUUGCCUAGUAAAUCUUUCUCAGCAAAUUUCCAAAAUUUGUGUUUAGCUGACAGCUUUGUGAAGGAAUUACUAGCUAGGAAUAUCGUGAUGAGUUGAAUUUUUUCCAUAUCUUCUAUAUGCCAAAACCAUAGCUCUCCACCAAAUUUCAGCCCCAUUUAACAAUCCAUUUGAGCUCAGCAUCCAAUCUUUGUUUUUGGUAAUAUUUUCAGUUUAUGAAGAAACUACAUUUUAUAUUGCUUUAUAGUUGAUGAAAAUUUACCACGAAAUAAAACUAACCAUAUAACUUAACUCCACGAAAUAAAAUUUGACCUGCUUCCAGUUGAAUCGGCAGAAAGUUUUGUUUUUCACGAGAGGUGAAUAAAAGCUUUUGACACCCAACUAUUUGGUCAAUUGUAUAUUAAAUAUGUACUAGUAUUUUAGAAAAUUGAUGGAGUCCAAUUUUGCAACAAAUAUUGGUAGGUUCUUAAAAAAACUCAUUUUUGCCACUCGGAAAAUAAUUAAAAAUAGCUAGAAAGAUGAGAAAUGCAUACAAAUUGGUACUCAUCCGUCAAAUGUGAUCUAACACUAGUGAAAUUUUGUGUGAUGCCCUUUGCAAAUUUUUUUAAUAGAUACUUCACAAAAUUCCUCUAUUUUAAGUACUUCGGAACUAUUUUAAAUCACUGAUAUUUCGAACCAAUCAGAACUCUUUCCACAGAUCGAUGACAUGGCGCCCAUCCAUCCAUCCAGCUCACCAUCUCACAUCCAUCCAUCCAUGUAUCUACAAGAAAAAAACAUGGAAAAAAGAUAACCCACCCGCAGCCAAACCCUAGCUCAGACCCCUCCCCCAUCGCACCCUUUCUCCCUCGUCCCCAUCUACUCGCCGCCGCCACCUCCUCCUUGUCCCCGCCUCCCUCCCGAUCUAGUCCUCUCUCCCGAUCGAUGGCCUCCGCGACGCCGUCGCCAAGCUCGACGAGAUCAGGUGCCCCGCCCCGACCCCCCUUGCCUCCCUCCACCGGAUCUAGUGGCCAGUAGGCGCCGAGUCCGCUUCCGCUCAACUUUUUUCUGCUCUGUUUUGUCGGUGGUGAUGCAGCGAUAACGAGAAGACCGGGUUCAUCAGCCUCGUCUCCCGCUACCUUAGGUGAUAAUGCGAAUCUUCCCGGCCUCCAUGAUCUCGUCGCGUCUAUGCUGUUGCUCUCUCGCGCGUGGGUGGGUGGUUUCUGAUGGUUGUGUUGUGAUGUGUUGUGCGUCCUACAGCGGUGUGGCGGAGUAGAUCGAGUGGAGCAAGAUCCAGACCCCCACCGAUGAGGUCGUGGUGCCCUAUGACACCCUCGCGCCCCCUCCCGAAGGUAUCAUCUCGUCUGAAAUGCUUCUUCCUGUCCUCGAUUCGGAUUCGUCUCGAAUUUUCAGUCUGUUUGUGUGUGUGGGUGUGGAAACUGAACGCUGGAUCGUGUGUGUGCUGCAGAUCUCGACGCCAUGAAGGCCCUGCUCGACAAGCUCGUGGUGCUCAAGCUCAACGGAGGCCUCGGAACCACCAUGGGCCGACGCGGCCGCCGAGGAGACCCUCGCCGCCGCACCCUCGACGCGCCGCCCGCCGGAGCGCCGGCCGGGUAGAAGCUCGCCGGAUUCCAUGGACCACGACAUGCAAGCACGCGACACCGUGAACACUCCCUCCCUCUCGCUUCUGCAUCGAGUUGUAGUUUUAGUAGAUACUAGCACUGAAGAAGAGCGGCGACACGUCGUCGCUGCGCCCGUGACAGAUGUGGUCUGUAAUUUGUACUGGUCCUUGCAAGUCUUUGUAUUUAUUUACGGAGUUUCCUGCUAUGUGAUUUACCUUUGCAUGUGUUUGGCUGUGUGAUGCGUGGUUUGAUCUGUGGAUACAUUAGUCAGUGCCAUGUGCCAGCAUCUGAAACGGGUUAACAUCUCUCUUCUCGUAGUAGAGUAAUCAAUCAUGCCAGCAUCUGAAACGGGUUAACAAAUACGAGCUUGCACUGUUCUCUGUUUUGUGAUAAUAGCAUAACAUACAGCUCGGCAUAAACAUCAACAGGGUUAGCUGAAUAGUUGUUGUUACAUCUGCAAAUGUCACCAUGAGUGGAAUUUACUUAUGAUGUCAAUGUGUUUCUUACUCAAGUUGAUAUUUUUCUUCGUUUUGCUUCAUGUGCUGUUCAAACAUCAGGAAUUCGCAUCCGAGAAGGCUACUACGGAUACACUUCCCACCAUCUCUUCUGCCGCCGACUCGAGCUCCUGACCACAAGAAGGGAAGGCAUCGCGCAGGAGCACCAUCGCCCUCGCCGUUCAUCGCUCCGCCUGAGGCAUCACCAUCGCCAUCGCUAGCCCCUCCACAAAGGCCAGGCCUGUGCCUUCUGCUCCACAGCCAAGCCAUGAUCCUCGGGUUGAUUCCCCAGCCCAUGUUGUGCAUAAGCAUUCCUGGAGAGCCUACGGUUUGGACACGGCAGGUGGUGCGGCCUUCCUUGUCAUGACUACGACAUUUGUUGUGUACUGCCGGGCGAAGAAAGUCGGUACUGUGAGGCCUUGGGUAACAUGGCUAAGCGGGCAACUGCAGCGAGCCUUCAUGACAGGUAUCCUUCAUUGUAUGUGUGCAUAUCUGUUAUCAUAUAUUUUGUUCUUUGGUUGCACAUUAACACAUGAUCAAUCAUUCUUCCAGGUGUGCCUUCGCUGAAACGAUCAGAGCUGGAGGCAGCCUCCGAGGAUUUCAGCAAUAUAAUUGAUUCUACGGCUAACUGCAUGUUGUAUAAGGGAACAUUAUCAAGCGGAGUUGAAAUAGCAGUUGUGUCAAGUUUAAUAUCAUCUAUGAAUGUUUGGUCAAAAGCAUGUGAAUCUUAGUACAGGAAAAAGGUAAUCUGCCAUUAACCUCCUUAUAUGCACACUUUUUUCUUUUGCGAAAUACACAUUAACUGAAAUGGCUGUGGUCUCGUAUCUCAAGUUUAUCGAAAGUGGGCCACAAGAACUUUAUAAACCUGCUUGGCUACUGUGAAGAAGAAAAUCCUUUCACCAGAGCUGUGGUGUUUGAAUAUGCACCAAAUGGGACUCUUUUCGAGCAUCUCCAUGGUAAGUGUGUACAUAAUAUAUCCUUUUAGUUUUCUCUCUGUCAACAGAAUGAUUCCUAUAAUGUUCAGACACCACUUCAACAAUUGCAGUAUUUGAUAAUGCUUUUGAUUAUGUUGCAGUUAGAGAAGCUGAGAACUUGGACUGGAUGGCCCGACUUAGAAUAUCGAUGGGGAUAGCGUACUGCCUCGAGCAAAUGCACAAGCUGAAUCCACCCGUCGUGACGUGGAGCUUCAGCUCAACUACUAUCUACCUCACCGAUGAUUUUGCCGCAAAGGUCUCUGAUCUUGAUUUCUGGAACGACACCAAGGGAUCGGAUUCCGUCACCGACGACUGCACCAUGCUGGACAUAGAGAGUAUCGUGCAUCGGUAUGGCAGUGGUUGUAUUUUGCCGAAUAAAAGACAGCAAAACUGCAGGUAGAUAAACAACCACAGUUUCAUACAGAAGCCCAUACAGUUUCAGUGAACUAUAUAUAUCUCGAGUCACACACACACACACACACACACACAUUUCAGUCAACUAUAUAUAUCUCGAGUCACACACACACACACACACAUUUCUUGUCUCUGUCUAGAAUGAACAUGCGCUUGUACAUGAAUAUGAACUCGGAUGUAUGUGCAUGCAUUGGUGCAGUUCAUGGAAGACAUGUCUGCAUCGGCUAAAAAGUUAGAAGAAUAGAUAAAAGGGGUAAAGAAUGGUACAGUACAACAAACAAAUCUACAACACGGCAGUGAAAUAGGUCUCUAUAUGUCCUAGGAAGCUACACUCUAGCUUCCAGAUCCUUCAAUGAAAGCAUGGCUUCCAGUUAGUGAAGCAUAAGUCAUACGUAGAUAUUUUUAUAUAUGCCUUUACCGAUAAACUCUGUCUGAAAAUCCCCUGCAAGUAGUACAGCUCUAGUAUUUGAGUACCGAGUUUAAUCGGGCAAAUAUGAUGUGUAUGUCAGCAUUGUAAUCUAGCUAUUCAGAAUUUCAGAAAUCUAUCUGACAUGUUCACUACCAGAUAUGUAGAGGUUUCUAAAGGACAAUUUCUUACUAUCGGCAAACAAUAAGAAUAUGAGAAACCAUUAAAUUUUAGUAAGGACACUCUAACUGAUUUUGAGGAUAGAGGAGCCUCUGAUACUGUCCAUAUUUUGCUGCCUCGAAUAUAAGAAUUUGCACAUUCCAUAACUAGGUCAUCAUUCCAUAACAAUAUAAGAAUUAUUUCUAAUGAAUUAAUACAUUUUUGUUGCUAAACAAAACUAGGGUAGAGGAUCCGUUUGCUAAACAAAACUUAUAUUUCCAAUGAAUUAAUACAUUUUUUUUUCAAAAAAGGGGUGCUUUAUUACUUAAAAGGUUUAAGUAUUACAUGGUUUUAGAGAUUAAUCUCUAGAGGGAGCACAUAUGGUGGUUGCCUGAACCGAGCCGUCUCUAGUUAGUUGAAUGUGAGCGCCUACCAAAUCUCCCAAUUGAAUUGGAACGCACAUAAAUAACAGUAGUACUAGUAUUUUGCUGUAGGGAAAGGGGAAGGAUAAUAGAAAUAAAUGAACCUGGUUCUUGACAUGAAGAAUGGAAAAACUGACCUUAUGUCUCGAUUUUCAAUCAAUUAUCUAGAACUGAAGACUAGUGGGACUUGAAGUCUCCCCAAUAGUGGCUUUGUUGGUUUCUGGUUUGGUGGUGUUUGAUUCUAUCCAUUUUAUAGGAUGCCUACAUAGCAUACACUUGAUGUCUCAGUAGUACUACCUCUGUACAAAAAUAUAAUGCAUAUGUACGGGGGGAGUAGUUAUUUAUUUGUUACUAUUAUCAUUUAGUGAUAUUCAAUCAAUCACUUUGUUAUCCUCUCACUGUCCUACUUAACACUGCCUCUGUUUCCUACUCAAAAAGCACGGGAAAACAGUGUUUGCAUUUUUAAAGGACGGGUAGAAGGCACUCAAGACAAGUAUUGCCAGUGACACGACGCUGUAAUGACCCCAUGGAGUAUGGUGAGUAACAGAUGAUAUCCUUUCUCCAUCUAAAAGUUUUCCUUUUUUUCUUCUUCUAGUAGAACAGAAGUAACAUAUGCAUACUCAACUUGUAUCCGCCCUUCAUUUAUACAGGUAUCCCAUCAUACAAUGACCCCUUGAACUCUUGGUGUAUAUGCCAUGCUGUUAUAGCUUUCUUUUAGAUGAAAGCAAAUUCACAAAUAUCUAGAUUUGGCAAAGACAGGAUAAACGUGAGCAAAUACAUAUGAAAUUAGCUGUUCAUUACGGUCUAAUGUUUUUUGUUUUGUCUCUUUUUCUAUUGCUAGGGAAGUGAUGAGAAGAUGUCGAUGAUGCCUACUUGGGACAUUCAAAUCAACACAACAUAAAAAUUUCUGAACCUAUGUCUCACAGGAGAGUGGAAUGAACUCCAUUCUUAGCAGAUGUGUCAUUGUCUUGUUGUGCAAUUUUGUCCGUUUUUGCUAUAUUAUGUAAGGAAAUGUAUUCAUGAGAUGAGUUAUUGUGUUAUGUAAAUCUGGGAGAUGUAUUAUGUGAUGUUAUAUGAUGGGUGAUUUUAAUUUGACUUGAGUUUUCUUGAUUUGAAUAUGAAAUAGUGUUGGAUUUAAUACUGGACAAAUAAUUGGGCUGAAAAGGCAUAACAAAUAGAAACGAAACCAAAAAUAUAAAAAGGCCAAAACUGAAUUGGACCAAACGUAUUUGGGCAUUAAAAGGCCACGACCCAAAUUAUAAUGACAAAAACAAUUCAAAAAAAAAUACAAAACUGGUUGUAAAUAGGCUAAGGCCCAAAAAGAAGCCCAAUAAGAAAAAGCCCCAAAAAAUAAAACCAACCCAUGUGAUCAAUUGAAAUGGGUUGGGCUGAUUUCAGCCAUGACGUUUUGAUUUCGUCGUAUUUUAAUCACGUAGGACUGCCACGUAGGACUGGGUUUGAUUGUCAACGACGAUUUAAGAUCGUCAUAAAGGUUACGACAAUCCAGGAAUCGUCGUAAAAGUUACGACGAUUUUGAUCAAAACGUCGCUGCUGUUCAUUUGUGACGCUCCGUUUUUGACGCUUGGUUUUUCGUCGUGAGAUCGUCGUAAAUUAAAAACCGUGACGAUGUAGCGACGAAAAAAUAGCGGCGUGUAUUAGCAUAUUCCUUGUAGUGCGAUGGUCUGGAAGGACCGGGUGAAGAAGAGGGCUAUGUUCAUGAUGAUCUGGAAGGACCGGGUGAAGAAGAGGGCGUUCAUGAUGAUAUGGAAGGACCGGGUGAAGAAGAGGGUGUUCAUGACGGCUCCGUUGACCGAACCGAGUCCGGCGAGGUAUAUAUAUAUUAGUUAAGCCCGUGCUGACUAGUUAAUUGAUGCAUUCCUUGUUUUCAUAUGUACACAUAUUAAAUAACUCUCGUCUUUCUUCUUUUUUCUCUAGCCCUCCGGAUCGACCUCAACUUCAGUAAAGAAACGAGGCCCGAAGAAAAAGUUGCGCUCGGAUGAAAGGUUUGAGAUCACAGCAAUCGUGUGCGAUGGCAAGCCGAUUGAACCCAUCCGGACAAGGGAUGCAUUUCGUGCUCAGUGCGGGGUUCUUGUUAGGGACAAGAUCCCGAUCAGUAUCCAGCAAUGGUUAAAGCCAAAGAAGGAAGACCCUGAGGUGCCGACGUCUUAUGUCUCCGAUAAACAGAAAGAAGAUCUUUGGACAACGCUUAAGGAAAAUUUCACCCUACCGCCAGAGGAGGAUACAGAGAAGCCAGUUAAAGAGGAAUUGAUCAAGUCUCAUGCUCUUAAGAAGAUGGUAGAACUAUUCAGGAGGUGGAAGAAUGAGCUGAAACGUUUGUCGACAAAGAAGAGACACCAGAAUUCACGGACCGGUUUGAGAAGAUCAGAGAUCAAUGGCCCGCAUCUGUGGCCCACAAGACAUCGGAAAAGAGUAAGAAGAUGUCAGCGACAAACAAGAAAAAUGCUGCGAAGAAGAAGCAUCACCAUCGCACGGGGUCAGGUGGUUACCUCAAAGCCCAACCUCUGUGGGACAAGGCUGAGAAUGACCUGAUUGCUAAAGGGGUCGAACCAGAGACAUUGAGAUGGCCAGACCGUUGCCGGACUUGGUUCUUCGGGGUUGGCGGAACCUUGGACCAUGUAUCAGGGGAGUGCGUUUGGACGGAAGAGCAACUGCGAAUACUCGUCAGGAACCUUCAGCACUAUAUCGCCGCAGCACAGGAAGG